rnacentral:lncRNA from 1 species
UGUUUGUGAGCAUGUCCCUUAUAACAAUUAUACACAUGGAUUAUUAAUUAUUAUUUUAUUUUAUUUAAUCUUUUAUAAUUCUUGAGAAAUAUGUUGUGCGAUAUAGCUGGGAAUUACCCUCGUGGUGUUUACUAUUGGAAGAGAAAUUGACGCCAUUGCUCUUUACUUCCAUGCAAAGCAAUAUUGCUUAGUUGGACGCUUUGUGUAAAUCACAAAUUAUAUAGCAGACGAGGCACCUAAAGAUAGGGCAAAAAGGUCCACUUACUUUAUUUCUCCAUGAAAAAUAAAGCUUCACUUUCUUUAAUCUUUUUUUUUUUUUCUAGGGGCACGUGAUGAAUUUUCUUGCCAAAAACAGGCAGCUAGGUGGGCAUCUUUCCAAAAUCAGUUAAUUUUAGAUUAACCCGACUGGGUCAUAAAUUAACUUGUUAAAUUUUGAAUUAGCUUAUUAAUUAGAUUAUAUUAGAUCGGGUUUAAUAAGUAGUAAUGAUAUGAUAACCGAACAGAAACCCCAUGAGCUAAACCACAGCUAGCCAUCGCUCUCGAGGCUACUGUGGUAAUUAGACACAAGAACGUCACUCUCAAUAAUAUAGAUGAUGAUAAUAAUACUAGCGUAAGAUUACCAGUCUCUUCGUUGAUGACGGCUGUUAAAAAAAACACACAGAAAAAACCCCACCGAGCCAGAGACGACACAAUUUCCGUUCAAGCCUUCCCUCGCCGUUUACUCUCUCCGUGUAUCAAAACCACACCGUCUUAUCCUCUACGACAACGAUCUCAUGCCUUCUCCCCUACCUUAAAAACUUCCAGGUCGGGGAGAACACAGUCACCACCGUUCAUCAAAUGUCACCUCCCCAAUCUCCCGCCGUUGAUUCCCUCCCUCAACAGCGCUCCUCCACCGUUGAUCACCGCGGCUCCUCCAAACGCAAACUAGACGAUGUCGAUGACCACGACGCCGUUUUCUCUGACUUAAUCUCCGUCAGGAUGCGUAAAGACGACACCGAAUCAUCCACCGGCCAUAACCUGCAACAACCUCCCUCCAUCUCCUCCACCAAUCAGCUCCCCACACGUGUCUCCGACGCCUCCGCCUCCGCCUCAUCAUCAACCACCGAUUUUCCCUCCACUCCCUCCCCUCUCCGUCGGUCUCAAUCGAGGCUCCAAUUCUUCAUCAGAAUGAUCUCCGACGGCACUCACAUUGUGAUCACCGCGAAUUUGACUGAUUCCGUCAAAUCACUCCAUGAACGGAUUCGCGUGAUGACCGGAAUUCCGGUGAUCGAGCAACGACUAAUCUACGAAGGUAAGCAAUUGCAAUACGAAAACAAACUCUCCGAUUACUCUAUCGAGAAGGAUUCGAUUCUUCAUUUAGUUGGCCGAAUGCGUAGCACUAGGCAUCCCCGUACUUGUCAAUUGAUCAAUGAUAUGGUUUCCUACAUUUGUCGAAUUUGUAAGUCUAUUUUGCCGUGUGGUUUUAAUCCAUAUGUUUCAAAGCAUAUAAAAGAGUUGAUGAAUGAGUUCUUUAGCUUGACACCGAAGGAUGAUAAUGAGGAUGCUUUAGGACAUUUGAAUGUGUUUUUAUCGAAUAGUGCGCCAGCUGCGUUGGUUACACUCUAUGUUUCGAGUGUUAAAGGGAAUAAGGAGUGCGCGGAGGGUGCGAUUAGGCAUUUUUUGAAUUCAUGUAGGAUUUCGUUGCCAAAGAGUUUGCAUUUGCAGUGUGUUCCGAUUGUGAUGGAGUUUUGUAAUUUGUUGAGGAAGGUUGGGAGUGAUGAUCCAUUGUAUAUUGUGUGUAGGAGUUGUCUUGGUUCGUUGUUGGAGAAUGGUGGGGGUGCGUGUGGGUGGAGGUAUCGAGGAGGGGAGGAGGGGAAGGGAGCUGUUGUUAUGCAGGAGAUUUUUCCGUUUGUUAGUGAGCUGGGGAGUAAGUUGUCUAAAGAUUUGAUGGGGAGUGUGGGGCCAUCAGUAGCUGAUGUGAAGGAUUUUUCAGCGUUUUUGGUACCGUUGCAUAGUAUGAUUUCAGAGCAAGGGGCAUGUAGGGGUCCGGUUUCGAUGCCGUUGAACAAGAGGGCAUUUAAUUAUCCAUUGUAUGCGAAGGAGAUUGAGCAUCUUCAUGUGAUAUUUUUUGAUUUGCUGAAUAUUAUGGAGAAAUGUCUUGGGAAAAUGCAGGAUUCUUCACAUUUGAAAAUGAAUGGAGAGGGUGAGUUGAAUCAUACAGGUUGGUCUCAAUAUUUGGCUAUUUUGAAGGAGUUGAAUAACAUUGCUAAACUCUAUAAGGGUGCUGAGGAAAAGUUUUGGACAGUUUUGAGACUUAGAAAGGCUUCCUUGUGUGUGCUGAUUGUUAGAUAUGCAAAAAGAACUGAAGAUCAUCAGUGGCUUCUUUGGAACAAGGAUGUGACUGAUUUUGAGUCUAGGAGGCAUUUGGCUAUGAUGAUGUUCCCUGAGGUGAAAGAAGAUUACGAGGAGCUUCACGAGAUGCUCAUUGAUCGGUCACAAUUGUUGGCAGAGUCAUUUGAGUACAUAGUGCAUGCCGACUCAGAUGCACUGCAUGAUGGUCUAUUUCUGGAAUUUAAAAACGAGGAAGCUACUGGUCCUGGUGUAUUGCGGGAGUGGUUUUUCUUGGUUACACAAGCUCUAUUUGAUCCUCAAAUUGCUCUUUUUGUGGCAUGCCCAAGUGAUCGCAGAAGGUUCUAUCCUAAUCCUGGUAAGCUUCUGCUGCCUGAAUGCAAUUGGGUUUUCUCUUUUCUUGAUUGGAUACAGGGCUACCAAUCCUGGUAACAAAACGAGAAAACCCUAAUCAUGAAUGCCUUACAUGAACAAUGCUACAGGGUUCUCUCUUUUCUCAAUUGAAUAUAGUUUUUGAUGAUACGAAUGGUUAAACAAUAUAUUGGAUUGCCUUGUGUCUAGUGUGUCACUCUAGCAUAGAGUUUGGAACAUUGUUGCAUAUAUUCUCACUGGAUAAUAAAAAUAUACUCAGAUGACCAAAAUGUGCAGUUCCUGCAAUCUAUAGGAACUUACAUAUAAUGUGUAAUGAUGCUGUAUCCAUCACCUACAACCAUUCAAGAAGCACUUGUACUUCAUUUAGUUUAUGUUGUUAGUGGGUGAGAUGAGCUCAUCUGGAAUUGUUUCACCCAAACUUCAUGUAAUUAACCGUUCAUGUUUUUCUGAGAGUAGGUUUUUUUUUUGAACAACAGUUGAAUUAGGUUCGUGAAUGUUUUAUUCUGUAAGUUGGAUUUUCUCUCUUCUCAACUGAAUUUUUAUUCCCAGGUGAUACUGACUAUGUAAACAAUGCGUUUUCAUUGCCGUGUGUCUAAUGUUUCAGAUUGUGGGCUGAGUAUUUGUUUUAAUUUACACUGGAAAGUAAACAUUCACUAAAUGGUGGUGGAGAGCUCCAACAGUUUAUAUGAGUUGACACUAAUAUGUGUCGAUGCUGUAUCAAUCACUUACAACCAUUGGACUAUUAUUCUUCAUUGUUUUGAUAUAUGUUAGUGGGAGGACAUCUGGAAGUGUUACACCUAAAUCUGGAGAAUGUGACAUUUAAUAUUCAAUUUUAGGCAUGGUCAGGAUUGAAUUAACAUUUUUUAGAAGUUCGACAGUUUUCCUACACUUGAUGUAAUACUGGGUGGCUUAACGUGGUGGAACCUUCUCAGUGACUUAAUCAAAGAUAUUUCACUAAUAUUGCUUGGAUUUUAACUGUACGAGAGAUCAUUCACUGCAUUCUCUUAGUGUUCUUUCUCUAACAUUUAUAUGUAGAAAAGUUGUUUACCAUGUGAGUUCCUGAUGGACGUGGGAUAAGGGCAUUACAUCCUGUACAAUAGGCUCACUAGCAUAGUUGUGUGUCACAAAUAUUUUAUUGUGGAAUACCUGAGUCCCUAGGGUUAUUAUACAGGAAUAUUUCCCAUGUUUCUCCAACUCUGUUGCCUGAAUUCCGUGUUUCACUAAUAUGUAAUUGGUUCCUUUGGGGAUUAACAUGUCUAAUUCUUCCACUGCAUUAAAAUUGCAAUUGGUUAGUUCUGAAAUACCUCUUCGAAGAAUCAUAAUUGAGGUUUGUUAUUGUCUUCUGUUUCUGGACUUGAAUUAAGUUGCAUCAUCUUGCUUGGAUUCAAUUGUUGGCAUGGAUAACCACUAACAAACAAAAGUAUAUAUAUGGACUUCAUUGUAUUCAUUUUAUGUGCAGCAUCCAAGGUGGAUCCCAUGCACCUUGAGUAUUUCACAUUCUCUGGUCGAGUGAUGGCUUUAGCUUUGAUGCAUAAAGUGCAAGUCGGCAUUGUAUUUGAUCGGGCAUUUUUCUUGCAAUUGGCUGGGAUGCAUAUUACUUUGGAAGACAUACGGGAUGCAGAUCCAUGCUUGUAUAGCAGUUGCAAACAGAUUCUGCAAAUGGAUCCUGAGUUCAUUGAUUCAGAUGCUUUGAGUCUGACAUUCGUUCAAGAAGUUGAGGAACUAGGAUCCAGGAAAGUUGUGGAACUUUGCUCUGGUGGGAAGAGUAUCGUUGUAAAUAGCAAGAAUCGGGAGAAAUAUGUCGAUCUUCUCAUUCAGCAUCGCUUUGUAACAUCUAUCUCUGAACCAGUAUCUAGAUUUGCACGUGGUUUUGCUGAUAUUCUUUCAAACUCUUGGCAACCGAAGCUCUUCUUCCAGAGUUUAGAGCUUGAGGAUCUUGAUUGGAUGCUAUAUGGAAUUGAAAAUGCUAUCUGUGUGGAAGAUUGGAAGGCACACACUGAGUACAAUGGCUACAAGGAAACUGAUCCUCAGAUAUCCUGGUUCUGGAAGGUAUGUUCUUGCAUUCUUAUGUUCCUGUCAUAUCUCAACUAUAAAGUUGCUUUCUUUUACCAUGUACUUUGCUCUUUCUUCCCAUAUAUCUGGAUUUCAUGACAUGAGUUAUAAUCUUUAUGUGCUGGAUAAUAUAUUUCCUUGGAAAAAUACCUAUCUGCAGAGUGCACACUGUUGCUCUUUUCCUUGUAUAUUUCUUGGAAGUAUCUUUGGUUCAUUAUUUUCUACCAUGGCAGAACAAUCCCUAUCUGCGUAUCCUUACCAGGUGUACUGCUGUUUUGCUAAUUAAGUAAAGCCUAAAUACUAUGUGAAUGCAAUUCUUUCUAUUGUAUGAGGCUGUCGAAAAUAGGACAUGCAAGGUUGCAUGGCAGUUCACCAUUUUACAGCUGCAUGUCAGUUUAUCUCUUUGGUCAAUUUCUUUGAGUUGAAAGAUGUAUGACUAAGUUCUAGACAUACAAAAAAUACCAAAGCAAUUCAAAGUGCUGUCCAUGUUUGUCUUGUCAAAUUUACAACUCAUUUUGAAUCUCAAAUGCUCAAGGUUGUGUCAUGAAUUCCUCAGCAUACUGAUGAUGUCGUGGUUGAAUAAGGAAGAACAUAAGGAACUUGUUUUGGGUUCUUGAAGAUAACAUUUAAGAGUUUUUAAGUUAUGUCAUUAUACGAAGUUUUGUGUUGAAGUUUGAACACAUGGUAUUAAUGCAGACAUUUACAUGAAAACAAAUGCCAAAGUGUUGAACAUUCAUGUUAUUUUGAUUGCGCACUUAUGCAUGAAAGGGCAGAAGGUUGCUGCUGUGGAAUUAGAGCAUAGGGGGUGUGGUUAGGAUGUCAUACUUACCUUAACAAGCGUGCCAGGUUUGGGAGGGGGUACGGACAGAGUUGAACGAGUGUAGAUUUUGUUUCAAUAUUUUUUUUUUACUCUUUCUGUGCAUGUCUGUGUGGUUGGUUGGGGAAGAAAUGUUUUAGAUACGGAUACAAAUUGAAAACUGAAACAAAAUGAGGGAUCCAUGGAAAAUAAAUAAAUAUUUUAUCUUGGAAAUCAACCUUGAAUUAUGUUUUUUUAAUUUGCAAUUACAUUUUGUGGUUGGGAAUGGGUGGGCCCUGGGAGGGGGGAUUCAUUUGUCAAAAAACACUACUUUUGAGCAAGCUUAUUAUAUCCAUGAUUGAAUUCUCUGUAAGUUUUUGGGUUUUUCUUUUGUGCUGGAUGGUCUCUUUAUCCCAUCAACAUUGUGGAGUUGAUCUUAUUUAUUUGUUAGGCGAUAAAAUUGAGUGUGUGGUUUCCUUUCAGUUUUGUUGCGCCACCAAUGAUAGAAUGCCUGGUUCUUGGUAUGAUCCAUUAGGUUUUGUUGUACUCUUAAAUAAUAUUCCAGGUACUUGAAAGAAACUAGUCAAAACCCAUGCAGUCCAUGGUGAGAGUUGGAAUGAGGGUAGAUUUUGUUCUUUUACUUUGUUUGCAGAGUGAGCUGUGCAAGGCAGAAAUAAGAUACAUAUUGUUUUGGAUAUCAGCCUUAGCAUAUCUUUGAUAACAAUGCGUGGUUGGAGUGAUGCUCAUUGUCAAGGCACUGCUUUUGAGCAAGUUUGCCAUGUCCAUUUAGGUCUAUAAUAGAUGCUCUUCUCUCUUUAUACCUGUGUUUCUUGUAAGUCCUUUAUCCCAUUACUAGUGUUUUGGAAAUCAGCCUUAUAAGCGUAUCUUUGAUAACAAUGCGUGGUUGGAGUGAUGCUCAUUGUCAAGGCACUGCUUUUGAGCAAGUUUGCCAUGUCCAUUUAGGUCUAUAAUAGGUGCUCUUCUCUCUUUAUACCUGUGUUUCUUGUAAGUCCUUUAUCCCAUUACUAGUGUUUUGGAAAUCAGCCUUAUAAGCGUAUCUUUGAUAACAAUGCGUGGUUGGAGUGAUGCUCAUUGUCAAGGCACUGCUUUUGAGCAAGUUUGUCAUGUCCAUUUAGGUCUUUAAUAGGUGCUCUUCUCUAUUUAUACCUGUGUUUCUUGUAAGUCCUUUAUCCCAUUACUAGUGUUUUGGAAAUCAGCCUUAUAAGCGUAUCUUUGAUAACAAUGCGUGGUUGGAGUGAUGCUCAUUGUCAAGGCACUGCUUUUGAGCAAGUUUGUCAUGUCCAUUUAGGUCUUUAAUAGGUGCUCUUCUCUAUUUAUACCUGUGUUUCUUGUAAGUCCUUUAUCCCAUUACUAGUGUGGAGUUGACCUUAUUAAUUUGUUACUCAUCGAAAACUGAGGAUGUGGGUUUCCCUUGAACUUUGAUUUAUCACCAAUAGUAGGAUGGCUGUCUCUUGGUUGGUGCAUUAUUUUUUUAUUCACAUACUCAACGAAUGAUACCCAAGGGACUUGGAAGAAACCAGUAAAUACACAUGCACUCAAUGGAAGGUAUUAAAGCCUUUUGCCCCCUAGAGAGCUAGAUUAGCAUGCAAUAUACUGAGUUUUAUUCCUGAAGUCUUCGCGGUAUUAGUUAUAUCUUUGAUCUUAAAAAUAUUCAUGCGAAUGUGCUUAUAUUUGCACUCCUGGACCUUGAGUUUUUACCAGUCAGCUGCAGUUGAGAUAGUCCCACCUCUGCUACUUAAUAGUAAAGUUCUGUCAGAGGAAAAGCAUUGCUUGUUAUUUUAUUUAUCUUGUGCUUAAAUAUUUUGCAGAUCAUUGGGGAAAUGUCACCAGAUCAGAGAAAGGUUUUGCUCUUCUUUUGGACCUCAGUGAAGUAUCUACCUGUUGAGGGUUUCCGCGGUCUGGCCUCGCGACUUUACAUUUACAAGUCCACAGAGCCUCACAAUCACCUCCCUUCAUCUCAUACAUGCUUUUACCGAUUGUGUUUCCCACCUUAUCCCUCCAUGGCUAUUAUGCAAGAUCGCCUCCGUCUCAUCACUCAAGAACAUGUGGGAUGCAGUUUCGGCACCUGGUGAUGCAUUGGUUACAUCCACUUUAAUGUUAAAGGGGUUUUUUUAACUGCACAUAGAUUUCAAGUCAGUUUGUACAGAUAGGUUUAUGUUGUCAGUUUUAUUAGACUAUGUAAGGUCCCGUAGUUAAUUUAUGUUUCCUCCAGUAAAGUUGAGAUGUCAUUGUUCUUUUUGUCCAACUGUUAGUAUAGGUAUAGCAUAAAUAAUGCUGGGGGCUAGAAGGAAGAAAAUCCCUAUCCUCCCAAUGGACUUCCUUCAUCAGUAACAGUAGCUGUUUUUUCAUGUCAUGUAAGUACACAGAUUAUGCAAUGACAUCCAAGUUCAUAGAAAGGUGAUUAUUCUCUCUUCUCUCUCUUGCAAGUCCAAAAAUGGUGGAAGAUUCGAAGGUUUCUCUUUGAGAAAAAUCUGUAAGUUAUUCUUCCGUUCAGCAUCUAUAUUUGUGCUUUGUAUCUGUCGAACUACUCUUCCUGUGCUUCCGAUUUUCUCCCCUCGUGUUUUCUUUCCCAAAUCAGCUGAGAUGGAACAGUGUUAGCUUUCGUCUAAUUUGAGCUCUAUCAACUUAGGGUUUUAUUUUGCUAAUGAUCCUUUGUGAUUCACAGAUUAUUUGGUCAUCUGAAAGGCUAUCUUCAUCAUGUGAAGGCACAUGAUGGAACAACCUUUUCCCAUGAAAGCACCUGCAAAUAUAGGUCCACUGCACAUUCCCACUUUUAGAUCCAAUCAAGCAUCUAGGUUUCUCUUUAUCACAAUCUGACAUUGUCUUUUGCCUUUUGUCAUGCCUGAUCCUGUAUGAAUCUUGUUAUGGAUUUGCGAGUCGCGCGGAGUUUGUCUUUGUUAUGUCAUCUCCAAUUAUUGAAUUGCAUGAUGAAGCUUAUCCUACAGGAGUUAAAAUUGACUGGUAUAUUUCUCAUCGUUGUGGCACCAAGUUGUUGUCGCCAUUCAUAGAAGGGACCUGAGCCACCUGACAAUACACAUCUUUCCAUUGGAAAUAAGCCAGUGUAAACUUGUCUUGGCCUUCACAGGUUCAAGUUCACAUGCCAUGAUGUCAUACAAGUGCAAUCAAGAUUGCCUUUGCUAAUUUGUCAUGUCGAAAAAAGUAGAUUAAAAGGAUGGGAAGGAUUAAUUGGGACCUUGUUAUUUCCUAAAAAACGACUUUGAAAAGCAACAGAAGCUGCUUAUUUCAUCAAAAUUAUACCAUUUGAUGCAAUGAUGUUGCAUGGAAUGUAGCGAUGGGUGUCUGUCUACAUGUGAAUAUAGUUUUUAUUUAGAUGUUGUGAGAAUGGUAUAAUUUUAUUUUUUAAUCGACUUGAUUAUAGAUUAUAAAUUCAUAACCCUAGCUUAUUUUUAUUUUUUAAGUGUUUAGAUAUAUUAAAUAUAAACUUAUAAUCUAUUGGAUUAUAGAUUAUAAAUUCAUAACCCUAGCCUAUUCUCAUUUUUUGGUGUUUAGAUAUAUACAACAUGACUCUAACCUUUUUUAAAGAAGAUAGGUUCUAUGCCUUGACAAGGCAUUGCUUGGUGAUGUUCAAUAAAAAUUUUCAAAGUGUGUUCGAAUCAAAGCAAAAUUAUAUUAAUGUUUUUUUAGGUGUUUUUUAUUUAUUUUAAUAAUAUAUAACUACUAGAAAAAUACUUUAAAAAACAACAAUUUAUCGAUUUUCAAUACAAAGGUACUUUAGAAAAGCUUUUCCAACUGAAUUACCAAAGACACACAGCAAAUCUUGUCACUUCCACAGCUAGGAAGAACAUCCCAAUUGAUUUGGCAACAUGUUCUACUCAACUCUCCAUGUUUCCUCCAUGAGAAGGAUUGGGUCCCAACUGGCCUAGAAAUCUACUGCUGCAAACAGAUACUGAGGGAUGAUUCACACCUACAUUCAAGAUCUAUGCAUUGGACUUUAUACUAAAACCUUGGGAAGCCAUAUUUUUCGAUAAACAGAAGCAAAGAAAAAUAGCAAUAGCAAGUGCUCAUCAACUAAACAUAAAUUAUAAUUUUUAUUAUCAAGCCUAGAGAUCACAUCAUCACACCAUUUCAAAACCAAUAGAACCUAUUGGAACCCACAUAGAUCCAAACCCCAUGCCAUCAUCAUGAGUCAUGGCUCAUGACCCUUACACUUCAAUAGCGACCAUCCUUGUUGUGUAUUCUGACCUGGGCUGGCAACCUGAUGCGGAUCCAAGUGCUUAAUAUUGACUCUGUAGCUUCCACAUCCCAUAAUCCCACCCAAAACCCUUUUCUUUAGCCAUAAUCAUAAAUCAAUAAAGAGAGAAAUGAAACAAAACAGAAACCUCAUGAGGACUUUGACAAUGCAACCUAACAGAAACAAAGACCCCCACCAGUACUAUCAUUCACUUCAUAGAAUCUAUUCACUCAGUGAUCUCCACUGGAACUUCUGUGCUGGUUGUCUCUGCAGCUGGUGCUUCAGCUGGCUUCUCUUCUUCUGCUGGUUUCUCUUCCUCAACAGGAGCUGGUGCUGCCUCCUUCUUGGUCUCUUCUUUGGGCUCCUCAGUAACAGUUUCUGCAGGAGUCUCCUCAGGAGUUUCUUCUACUGCUGGAGCUGCAACCUCUUCAGGCUCAGCUUUUGCUGGUUCUUCAACAACCUCCUUGGUUUCAACCUCAACUGCAGGUUCAGCUUCAGGUUCUGCGGCCGGGGCAACAGCGGGUGCUGCUUCUGUUAGUUCUUCGGCUACUGGCUCAGAGGCGGGUGGUGCAGUUUCAGUGGUUGUCUCCUCGGUCUUGGUCACCUCAGGUACCUCAGCCUCUGGAAUUGCUGGAGCAGCUGCAACCUGCAACAAUAAGCAUACUGAUAUUUAUCUCAAAAUGUAUAAUCCAAUGGAAGAAAGCUAGAAGAAGGGUUCUUUAAGAUUCAUUUUUUCUUAAUCAUCUGCUGAUCAUCCAUUCUAUCUACAGAAGUAGUUUCCUUUAACAACAAUCAACAAAAGCUUAGAAUAUGUAGAAUUCUUGCUAGAACAUAAAGAAACCUGUAGGUUGAUCAAGAAAAGAAGUUUCAAUAAACUGUAAGAUUGAAUCCUCUCCAUCGCAAUCCUCAUAUAAACAGAAGGAUCGGAUGAAAUCUAGCAUAGACAAUAUUGGAGUGGUCUAUCACUUGAGCUAGAGGUAGAAAUUUGAUCAUCAUCAAUAUAACAAGAUCAGGUUAUGAAACUUAUUUGAUCAUAAAAGUAGUAAACAACAAAUUAUAACUUGAUCAAUAAGAUAAUAUUAUACAAAAGGGCUAAUCAAUUAAUACAAGUUGAUGAAUAUCAGAUAUUAUUGUAAAACUAAAAUGAGACUGAGUGAUAUAUCACUUGAGCAAGAUCAAGAUGGGUUGUAAUAGCAUUCCACUAAGAAAUAUUUUAGAAGACAUUUUUACCUCAACAGUAGCCAUUUGGUUAAAAGCUAACAGGAUUGAAGAAAGAUUGGAGAAAAGGAGGAAGGAGGGUUGGUGUAGGCACAGGAGAAGGAUGCUUGUGAGCUAGUGAAGUGAAGAGAUGAUCAAUGAGAGAGCUAUUUAUAGAGGAGUGAUGAAAUGCAUAGAUUAAUGAGAGCAUGAGAUCAUAGGGAGCAUGCUCACUUGAAGAAUCUUUCAACAUAGACACCUCAUAUUGCUGUCAAGACACAGUGGCAUGUCUUGCUAGUUGUAAAUAUUUUAUUUCUUUUUUAAUUUUGAGAUAAGGGUUUUUUUUUAUAUGAUUUUAAUAGCUAGGAUUGACAAAUACUUGAUCCAACAAUGAAUUGGCAAUGCCAUAUGGUGGAGGCCAUUUCUCGUAUCAGCAUCAUAUCUUUCUUUUGAGUGGGUUCCUAUGUGUUUUUUUUUUCCCCAGUAGGGCAUAAUGUAGGUUAAUUACUGCUUAAAUCCCAUAUGAUGCAUUCAUGUUUCUGUGUAGGAUUUCUAUUUGAUCUUCUGUUAAUUUGUAAUAUUCUAAUUAACCUUGCAUUUUUUUUUAAUCUUUUGAUAUUUUAGUGGAAUAUCCACGGCUAGAUCAUGUUGAUAUCUAAAUCGAUAAGAAUUCAUGUGUUUUUCUUUUUAAUUUAUAUUGUUUGGAUUCAUAUUUAUAUUCUAUCCAUUAUUCAUGUAUAAAUAUUCAAUAUCAAACACAAAUAUUAUAGGAUAAAAUAAAAGUUUUUUAUAUAAGAUUUAUUUGUUUCUCAUCUUAAAAAAUUAGAAAUCAAAUCCCACUUUUUCUAUAUAUAUAAUGCAAAGAAGGUGCAAGAUUCUACCAAAAAAUAUUAAAAAAGAAAAAAAUAAUAAUCAAAUAAACUCUGUAAUUAUUGAAAUAAUAAUAAAAAAUGGUGCAUACACUAUUGCAAACCCUAAAAAGGACAGAAAUGGUGUCUCAUCCAAGAAUCAAGGCUCCUUAGUGCUAAUCUUCAUGAUAAUCAAAACCAGUGGCGUACAAGUAAUGACAAAUUUAUUUCAUAUUUUGACAUAAUCACAUGCCAAGCAAUAUAUUUGUAUGUACUAAUGGAGUACAAAAAUAGUUUUGCCAUUUGAGAACAUCAAGAUCUUCAGCCUCCACGUUAUAGCUGAAUGCAGAUCUUGUCCAUAAUUGUUUUGUUUAAUUAUUCCCAAUUAUUCUAAUUAAGUACUAAACUUAAAGAGACGAGUUUUAAUUAUUUUUUUUGUUUGAUUAAUUUUUUAUUUUUUUUUGCAUAUAUAGAUUGGAAUGAGGAUUUGGGAAGCUAGGAUAUUGAUGCAUGCAUAAUGUUUUUCAGUCGAACCCUAAUUAUGCUUACCUUUUAUUUUAUCAUUUCACCAUUUUGGAUUCAAAUUUAUAUGAAGGUUAUAAGGGAAAAAAACUAUCAUAAAUUUAAAUAUAUUAAUUCGGAUAUAUAUGAAUGAUGUGUUUAAAAAUUGAUAGAAAAAUAACUUAAUCUUGACAUAUUAAAACUAACUUGAAAUACUUUUAUAAUGAAAACAAACAAAUAUAUAUAUAUAUAUGAUUCUUUUUAAUCACUUUUAGUAUAGAUAUCAGUUAUUAUAUAGAAAUUAAUGAGAUUUUUUUGUUCAAGAGUAAGGAAUAUCUUCAAACAAGUUUUUGUAUCAACCAUGAUAUCUUCGCUUCUAAACUAAAAGAAUUAAAAUAAUAUUUUUUAAUUUAAAAAUAUAAAUGUAACCACAGUCAUACCUGUAUUUCCAAAUACAUAUUAAAUAUUAUUCUCAAAUUUUAAAAACUUAUAUUUUAUAUCAAUUUAAUUCUAAUAACAAGUUAUAUUAAAAAACACGGGCACAAUUAUAUAUCCUUGUUUCCGAACUAAAAACAUUGAAAUGAUAUUUUUUAUUCAAAAAUAAAAAUGCAACAGCAAUCAUGCUUUUGUUACCAAAUAGAUUCUAAGUAUUAUUCUUAUACGAUUUAAAAAAACAUACCUCAUAUGUUAAUGUGAUUAGUUGAAAAAAGUUAAGGUGCUCUUUUCUCCAAAGUAAUAUUCAACAAAUAUUAAUUAUGAGGAGUGUAGCUUAACUGGUAAAAUUUUGAGUUUACUCUCCAGAGAUUACCAAUUUGAGUGUUACAAACUUCAGGGCUACUGAAGAUUUACAUGGUCGUUAAUUUUAGGAUCUCGAGAAAUUAAUUAAGAUACGCGUAAUCUAACCCAAAUACUCAAAAUUAACAAUAUUUAUAUAUAUAUAUUCAACAAAUAUUUGCGGCAGCUUUGGUAUCUACACAUAUAAUGAUAGUAUUAGGGCAAAGAAAGGCUAAUUGAAGGCACUUUUAGGGCAUGAAAACACUAAUUAAGGGCCUGCCUUUUACUGUUGUGGUCAAAUAAUUUGCCAUUUUUAAGGUUUUUCACUUUUUCACUUUCCACAAACCACAAACAUUUUCAUAUUUUAGUAUCGACGUGGAGCCCAACAAAAGCCAGCAAUGGUGUCUAGGCCGGUGCCUGAAGUGGGGCCUUCAAUCACCGGCUAUGAUCAUUACCAUCCAAAUGACUCCUGUUGGAUGGCCCCCACAAUAAAAAUUGAAACAAUUUUGGUGCCAUGGUUUUUUUCUUUUCAUGGUAAUGUUCUCAAGUUGUUUUUAUAUAUUAAUUUCAUUUUACUUUACGUUUUUAAUUAGAUUAAAACAAGUUUUUCUUAUUGAUAUUAAGAUUUCGUAUAGCUACUGUUUUUUUAAAAGAUUCAUAAUAAAAAAAAUUAUUAUUGAACGCAAAAAACAUGUCAAGAUUAUAAAUAAAUAAAUAUAACCUUAUUAUCUCUUGAUGGUUUCAAAGAAAAAAAAAAGAGAUUUGAAUUAUAGUACCAGAAAGAAGUACCAUGGACCAUGAUUUUGCUUCUUUUUUUUUUCCUUCUUUAGAAAGAAGUACCAUGGACCAUGAUUUUGCUUCUUUUUUUUUUCCUUCUUUAUAUAUAUAACCCUUUUAUAUAUAUAUAUAUAUAUAUAGCCUUGGAAACCGACCUUCCUAAAGAUGGAGCUUUUGGUGGGCCAACGUCUACAUGCUUUCCAGGUAGGACUCUCGUGAUGUUGGGACCCACUUUCAGCCGUCUGAUUUGCCACGCUUGAUCACAGUCAUUGAUCUGAUCUUGUCUUCGUACAAUGCCAUCUCAUUUCUCCAAUACCAAAAUAAAAAAAAAAAACCUUCCACUCCAUGUCUUUAAAAUAUGAUAUUUUUUUAAUUAAUCAGGUAUUAGAUUUAAUCUGUAAUAAUCACGAGUUGGAGUUCUUUCAGGACCACUGGAAACUUACAUAAUCGUUAACUUCAGGACCCGUGAAAUUAGUCGAAGUGCACAUAAGCUAGUCCGGACACCCACGUUAAUAAAAAAAAUAGUAUUUUUUAGGUUAAAAAUCUUGUAUUUUAAUAUCAUCUACUAUAUUUAUGAAAAAAUUAUAUUAAAAAAUUCAUUAUGGAUACAUAAUUAUAUAAUCUAUCUAAAAAGUAAUUAAAAAUGUAUUUUCUUUUCAAUGUUAAAAAUAUUAUAGGUCCAACUUGUAAUCUAUUUUUUUUUUUCCAGAAAAAGCUAGACAUCCAAAAUUCAAAACAACAGGAUGAAAAGCUAAUUGAAAAGCUAAUUUAUCGGAAAAGAAAAAAGAACAAAUUAAAUGUGCAUCGCAUCUCAAUUUAAAUUCAUGUACAUGUUGAUCAAGAGUGGUAAUUAAAAUACCAUAAAUGUGUUCAUAACAAUAAAUAUAUAUAUAUAUAUAUAUAUAUAUAUAUAUAUAUAUAUAUAUAUAUAUAUAUAUAAAUGCGAGAAAUGAUCGACCUAUUUGCACCUUGAAAGGAACAUGAUACCAUCACACCACAACAAGAGGUCCUCUGUCAUUAUGAGACUUUGCAUGACAAUCCAUUUUGCACCCUAUAGAAGAACUUGCAUUAAACCACAAUAUUAAUUACUCAAAUUAUUGUUGAACAACAAUAUUCCUCUCAUUAAUUUACCUUCAUUGCUUGAUAGGAGAAGAAAGCAAUCAAAAUAUAAGAAAGAAUGUUUGUGGAUUCAGCUAUGAAUUGGUUUGUUUCUAACAUUAUCGUUCAUAUUUAAAUUUAAAGAAAAAGAAAAAAAAGAAAAAAAUAAUAACUUUUGGCAUACUAAGAAUGUAUUUUUAAUCCAAAAACAACUAAAAAUUAAAUUAGUGUUUUUUUUUCAGAAAAAAAAAUUAAAUAGCACUUUAAAAAACAGGUUUAUCUACGCAAACAAACACUUGGUGUAUAGAACUAAUUUAAAAAUAUAUUGGCCCAUAAAGAAUUUCUUCUAAAAAGAGAACUACAGAUAGGAAUGGUGCGUGUGUCAUCUUCUCGUUGCCUAUACAUGGACACACUGUAAAGUGAGAAAGAAGAGAUGGGAGGUUUAAGAGGGAUCCUAAAUACGUGACCCCAUGAGAUUAUGAGCCGUUGAGCAGGUAGGAACAUGGCACAUUGGAUGGCUUGACAUGGGACAGCAUGGGCUAACCCUAAUGGCUUCUUGUUAUUGAUUACAUCAACACCCCAAUGGCCAUGAUUUAUAGACAGAGGAAGCUGUGGACUGUGUAGUGAAUCAUUUAGGUUCUUGACAGAUGAACCAUUUCUAUCAAGCUUUCUGUGGGGGCCAUAAAUCAACAUUCCUUCGACUAUGCUUCUCACCCUUUAAAAGGUCGUCGUCUGCAUGUGUGCACCAUCUAGGCUAGGCUAGGCUAGGCUAGCAUUUGAUGCGUUUCUGUAGAGAUCGGGAGUUUCACUGGUAUAAUAUAUACCUCCGUGUUUGCACAUCAAAAUAAUUUUAUAUUUUUUUUAGAUAAACAGUGUUUCAGCUGUAAUACCUAAACGCCUGUUGGAUUGUUUAUACUUUAAUGAUCAUGUAUAUACAGUAUAAUCGAAGGUGUAGAUAGCUUAUAGAUUUUAGAUAAAAUCCACAGAAGAUGAUGUAAACAUGAAAUAAUACUUCUUGAAAGAUUAGCUAUAUAUCGGAUUUGAUCUAACAUCAUUUGUAGUAUCGCAUGGCUAUGUAUUUUCAGCUCUUAAGCCUCUCAACUAGGGAUCAGGAAUCAAGAACCUAAAUAGUAUAUAAGCUUCGAAUAUGAUCACCUCUCUCCUAAAAAAAAAAAAAACAUUUUCAAAACAAAACCCACUAUAAAUCUAUGAGUUAAAACAAUACAUUUUAGAAGACCAAUUAUGUAACGAAUUUAAGCCAAGAUCAUCGUAUUGAUUAUGUCUUGUAUUUUGGCUGCUAAGAUUCCAACAAGGUUGGUGUAAAAGGAGCUUUCAAUGCCGCCAUAUCAGGAAACUUUACAGCAGGAGGUAACAUUUUACUGUCAUCUAGAUUCAGCAUGUCAAUGUUUUUAAGCAUGUAUGUAAUAAGCAUAACACAAGCCCAUAACGUGUCCAAGCAUGCAAGAGCCAAGAAGGAGCAUCUCAGGACGUACAGGUUUGAAGUUUCAAACCUUGCCAGGUUCAGAGACACACAGUUCUUCCUUCUCUAAAAUUCAACUGAAAUUUGUAAGCAAAUCUUGUAAAUGAAUCUCAUUGAUAUGAAAGGGAGAGCACAGAGUACAGUGCAGAAAUAGAUAAUUGCUCCUCUAGAUAUGAAAUUUCAGUAUUUGGAACUUGAGAGGGAAAUCCACUCUGAGGGUGGCCCAGGGACAGCUUUAUGCUGCUAAAUUUUCUGCUAUAACUUAGCAAUCCACCUGGUCAAUAGAGAAAGUGUUUAACAAAGAAGGGGGGCAGCUCCGACAGGAUACAUCAAUGAAGGUUCGAAGUGACAGAAGUUUCCAACACAGAAUGUCAGCUUAGGCUGAAUCUGUUUAUCUUUUGAAUCUUGUAAAGUUCCCACCAUAUAUGAUGGCUAUCGAGUAAUAAUGCAAUUUACUGUAAACCCUGGAGAAAAAGAAACAAACACCAUAGGAUUGCUCAACCCACUAGAUAAAGGCAUCACUGGUUCGUCCACUCGCAGAAAAAAGAAAGAACAGAUACAAAAAUCAAGCAUUAUCUAAAACCUAGCAUCAUAACACACUACCUGGUAAUUGAUUUCAUUGUCAAGUCAUUAAUAUGUUUCAAAUGUUCUUGGACAGCAAGCUGAAAGAUAUGCGUUUACAGGGAAAGUAUGAUAUUACCACCAGCAGUGUGGAAAAUUUCUCCAAUGGUUGUAAUAAAAUUCGAAUUCAAUCUAAAUGCUACAAUGAUGGAUUCGCUGGUUCUUAUAAUUGUUAGCCAACGCACUGACAGCGAACAAGCAAAACUCCAGUAAGAAUCCAUGAAAGAACAAGGAAGCCUUGUUGAGCAUAAACCCAUUUGGCAGCUGGCGCUUGUUGCCGAAGUUCAGCUCACAAGUUUUUUCAACACUGCUUCAGCACGCUGCUCAAAUUUUGGUAGGGCCCAUUCAUGCUGAAUUAUGUCAAGGCCAUCUUUCUCAGCACUCAAGUUCUGAGGAGAAUACAGAUAGAUAAGAUUAGUAGUCAACAGUUUUUGCUUAACAUUAUACGUACAGAUAUAUACUCACCGAGUUAAAAUAUGAAAGAGAAGUUGUAUGGUACAAAAUUCUUUCUUGGUACAUCUCAUACUUGAACCAUAUAUUUAACUGAUUACAAGGCAAGGCCAGUGGACAUUCUUGCCCAUAAAAUUUAAUUUACAUUUAUAAAGUACAAAUCAGUCCCAACAAUUCCAAUCCCUUUGGAAAAUGCAAUAUAUUCACACCUUUCCAGAUCUUCCAUUACCUGGCUAAAAUUCAACUGAUGAAAACGGGGAUCAAGUAUGUUGUCGGGGUCCCAUAAGAAAGAUUCUCAACAAUAAAAAAUCAAAACCCUAAUCAUGCACAAGACAUUUCUAAAGUAACAAAGAAAAAGAAGCCAAUGCUGUUCAGAAAAGCAGGUUAGUAAUUAUGGUGACAUGCUUAGAAAAUUUAAAACAAAUUAAAGCAGGCAUCAUGGAAUGCCCCACAUGCCUAAUCAUGUAUACCUAUGACCAUUUCAUAAGAGUAUCAUAACCGCACCACCUGAGGAGCAAAAGAGUGGCCGAGGCAGCAAAAUGGACAGCUGGAAAUGAUGGCAGCAGCCAUAAGAGAGGCUAGUCAAAUAGAGAAUGAACAUUACAGCGUUGACCUGAACCAAGCAAGGCCUAACUUUAUAGUGUUGACCUCAUUAUUAUGAAUCAAAUCCCACAUUAUGCUUUCUUUUUGGUGUGUGCAGUGGGGGAAGGUGAUUGGGGGUUCUGUAAAGAAUCUCCAAUGUUAUUCUUUUGGCGUUCGCUUCAAUUGGUGCAAAAUGAUAGAGGAUCCAGACAUGCAGUUAUCCAGAACUGACCAAACCCAACCCACAAUGGCAAACCUAGGCCCAGUACUGAGAAAAUUAAGCUGGCCAAGGGCAACCUCAAGGCUGUCAUCUCCUUUACUCGGUGUCUUAAAUAUUCCUGCCUGCAAUAUUCCUUUUACAACCCACCAGUCAAAUCAGUCUAAUCACAACCCAUUCUCGGCAUAGUGCUAGCAAAAAGCCUUCUAUUUUCGUAGGAAGUGGCGGCAGAUAAUAAUAAUAAAAAGAGCUCUAUACACAAUACUAAUCACAAGGACAAGUUCAAGUGCAAUUUGAAGCCCUUCAAUUGACAAAGUUAUAGUCUUCUGAAAUAUAACUGGGGAUCCAUAGCUAAUUCUAUCAUAGAGAAAUCUAAGAGCCUAUAUCAAUGAUAUAUCAUAUAAGGACUUCCUUUAAUUCCAAAUCAUCUGCUAUUUGGCUUUUCCCAGAAAAGAAAAAAGGUAUUAAGGAAAAAAAAGGCAAGCUGCAUAACAGACAGUUGAGCUAACUGGACCACUUAAGAACUCAAUAUGAUAAGCAAUGCCUGCAAGUGAUAAUAAUGAAAAGGUGCAGCCAAUGACCUACAGCAUCAUAGUAUUUUUGGACAGCAUUGACAACAGGCAGGACACAAUAAGGAACCCACCCAGAUACCUGUUACCUAAACACCAGCACCAGUGCUUGCAAUAAGUCUAUAUGGAAGCUAUCUACUUCUAAUGAACCCUUGAAACCCCAUCAGCCAUCAACAACUCAUGAAAGGACAUGGUAGUCUUGCUUAGUUGGUACUUGGUAGACAAUGGAUACCUGUUACCUAAACACCAGCACCAGUGCUUGCAACAAGUCUAUAUGGAAGCUGUCUACUUCUAAUGGACCCUUGAAACCCCAUCAGCCAUCAACAACUCAUAAAAGAACUUGGUAGUCUUGCUUAGUUCGUAGUUGGAAGACACUUGUUGCCUCUAGCACCAUUAAAUCACCAGGUCUAAAAUUCUAGUUGUACUUUUGUAGAGGUUUGAAUUGUUCAAUUUAAAUAUGGUCCAACAGCUUCUUAAUUUCUUUUACUCAUUUAAAUAAAAAGACUUAGCUGUUAAGAUGUAUCUAAAUAGCAAUUCCAAUGGGAAAGAUUGAUUCAACUCCCAAUCAUCUCUAUUCAAAUCUGAGUUGCUAGUAAAACCACUGAAUCUAAAGAUUUUGUUCAUGAUAGAAUCAUAAAGAUGUAUCAUGAAUUUGCCUUUUUCACACAAUGAUGGGAUCACAAUUAAAUAAAUGGCAACUACUUAACUACAAAGCCGUAUGGUCCCAGUGACAGUAUCCAUCUAUUCCCAUUAGUACAACCUUGGCAGUAUCAAUCUACAUGGUCUAGAUUUAGGGCAGUAAAAUAGAAACCAGCAGAUCAAUACACAAGGGCAAUUCUUUGGACACAAUAACAGUCAUACUGCAAUCGAUGUAGUAAGGACAUUAUUAUUAAUAACUAAAUCUGUUCAAAAAGAUCAUGUAAGGUAUACUCAUUAUAGAUAGUAGUCAAAAAGGACUGAAAAUAUCUAUAAUGUUUAACCAUUUAAACAGUUUGGUUUUGCAAGCUAAAAUGAUCAGUAGAGGGCCAGUUAAGUUUGUACCUUGGUUGGAUCAAAACCAAAACCACCCAUUUGCAUCAUCCGCUGGGUAUCAUCCAUAGCUGCAUUACAAAUAUCGUAUUUGAGCAUCUAGAGAAUAUAUCCAGAAAUCCUAAAGUAUGCUAAAGUCCAAUUUAUGCUUCUAGACUCUGGCACCAAUGAUUUUGCAAGAGAAGCAGCAAUUCAGAUCUCAGACAAAAUAGAUAUAACUACGAAGAUUUAUGAACUAAUACUAACCAUUUUCUUCACCCAGAAUGAGACUAAAUAAACCCCUUAAUCCAAACAAAUUAAGGAAAUACCUGCAACAGAAAGGGAUUGUGGACAAAUAGAGAUAUUAAACCAAGCACAAGUCCAGAAUUCUCUAGAAAAAGCUUCUCAGCAAUUUUUCAGAAUAUAAUUUCUCAUAUAGACAAAUACCAUGAUCGACUGCUAACAUAGCUAACAUCCACAGUGCUCAAAUCAAUCCCAUUUUGCAGCAUUGAUCUGAAUCUCUGAGUCAGUGGAAAUGGUAUCUUGGCUGCAUGGAAUAAGAGAUCAUAACAAAGUUGUAAAGAUCAAAUCCAGAAGGAAUUUAAGAUCGACAAAGGUCAUAUACUCAUAAAUUACUUAUAAAAUAUAGAGAUAAACCAUAUUUUGGCAUGAAGGACAUGAAACGUAGUUUAAGAAUCAAAAAGCUAAAAAAAAAAAACAAAAAAAAAAGACUGACCUGCAACAAAUCCAGAGAAGAAAAAGUUGACCCAUGCAAAGGUAAGAGUCUGGAAGAAGAAAAAAUCACAACUCAAUAUGCUAAAUUAUCUUGUUUGAAAAGACACAUUAGAGAAGGCCAAAAAGCUCUUGAACUGUUAAUACCUGGGGUAUAAUCAUAGAAAGGUUUUUCUUCAUCAUAUCCAUGGCCAUAUUUGGGUCAGAGAACAUUUGUGCUUGUGGAUUCUGACCCUGGCCCUUGGGAACAUGCAACAAUCCAUUUUCCUAAUCAAGAGUAAUUAACUUUUACGUUAGCAUCUUACCUACUGGAAAUGGAAAAUUUCAAGCUAGCAUCAGAAUUAUGACCCUAAAUGUAGCUCUCACAUACCAAAUCUGAGGUGCACAAGCAAAGCAAUGCAACAUAUCAUAUAUCUAAACCCCUCCAAUACAUUUAAAAAAAAUACAAUACGAAUCAUGUCAGACCUGCUUGGAAAUUGAAAGAAAAUGUACUUUAAAAAAAACAACCAAAUCUCAAAUCUCUUUCACAAAAUUAACCACAAAACAUAACCAAUUUAGAUACUUCUACAAACAAUUAACAAAUCCAACAUUCAAUCACCCUAAACCAAACAAACCAAAAACAAUAAAAAUAAAUCAAAACCUCAUUGCUAAAAUAAGCCCUUCGAGCUCGAAACGACUUAGCAGGUAUAAAGUUAGCUCCAGCUCGCAAAUUCCUUGCUCUCACAACAACUUGCCUGCAAUAAAAUCACAACAACAAACAAACUUUAAUACAAAUAAAACAAAUUCUGACAUACGUUUUCAAUAACGUAAAAAAAAUAAAUCACUAAAACUACCAGCAAAAACAUGAAAAAUCACAAAAGAACCAGAAUUUAGCACUAAAGAGAGAGUUUAUGACAUGGGUAUUCAAUAACUAGCCAAAGUUCACCAAAACCAGCACAAAAAUAAUCUAAAUCACAAAAAGAAACAAGCUUUAACGCUAAACAGAGAUUAUGUGACAUGGGUUUUUGAUAACUAACCCUUCUUUAACAAUUUUAGCAUCCGGAGUUUGCUGAGAUUGCAUAAGCUUUGAAACAAAGUAACGAAGGAUCCCAAUAAGAAUCAUCACUACUGUUAAUGGGAUCAGCACCCAAUCUCUUAUAGCUGUGUCUAGCACUAGAUCUUCUGCCAUUGAUUUCUUGAUUGGACGGAACCCACCAAAAUCAGACACAAAGUCCUGAUCUUUCGAGAGACUAAUGUACAGUCUUUUGCUCUUUAGUUCUGGUCUCUGGUUUGUUUGUGAUUGAAGGAGAAGGGAUGUGAGUGUCUUUGUUGGAAUAGAUUAGGGGUGUUGUUGUCUUUUAGAGUAGCUGAGAUUCACAACGCAGGGUUUCAAUCUGGUUUUUUUUUUUAUUAUUAUUUAAAAUCUAUUUUAAAAAAAGUUUGAAAUAUUUUAAAUUAAAAUUAUUUUGAUAUGCUGGUAUAAAAAAUAAAUUUUAAAUUUUAAAAAAAAUUAUUUGGUAUUAUAACAGCACUUAUUUUUCAAAGUAUUUUUUAUUUAGAAAUAAAUCAAAAUAAUAUUUAUUUUAUUUUUUAAAAUUUAUUUUUGACAUCAACAUAUCAAAACAAUCUAAAAAUAUUAAAAAUAAAACAAAUAAAACUUAAUUCAUUUGAUUGGACUCAUUAAUUCAAAAUUUGAUCGAAUAGAAUUUUAUUUUAAAUUGUUUUUUAUUUUGACCUGAUGAAAUUUAAGUAUUUUAAUUAACUGACCUAUAAUUUAAGUAACCUGGCUUAAUCUAUAAAAUACCUGUUUAAGUUAAUUUUAAUUAUUUUUUUAAUUUUAUUGAAGAUAAUAUUAUUUUAAUUUUUAAUUUUAAUAUUCAUUCUAAUUGACUCUUUGAUCUGUAAAAUAACAUGAUAAACUAAUGACUCAAGCCCUAAAAUAGGCAACUGUGGUUUGGACUCGUGCAAGAAGUGUUUGUUUAUAAUAUUAAUGUUAUGAAGUUUUCUUUCAAAGCAAGCAUGUAAAAACUUAUAAUUCUUGUAUUGAUCUAUUCAAUAUAUCAUUAAUUAGAUAUGAGAGUUUACUUAAUUAGUUAAAAAUGAAUGUUUGACAUGAUUUUCAUGCUCUUUAUUGAUCUUUCAUGAAAUCAAGUAAAAUAUAGCUAGGGAAGUUUUUGGUAUUUUAGUAUAAAUAUUUUUUAAAAGUUUUUUUUUUAAAAAAAAUAUAUCAAAUAAUUAUUUUAGAUUUUUUUAAAAUUUUAACAUCAAUACAUUAAAAUUAUAUAUAAAAAAAAUUAAAUCAAUUUGAUGUUUUUUCACAUCAAAUUCACUUUUAAAAAACACCUCAAAGGAUCAAAUUUGAUAAUUUUUCACAUCAAAUUUAUUUUAAAAAAGCACCCAAAAUCAAAAAAUACCACUCACUAAACCUGCUUGAUACAUGACUUGUUACUUAUUAUCGGAUAAUAAUAAUUAAGUCAAAGGGUGAUCCUUUUUGUAAAUCAAUAUUUUAAGGACUGAGGUUCGAAGAAGGGCGUAAAUUUUUCUCUGACAAGUCUCUUGAAGUUUCCAGUUGCCACACUACAAAACUAGUCCCUCCCUGAGCACAAAACUUGAACUUGCUGAGUUUAACAACAGUAAUUGGAGUUCGUUCAAAACCGAGGAAAAUCCUGUCAUGGUUGAAGUGUCCGUAGAGUUCAAAACAUAAGCACCUGGAUGGCGAAAGGAAAAGCAAAAAGGGACUAGCCUGUUAAGUGGCAUAACAUGAUCAGAGCCAGUACAUAUAUAUCCUCUGGUAGACUCGUAAUGGUUUCAAUUGAUUUGAUUCGAUUCGGCUGGUGCUGUGUAUUGUUUGAGUGUGUAUCAAGGCUUUUCUGAUUCGGCUAACAAAGCAAAAGUGUUUCGGCGUAGUUUGCUUUCACUUCUGCAAGCUCGAUGUGUGUUCUGUAAAAGAAGUAUUGAAACUUCUAGCCAUCUUAAAGUGUUUUUGCUUGGAAGUUAUGGAUGGAAUUCCUAGCUUGGUGGGGUAUUAGUGGCUGCUUCCCAAAAACUGCUGAUGAUAUGUGUUAGUAAUGAUCUACAAUGGUGCCAGGAAAAUUCAGAAACAUUCAUGGCAACCUCUCUUUACUUGUAUUGUUUGGAGUCUGUGGCUUCAUCGGAAUGAUGUAAUCUUUAAUGAUGCUACUCCAGAUCUUAUGGUUGAAGAUUGAUAGAAACACUUUUGCUUACACCGGAAUAUUGGAUCUAGGAUCAAAUUCUGGAAUAACAGAAUAACUCAUAGCUGACUUUUACCAUCUUUUCUUUUGCCUUACUUUUAUGGCUUCUUUUUUUUUUUUUUUUUUGUCUUGUUUCUGUUGUUUCCUUUUUUUUCUACUUCUUUGACUGUCUUCUUAUUAGCUAAAGGUAAUAAAAUCUAGAAGCCUGCCUUCUCAAUGGGGUGAGUUUAAUUUUCUCUAAUUACAUUCAAGUUCGAAUCUGCUGGGAAUCAAGCUUUCCUUGAUAAGCAUCAUGUUAAAGUAGUUGUAGUAGAAUCAGCUUAAAAUCCCAAAUCAAUUACAAGUAUAAAAAUAUAUAAAAAAUAAAUGUAAUCAAUCACAAGAUUAUGUACAAAAUUUACGUAAUUUAAUAACUUAUGUCUUAUUUUCAUAGACAAGACAAUCAAAAAACAAAAUUUAUAUGAGAAAGUAAAAAUUACAAGGUAAAUCCAUCCAAAAUCCCAAAUUAAAUAACCCAACGUUGACGGCUAUUUUUUUUUUUUUUUGAUUCGAGGAAACUCCACUCUCUGAAAAGCGUACUUUGUGAGUUCAUGUGAAUGAGUAAAAUUCCGGCUGUUCCAGGCUCUUACAAGAGAUGUACACCCUGACUCGAACUCGAGACCUAUUGUGUAGAUCUCAAACCCUUUAUCAUCAGACUACGCCUCCUAGAAACAUUGACUACUAAUUGCUAACGCUAAUCCGACUACUUAAUUACGUAUGGUUUUCUGCAAGGUAUCAUUCUGUAGGUAUCAUUCUUGGGAUCAUGCAGAAUGCUUGCCUUUUCACCUGCCUCUAUCAGAAUUUCAGCAUUUUUCAAAGUAAGCAGGGGCUUCAAAAAUAUGUAGUUAUAGCCCUCAACUCUCUGAGGCAGCUUAAUCACAAACCGCAGUUCCCAUGAAUCCUUCAUGGACCAAAUGUAAGCCUCGUCAACUUUUGAAAGAUAGAAGGCUGAUAUCAAUUCAUCAAGCAUAUAUACUUGUCUCCAUGUGAAUUCCCUCAUUGUAAUUCAAAAUAGACUCUGGUUAUCUCCUUGAACUCUUCUCUGCUCAUGUCAUAUGAAACUAUCAAAUACCACCCCGUCCUUCCGAUCAUGCUAGUUGCUUUCUGGAUAAGAAAAUCAUUGCCAAGCCAAAUAGCAGCUUUGUAAUUCAGAUGGAAUAAUGGAAUAUACCUCCAAUGUCCUUCCACCCAUCAGCUUUCAAAGAGUAGACUCUAGGGCCUCAAUUCAUAUGAGUCGAUGUCAAUGAAUGGCUUAUCAUUAUAUGAACACAUCUUAUGACCUUGUAAUCAUCUUCUUCUUGAAGAUAACCAAACCCCAACAAAGGGAAAGAGUUCUCAACUGUGGCGAUAUUGAAACCCGAGAAUGGAAGGAGUAAUUUGAAAACCCCAAUAGAGGGAUUCAAGAGAAAGAUAUCUCGAUAGCACUUUUGGUCCGAAAUGCAAAUUAAGUAUGCCCUUGCAUGAACCAGAAAUUUCUACGUUUUCUAUGCUUAAUGAAAAAGGCAAUGACAGCCUUCUUGCCUUGCUCCAUUCUUCAUCUUCAACACAAUAAAGCUUGGAGUCAAGCUUCAGGACAAGAUUUGGGUUCUUCAAAUUUGCUAUUUGGAUGCUACUUAACAAAUUCUAGACUGCCAAGGAAUAUUGCCAACAUUGACUUGACAGGCAGUCUAGCAAAAAUGUCAGUGAUGAUUUAUCACUAGGAAUGUUAGAUGACAUUUCAGUGAAUGUAUAGUUGCUGGUGGAUGCUGCUGAGCUUGGUGAACUCAUUUUUGGCUAUAGGCAUAUAUGUUGUCAGAUUAGCUGUAUCCAAGGAUGGGAGAAGAUGGGAAUAUAUAUGGACAAAGCAGGAGGGCUCAUUGGCCAUACUUUCAUUAAUGAAAGAUAUCUGAGUAGAUUCCGAUCUACUAUUUUCUUGAGAAAAUAAGGAACCUCCUUAGAUUACUGCUUGAAGCAAUUGAAAGUAUUGUUUCAAAUUCUUUUCUUGCAAUGAAACCCCAAAAAAACAAAGAAUCUUUUCUUGCAUGUUACUUAACCUUUCUUUGUUCCAAAGGUUCCUCAAAAUAAUUCUAUAUCCUCAAAACUUAUGUUUAUGAUGCAUCCCACAUGCUUAUGAUCUUCAUUCCUUCAACAUUCCAAUGGCCAUUGUCUCUCACCCCACCUUGUUAAACGGAACUAGACUAUUCGUCUCAAAUUCACCUCCAAAACUCACCCCACAAGCAAGGAAUUCCUACAGUCCCACUACUAGUCAUAAAAAUAUACGUACAAGAAUUUGUGCUUGUGUUGCGAAAUGCCAUCCACAAUUCUUGCACCAACCUUUGAUUGAAACUAGCUUCUCUUCAAGGCAUAGAGACUUAUUGCCACUAGUGCCAUCCAAUGCUAAGACAUCAUCAGGAUCAGGAGAGGAAGAUAACCCAGCUGUAGAAACAGUUCUCAAGCUUUACACAUCAAUCAAGAACAAAAAUAUCAGGGAAUUGUCUGAUAUAAUUGGUGAUGAAUGCCGAUGUGUUUGCAAUUUCUUCUCCUUCUUCCAACCCUUCCAAGGGAAACAGGCAUGCCCAUUAAAUUUCCAACUUGCUAAAUUCUUUUACCUAGAGUUGUAGCAUCACACAAAUGAUAUACAUGUGAUUCCUUUUGUUUUCCUUUUGCAGCAAGUGUUGAAUUUUUUCAAAAUUCUGAUCAAAUUCUUGGGAAACAAUUUUGAAUUUGUCGUGCAACCUACCUUCCAUGAUGGACUGAAUGUUGGCGUAGCUUGGAGACUAAGUAUAUGCCACUGCCUUCUAUCUCCCUUUGUUGGUUUUUUGGGAAAACUUCAUUAACAUCCCUAAUAUUUUACCUCUUUCUCAAUAUUGUCAUCCUAAACCGAUUAAUUUUAUGAAUUCCUCAUUCAAAACCUAUUAGAAAUUAAGCAAUGCUUCCUUUCCAUAGACAAAACACGUUCAGAAAACACCUGGGUAUUCUAGCAUGGGAGGGAAACAUUGUUUAAUUCAAAUAAGUUUGGGAUGAGAAAUCGAUAAAAUUAAUCAGUUUGGGAUGAAAUUAAGAAUCAAAUAAUAUGUUAGGGACACAAAUGAGGUUCUUCUUCUUCUUCUUCCUCCUUUUUCCUUGAUAAUUAGGAGGGCUCCAAGUGGAGACUUGGGGAGGGGACAAGGUACACAACCAACCAUAGCAAGUUGGCUAUAUAUGUUGUCAUUGCCAUCUCUUCACAGGGAAAUUAUCACAGUUUUGAGGAGUUGCAAGGGAAGCUUUUCUUACCAUGUUUUUUUUUUAUGUUUGGUUAAUUUAUUUUGUAAUUUGUAGACUGGAGCAAGACACAUGUGCCUUUCGGAAAGGGUUUCAGCUUCUACAUUCUCCAAGUAUACCAAGGGAGGAUCGUCAUAAGGUGUGUGAUCAAAACAUCUCCACAAGAUUAUCCAUUAACCUCAAAUUUCAAAAAAGAGAAACACUCAUUUAAUAUAAUAUAUAAAUUAAUCACUUAGUUAUUAUCUUUGAGAUAGAAAAUUGAAAGAUAAAAAGAUGGGAAAGAUACGUCUCAUUGUAUUUUUUUAUUUGAAAAUAUAGAAAUUUAUUCUAAAACUAUUAUAUAUAUAUAUAUAUAUAUAUAUAUAUAUAUAUAUAUAUAUAUAUAUAUAUAUUCAUUUUAUUUCUUCGUUUUUAAGUCUUCAAUCAUACACUUUUCCGUCUUUAUUAACUUUAUAUUUUGUAUUUGUACAUAAUUAUAUAUGACAAAUUAAUUAUUAUAUAGAUUGAGCCAAUAGUAUAAAAAAAAUCUGACCACUAGCUUUAGCAAUAAUGGUUGGAUUUACUGUAUAUUACAUGAGCUAAAUAAUAUUGAUGAUGCAUGAGCUUUCCAUUUGUCCAUCUCAUGAAUGACAGUACUAUAUAUUACAGGAAUGUGGAGAUGUUCAUGGAACCACUUCUUCAUAUUGAGCCUUUUAGACUGGUAAUUUGCAAUCCCGAUUUUCUUAUUCACUGAAUCCGGUGCAAAUCAGAAGUAAGGGGAGGAUACUGAUGACUCCUUCUGGCAUAUGAUAGACACCCUUUUUCCUUCUUCUGCAGAAAAUGAUGGGAUUCGCCAUGAGCAUUGUGGAAAAGAUGAGCUCCUGUAAAUUGUCCAGAGACAAGGUGAAGAAAGCUGUGCUUGUUAUGGUUUUGCUUGCUGUCAUCUUGAUCUUCUUAAUGCCAGGGAUGUAUUAGGCAGCAUAAACCCUGUAAGAUGAUGCAAUCACAGCAUCUCCUGUUUCAGUUAGUACUGUACCAUGUGGUAGUGUGCCCAGAGAUGCUCAGAAUUUCUGUAUGAGAUUUGAUUAGAUUAAUUCUAAAAUAAUUAAAAAAUUAAAUUACAGCAUAUUAGAUUAAAAAACACAAAGGCCUAGAGACAUGUGAAACCACCUCGUAAACCAGGUCCUAAACCGAAUAGAUCCAUGGCACAAAAGCCAUAUUUUAUACAUUAAUUUAAUGAAAAAGGGAAUGUCCAUGGUAUAAUAAACAAAAACAAAAAAACAUUUUGAUGAACAAGUGAUGUGCUUCCCAAUAAGUGGGGUGGAAUUCCAAGUAGAAACAAAAGCGGAAGUAAGGCCACUUCCAUUUAAAAAAAAAAGAGUAAAAAAUAGGUUCCAUAGAACUAUAUUAAAUACUUUAUUAAUAAAUUCGUCUUUAUUUAUUAGGAGUUUUCUAUGCAAGGUAAUAUUGUUGGUACCAUUCCAAUUCCAUUGGAUAGUGUAAUUUUCAUGUCCUUUUCUUUUAUAGAUCUUGUUUGGGCUAUAGUUGAAAUACUUUAGCAUUAAAUUUUGAUUUGUUUUUGCUAUAAAUAAUUUUUUUUAGUUUAUUAGAUUGUUUUAAUGGACUGAUGUUAAGAAUAAAUAUUAAAAUAUUAAAAAAAAUAUUAUUUUGAUGUAUUUAUAAAAAAAAUAUUUAAAAAAAAAACUUUUACCACAUUUUCAAAUAAAACCUUAGUUUAAUACCAAGUAUAAUCGAUAUGGAGUUUCAUUUUAAAAGUAUCAAUAGCAUAUUGAUAAAUCUUUCUUUUAGUGUGUUUUUAACAUUGUGAUACAUUUUAUGAUUGCGUUUUGAAAAUAUAAAUUUAAAAAAGUUAUAAAUUAUAGUUUUUUUAAUUAAUAUUUUUUUUAAAAAAUUAGGAGUAUCAUGCAAAAUUGUAGUAUCUUUUGAUUAACUAAACAUUUUUAAAUCUAUAAUUAAAUAAAAACUCAUAUUAAUCCACAUUGCAUCGCAAAAAUAAAAAGAGAUAUGGGUGUUUGAGAAUAUUUUUAUUUUUAGGUACAUCUCAAAAGUGUUUUUAACUUAAAAAAAUAUAAAAAUUAUAUUUUAAUAUAUUUUUAAUUAAAAAAUUAUUUUAAAAAGCAAUCAACAAUAUAUUACGAGACACACAUUAGUUUCAUGAGUUAAUCAUUCAAUUCAUAGAUUUUACUCUUUUCAUUUCAAUUUUAUUUCUCUCUCUAAAGGACGACCAAUUUGAUAUAUAAAUAAUUUAUUUUGAUAUGAAAUUUAUAUAUAUUUAACACCUCAUACUUAGUUCUAUAUAUUUAAGACCACAAGACUUGAUAACUAUCUUAAUAAGUAGCAUUAAACACCAAUGAUUCUCUUUUCUAAAAAAAAAAUAUGGGUCCAUGCACGCAAAAUUUUAGUGCCCAAUCAAGAUAUGAUCAAGUUUUUGGUUCAAAAAUCCAAAAUAACAUCAAGUUUUUGGUUCAAAAAUCCAAAAUAACAAUGAAAUGCUGCAUAAAUCCUUAAUUAAUCUCGUAAUCUUGAUAUCAUAAUCUAAUAUUUUAUUUUUCAUGUAAUUUAUUAUUUUUAUUUACUACCAUGAAAAAUAAAAUAAAAAUCAUUUUAAAUUAUAAAAAACAAAUGAGAAAGAUUUAAGGAAUGUUGUUUUACCGGAAUUGACUUGAAUUAAUGAGAUUGUUUUAUAGUUAUUUUAUCCGAUAAAUAUCAACUCAUUCAUAACUUGAUACACACACACACACACACUCACAUAUAUAUUACUUAAAUAAUAAAUCCUUUUGUAAAUAUUCAAAACUGAUUUUAAUAUUUAAAUUUUAUACCAGGUAAAUAAUAAAUAUAAUAUAAAUAAAAUAAAAUCUGAUCCAUGAAUUAAAUCAUCAUUAUCAACCAUAUAAAAAAUGUUGUAACUCGACUUGAUCCAACAAGUAAAAAUUUGAACGAUUUAGGAUAAUAUAUGUAAUUUCAUAUUUUUCCAGUAAUUAAUUUCUUUUGUUGCCGUGCUGUUAAUAAUGCACCCCCAUACACACGUUAUAGAUUGCAAACUCCCUACCAAACUGUAUCUCUCCCUCUCCCUCUCUCUCUGGCAUGUCCUUUUCUAAGCCCGCAUUCACAUUUGGUCUCGGUUUCUUUGAUCAAUCAAGUAAUCUCUUUCCAUCUCCUUAAAAAAAAAAUUCUCAAACUUUGAUGGGUUUUGUUCGAUUCUGAUCUCAAGGUACAGUUUUCAAGAUUUUGAUUUUCUUUUUGUACACUUUUGGUUUUCUGGCUUCUUUGAUGGAUUUCUGAAAUUGGUCUUGGAGAUUUUUGGAUUCUCCGUUGAAUUUGGUGCAAAGGGUCUAUUUUUUAGAAGAUUUUGAGCUUUUUUAGUUUAUUUAGCGUAUUUUGGAAUCUGGGUUUUUUUGUGGUUGUUUAGAGAAACUGGUAUAUUAGGAUUUUUUUUUUUUAGUUUUGCUCAUUUUAGAAAGUUUUAAGCAUGUUCUGUUUUUUUAUGAUGAUUUAGAGAAAUGGGAGGUUUUUGGGUUUUAUAGAGUGUUUUUUUUUCCUUGCAUUGUAGCUUCUUGGGUGGGAAUAAGAUGAAGAGGUUAAAGAAUGAACCUUCUAGUACUAGGAGGUGCAAGCUGUCGCAUUUGUUGUUGGUUAUAGGAGCAUUGUACUUGGUGUUUUUAGCAUUCAAGUUUCGACAUUUUUUAGAGAUUGCAGCAAUGGUGAGUGGGGGUGAUAGUUAUGUUGGAUUGGAUUCGUUUUCCAUGGUAAAAGAUGUUGAAGAUUCUGAUUUAAGCAAAUCGUUUUUUAGUUCGGUUUAUAAGGAUACGUUUCACCGGAAAUUAGAAGAUAAUCGAAACCAAAACGCACCGAUGAUGCCCAGUAAGGAACCUUUGGAAGAGGAGAAAAGAGGGGGGACAAAAACUAUAAAACCAAUUCAGUAUCCUUAUGGUCGAAUAACAGGAGAAUUUAUGAGGCGAAGGAAUGCAACUAGGAAUUUUUCACCAUUUGAGAGAAUGGCAGAUGAGGCUUGGCUGCUUGGAUUAAAGGCAUGGGAAGAAGUGGAAAAUUAUGAUGGAAAGGAGAUUGGACAGAGUUCUUUAUACGAGGGGAAGAUUGAGUCAUGUCCUCUGUGGGUAUCCAUGAGUGGCGAGGAGUUCGCUGGAGGGGAAAAGUUGAUGCUUCUUCCAUGUGGUUUAGCAGCAGGGUCAUCUAUAACCAUUGUGGGAACACCCCAUCAUGCACACCAGGAGUAUGUACCCCAGCUUACAAGGUUGAGGAAUGGUGAUGGCACUGUUAUGAUUUCACAGUUCAUGAUUGAGUUGCAGGGGUUGAAGUCAGUGGAGGGGGAGGAUCCACCGAAGAUUCUACAUUUAAAUCCUCGAUUGAGGGGAGAUUGGAGUCGGCAUCCUGUCAUUGAGCAUAAUACCUGCUAUAGGAUGCAAUGGGGGACAGCUCAAAGGUGUGAUGGUUUGCCAUCCAAGAAAGAUGAGGACAUGCUGGGUAAGAGCUACCUUGUUUUUUAAUAGUGUUGGUUAACUCAUUUUCCUUGUUUGCUUAUGUAUGCUAAGUUAAAUGCAACUUGGAAAGAUGAUUACUUAAUGUAUACUUUUAUUAAAGAAAGAUGAUGCAAUGGGGGGGUGGGGGGGCUUACAUUGAGGGGACUCAAGUCCCUAGAAUUGAUGUUUUGUUAGACAUUCUCUACACUUUUCUUCACAUAAGUUGUGUGAGGUGAAAGAGAUGUGAUUGCCUUCCUAAAUCUUUCUAGACAAUUCAGUUAGUGCUAGGGGCAUAAGUGAAAACUGCAUAUAGCCCUAGUUCAGAUUAAAAUUUGUGUUGAUGACCAUUUACAUCAGGUUGGUACUCGACCAUUGACCCCUUGAUUUUAUGCUAGGAUGCUGGUAAGAUCCUAUCUAGUUAUGCUUUAGUUUCUACUUCGAUAGUACAUGGUUUUUAGUUAAUAUAUAGUCAAAGAAAUGUCUCAACUGAGAUGCAAUAUUCAGAUCUAACUAUUAUCUUUGUUUUCUUCCCCUGUUUUCUUAUUAAGCACCAUGACAUUGUUUCUGAUAUUGAUGCCAAUUUCUGCACCACCUUUCCUUUUCAUGUAGAAAUUAGAAAAUGAUGCACUUGCCAGAAUUUAUAUUUUAGCACUUUGCAGACGGAUUCUAGCUUACCUAUGGUUAACUUGUUAACAAAUGUGAACUAGAUUUGAAAAGUAGGUUUAGAGUAUCAUUAAGCUUAGAUUAAUUUCCUCAUGGGUGUAAAUGACAUAAAGGUGGGUCAGAGUUGGUGAAGAGUUUUUGCUGGUCUGGUUUGUGUUAAACUGUAUGAUUUCUGAAGCAUUUGUCUUUAUUGUCAUACUUACCUAAUAGUCGUUGAAGUUCUUAAUUGUUCAGCUUCCUUGUUAAUAACCACAUUUAAGCCCGCACCCUGAAGUUCUUUGUGAAUUUUGAUUCUCCCUACUCUAUUUUAGAAAAUUGAAUUGUAUAAUUUUUCUAAUGCAUGUAUUCGGCAGUUGAUGAACAUUUGAGAUGUGAGAAAUGGAUGCGGGAUGAUAAUGUAGACUCAAAAGAGUCCAAGACAACAUCGUGGUUUAAGAGAUUUAUAGGGCGUGAACAGAAACCUGAAGUGACCUGGCCAUUUCCUUUUGUGGAGGGAAAAUUGUUUGUCCUGACCUUGCGUGCUGGUGUUGAUGGAUACCAUAUUAGUGUUGGGGGCCGGCAUGUGACCUCAUUUCCAUAUCGUCCGGUAAGUUGAUAUAGAUGAGAAAAAAGUGAUUAUUAUACCCUUUGACAGUUCCUUCUGUUUCUCCAACUCAAAUGGUGAACCUUGGCCUUGUGGAUUUGGAAAAUGAUAUUUGCAUAUCUGAUGCACAAUGGGUUUUCUAGCUGUUCUAUCCACCCACUUGGGAGAAAUAGCACUUUCAAAAUAUUUGUGACAUUGACAUUUUUUUUAUGAAGAUUUCCAUGAACUAACCUUAUCCCUGUUUAUCAUCUUUUUAAGCUUGCCCUUUUCUUGAUUCCCUUUGCUUUCCACUGGAUUUCUUCAUUAUAGUCCCUGUAGAUUUUGCAGUGCAUAAUCUUAAUAGUUGUGUUUGUUAGAGUAGUAGUAUGUUUUGUUCAAUUAUAUAAUAAGCUCAAAAUAUUUCCUACAACAUUUUUCCGUGGCUUUAGGGAUUUACCCUUGAAGAUGCAACGGGAUUAGCAAUCAAAGGAGACAUGGAUGUUCAUUCAAUUUUUGCCACUUCUCUACCCAGAUCACAUCCAAGCUUCUCUCCUCAAAGAGUAUUGGAAAUGUCAGAAAAGUGGAAAGCUCAUCCUUUACCAAAGAGGCCAAUUCAAGUUUUUAUUGGGAUUCUAUCAGCUACAAAUCACUUUGCAGAACGCAUGGCAGUUAGAAAAACUUGGAUGCAAUCAUCAGCAAUCAAGUCAUCAAAUGUAGUUGCUCGUUUUUUUGUUGCAUUGGUAAGAUCUCCACAUUUAUUUCUUAACCCUCAAUUUUAUUUGUUUUUUAAGUAGCAAUGUUUAAUUGUAUCAACAGUCACUCAAUUAUUCCCUGAUUUGAGAAACAUACUUCAAUUAUUGAAUCUUUUAUGUAUUCUUUCAUCUUCUUUGCAAGUUUACCAAAGUCUUUUUAUCCAACUUCUCUUUCUUUCUGCUAAAAUUAUCCUUAAAUAAUGCCAUUCUAAAAAGUGACGCUCUAGUUGUUGUAUGGCCACAUCAAAAAAAGUUAAUGGAAAUUUGGAUCAAAGGACUGCAAUAAAAAUUUCAAAGAAAGUUGAAAUUGCAUUAAAUGAUUUGAAAUUGAGGAAUUUAAGUUGAGUAAUAGUUGAUGGUCCACUGACACAAUUAACAGCCUUACCCCACCUUUUGUUGUUGAUGAUUUAAGUGCUUGAUAUAAUUUUACAAGUCCAGAGAGCUUGGAUGCAAGGAUCUAUCUUUAUCAUUGCCCUAGAUAUUUUGUGUUGAAAUAUAAACAAGAAAAUACAAUGAAGAGCAAGAAAAACAAUAUUCAUGUACAUGGGAGCAUUGUGAAUUUACAAGAGUGUGUGUGUGUCUUUCAUUGUCAAAUUAUUUAAUCUACUUAAUGUAAUAUUGUGCAUUCUGUAAGAUGGACCAUUGUUUUGGAACAGAGGAAGCAGAACUAUGGUUAUUUACUAUUCUUUUUUUCUUUUUUUCCAUCCAUCUGUUAUGUAGAAUUCAUACUCUAAUUUAUCUUUGUACCUGUUCAUGAAAACCACAGAAUCCAAGGAAGGAGGUGAAUGCAGUACUAAAAAAAGAGGCAGCAUACUUUGGUGAUAUUGUGAUUUUGCCGUUUAUGGAUCGAUAUGAGCUUGUGGUUCUUAAAACUAUUGCUAUUUGUGAGUUUGGGGUAAGUCUAUGAUUCAUUCAGUUGGCAUUUUUCAUUGAAUCUUUUAAAUAGGAUCUUUGAGAACUAGUAAUUGUGUAUUUAUUUAUAUCUCCUGAAUAUAUUUUUUUAACACAUCUGAAUAUAUUUCAUGCAGGUUCAGAAUGUUUCUGCUGCGUACAUUAUGAAAUGUGAUGAUGAUACAUUUGUUAGGGUUGACACUGUCUUGAAAGAAAUUGACCGUACCUCUCGCUCCAAGUCACUUUAUAUGGGCAAUCUCAAUCUAUUACAUCGUCCUCUAAGAAAUGGCAAAUGGGCAGUUACUUUUGAGGUAUGUCAUGUGAUUUCUGAUUUCUUAAAAUCCCUGGCAGCAGUGUCUUUGCUUAUAUUAAUUCAAUUGUCUUGUUCUUUUUUCCCUUAAAAAACAAACUAAAACGUUAUAAUAUCUGGAGAAGGGGGGACAAAGGCAAAUUAUUAGAAUCUCUACAAAAUAUACAUCUUAACAAUCUCUUCUACGAGAUCAUAUAACCUGAACAUUCAGAAAAUGAAAGAAUUUUUAAUUGCUUAUCUGGUACACCAUCCUCUGUUUUACUAGAAACAACCUUGGUGAUACUGAUCAUGGCACUUAUGAAUUACUUGACUGAGUUACCAUAUGAAUUAACCAGCUUCUUUCUCAUUGAAGGAGCAUUAUUGGAAAUACUAUCUACAUUCUUGCAUUAUUUGCAAGAGUUGCCUACCUUUGUCUUCCUUUUUACCCUUCUCCUUUACAAUUUUUUACCGCAUUUGAUAUUCAUGGAAUGGAAUGGGUAUAGGUUCAGAAACUUGUUCUAGGCAUAGAAUGGCAGAAGACAGCUUUGAGAAGGCUGUGUGCGCUUCUUGGUUAGAGUUGAUAAGGGUUUUUUUUUUGGUAGUUAAAGAAUUCAAACAUCGUCCCUAAUCUGCUACCAGAGUCAUCCUUAAACUUGGUUCUUUUUUAUGAUUUUGGUACGUCAGGUCUUAGGGACCACGCUCUAGUUAAGCUCCUUUCAUGAAUCAGAUGGUCCUGAACAUACGAUACAUAUUGUUGCUUUUACUGUGAGUGUAAAAUGGAAAAGAAACUAGUAUUCUAGAUGUGGUUCGCAAUGUUCCUGCUCUUAAUGAAUUCAAAAUUUGAUUUCUCUGUGUUUCUGGAUGAGUAUGACAUGAAUGAUAUAAUUGUUUUUCUAUGUUCACUUCUUUCAUUUGAAGGUUAUUGCCUAUUGUAACAGGAAUGGCCUGAAGCAGUAUACCCUCCUUACGCUAAUGGACCUGGAUAUGUAAUUUCUACUGAUAUUGCUAAAUUUGUCAUCGCUCAACAUGGCAAACAAAGCCUCAGGGUUAGUGAUACUACAAUCUUAUUUAAUACUUUUUUUUCUGUUGGAGGAUGCUCUCCCUUCCUCUCCUUUUCUUUUAGCAAUUCUUUGACAGCUAUCUUUCCAAUCAGUCUGUGUUGUAAAAUAUGUUAAUUUCAUUGCAGCUCUUCAAGAUGGAAGAUGUUAGUAUGGGAAUGUGGGUUGAACAAUUCAACAGCUCCACCCCUGUCCAGUACUCCCACAACUGGAAAUUCUGUCAAUAUGGAUGCAUGGAGAACUAUUAUACUGCACAUUACCAAUCCCCAAGGCAGAUGAUCUGUCUAUGGGACAAGUUGGCGAGAGGUCGGGCUCAAUGUUGCAACUUCAGAUGACAUAUUUUAUCAGAUGUCUCCGAGGAGCCUUUAGAUGAUGGCGGCAGCUUUAUUACACUGGUUGACACGUGUUCAUAUUCUUGUCCUUAUUUUAUGCUUGGACCCUCUGGUCAGGUCACCUUUGCCGAUUUUGUUCAUUUAAGUGGGCUCUAGAGAUGGCUGUUUUUUAAUUGCAGCCUUUGAUUUUUGAAGAACAGACUUUUCAUCUUGUAAUUGAAAUGGCUUCUAGCCAAGGCCAAAACAUCUCGGCUUGAACUAAAAGCUGGAGAAAUUGUAUAUACCCUACUUUCUAUUACAAGUAUCGAUUCUGUUAGUGCAGAAGUGAGAAAAUCCUUUCGACUCAUUACAUGCUUCUGUUGCAAAUAUAGGUUGGAAAAUUUGAAGGACUAACUUGUUCGAAGUCGUGCACAUAUUGCUAGUCAUUCUUCAGCGUAAUAAUUCCUUUAAGGUUUUGUUUAUAAAGGUUUGGCUUGCUCUAUAUGCGCUUGUGUGGUGUGUUGUGGGUGGAGAAGCUGACAGAUUUUUGGGUAUCACUUCCUAUCUGGUGUGUACAAAAACCUGUCAGCUUCUCCACCCUCAACACACACAAGCGCAUAUAGAGCAAGCUAAACCUUUAUAAAACAUAACCUUAAAGGAAUUAUUACAGAGGAAUGAAUAGAAACUUCAUCAUUUAAUAUUUAACACUUCCUUCUUGAUUUUGAAUUUGCUUUAUAAAUUAUUUUAGUUUUUUUUUUCUACAAGGUUAGAUUACUAUACUUUUAAAUAAAUAUCUUUUUAUUUGAUUUGUGCCUAGUCAAGUUUAUACUUAAUUUUACGAAUGUUUAUUUUUAUUAUCAUUUAAUUAAAUGAAAAAUAAUAUUUUUUAAAAAAAUUCUUAAGCUCAGUAAAGUUCAUUAUUCGGAUAAUGGAUUUUAUUAGUUAAGUCAUGAAACCCGGAUUGAUCUAAUAUAUUAUAAUUUUAAUAUUAAAAAAAGAUCAGAAUAAUUUUUUUUUCAAGUCCAACCAUGCAUUUUAUUAGUUAUCCGGGUUAUUUUUGAAAUCUUCAAGUAGACUUGGUUAUAUCGGGAUAACUUUUAUUCGAAUUGAAAGAUUUCAAAGUUGGUCCGUUGAAUUAAAUUUAAUAAUAAUACCGAAAUAGGUUUUUAUGGCAUAAAUGUUUUCUUUUACAAUCAAAAUAUUUUUUAUUCAAGUGGCGCCGUGUACACUACUAAAAAGUAAAAGAGUUGCGGAUAAUGUGAUUAAAGGAAAGGAGAAAGAGUGCUUGGAAGCAAUUUCAUGUUUGAAUUCCCUUGUUCAACCUGAUGAUAAUGACAGAAUUGUUAUCAGUCAGCAACCACCGAAAGAGCAAAAGAAGGCUAUGAAAAGGAAGAGGUAUUGCUUGACCUUGCUUUACUUGGACUCUUGGAAUUGAUGAUUGAAUUGCGAAAUGCUUGCUCUUUUUAGUGGAUGCACUGUUUAUGAUAAGAAUUUGAAACUUUAGAAAGUGUUUUGUUGCCAUAGAUAGUGAAGACAAAAGAAAUGUAUUAAAAAGUAGAAAUUCAAUUUAAAAUUAUCUCAUAAACAACUUUUUUUCAUUUGUUUCUAUCUCUUCAACUGAACACCUAGAAAAACAGGUGUUGUGAUUCUUAUAGCAAGUUAUUGUAUCAAGGAUAAUCCACUCAAAAGCAUUUCCAUGGGAGUUUUGAGACUAUAACGUGCUGCAGCACGGUUGUCUAGCACUUACAUACAUCCUUUUACUUCUCGUCAAGACUGACUACUCUAAUUACAUACAUAGGAAGAGACAUGUGGAAGGUCAGAUCUCAAACACCAUCAUUUUUGUUUCUCUGCAACUUUCCUCGAGGUUCUGCUAUCAAUGGUUUAACGCAGUAUGUAGCUAGCUGGGAGCUUGCUCUGAAUCUGGUGUGCUCUGUAAUGGCUAAGGUCUAUUUACAAACGACUCUUCAAGCCCUGUUGCUCAGCCUGGUUCUUGAACUUUUAUACCGUGUAGUGGCUCUACUUGGUGGGUGUCAAUACCACCACCUGGGCACUUUUGAAUCCAAACUAGAUGACAAUCUCUUAUCAUGGUCUUACAGUAUUGAAAACCUGAGAAGCCGGCACGAAAGACAAAAUGUCUGAAUCACCGCACUCUGAUUUCCUCGGACUUGAAGUGAAACCACUCUUGACAGCUUUCCUAUCUUUGCGUCAGGUAUUUGUUUCCUGUUCUAGAUAAUAGUUAUCAGAACUCAUCCAUAACUUAUCAAGAAAAGGGUUCAGGUCACGGGUCAAUUCUAAAGCCACUGGCUUGUAUGUUUUUAUUAAAAUAAUAUUGUUUUGUUAUUUUUUAUAUAUAAACCCGAUUUUUUUAUCUGGUUCAACUAAAAACCUGAUUUAAGUAAAAAGGAUUCGAGUCCUCAAUUUCCAACAUUAAUCCACCAAGCCAGGUUUAAUGAUCCGGCAUAUCUUUCACGUGCAUUCAGUUCUUAGUUCAACUCCUGAAUUUCACCAAAUUAGGCUGCUCAUUAUUAUACAAUGUCGGAUGUUUGACCGAUGCCGCUCCUAUGAUACAAGUUAUGAUGAUCAAAAUCAAAAUUCUCUGCUUUGGACCUUCCUCUAGUUCCAGUUUUAAGUGAAAUUUCAACGAGAGAAAAGUCUGUCCUCCAGCUGCGUUCACCUUAACAGUUACCUCUUCUUCGCUGUUUUACUUAAAACGGGAUCGUUACGGAGGAAACAUCCUAAGCUGAAUAGAUUUUCUGGUGAAUGAGAACAAAUAAAUAGCGACAUGAUUUCGAUCUGUCAGAAGCUGUAGAACACACGCCUCCAUGUAAGUAAUUCCAAGCAGACCACAAAGAAAAGAAGGAACAAAGCCAGUUGCAGUAGGAAAACAACAGCCUAUAUGACAGGAUACAUAUUGGUCUUUUUCAAGUUAACAAGACUUUACAAUUUGACUGUGGUUGCCUUCAUUCUACUAUGAGGGGGUUAGGCAUUGGGAGGUCAAACUGACAACAAAAUUAGCAAGAAAGCCUACUACAUCCACGCUAUGGCAGCAUAACUACAAAGAAACACCUGCCAUUGACCGUUGUUACAUUUUCAUUCUGAUCAUAGUAGAGUAAAUCACCAUGUCAUCUAAUCACAGUAAUUCACAAAGGACAUGAAAAAAAAUAAACGAACGAUAAACUAAAUAAGGUUCUUCACUAUCUGUUCUACUAUCAGAAGUGAGCAGGUGGUCAUUGUUCCAUGCACCUACAAGUAACAAGAAAGGGAAAAAAAAACAUAAGGUUACUUGUUUGGUAUACAUCAAAUUGCACGCAAAUUAAUCAGCAUAUUAAGAGCAGAAAAGAUAGCAGGUACACAUAAAGUCUUAAACCCAAUGGAUGACAGAGUCCAUAAACGUACAUAAUUCAAAAGGAGGCGUCAACACAUAAAGGGAAGCAAAAGGGAUUCAGGAACAACAGAAAUUCUAAAGCUAAACUACUCGGAUGAUGAUUUACAACUAAGCAGCAGGCUGAUCAAAUCACACCUGGAGGGAAAUCAUUAACAGGAAGAAAGUUACACUACAAGAAACCUGUACUUUGACUACCAAGGGGCUAUGGUUUGGUCCUGAACCUGACAUGAUAUUUAAGUUGUCAAAUCAAAGGACAGAAUAGAAAACAGAACAUGUGGAAAAAUGAACUUUUUGAGAAUUUACAAGCUUUAAAAAGGCUUGUUAUCAUGAGACGGAUAGUUUGAUGCAGAAAACCAGCCCAGCUCUCAAGACCAAAAAAUGCAUUAAAAUAACUCCGUAUUAUAUACCCAAUCAAAAAUAAAAAGAGAAGGGACUCACAUCCACCAUUGAGAAAUUCAACAUGUAUACAAGAAGUUUUAUAAUCAGUUUUUUUUUCCCACCAACUAAAUCACAAGCACAGGAGCCACACGCAAUAUGGGAGCUUGUUGAACAUACUAACCAGUCAUCACCACAGAACAUCAUGACCGUUUGAAUAAAUGAUGACGUGCUAACACCUCUCCUACCCCCACAGCAGAUAUGCUUUCACAUCCAAGAAGAUCACGAAGCUUUGUAUCACAUUGUAUCACCAUUGAAUUUAACGGAUCCUAAAAACACAUGAAAACCAUUGAACUUUUACAUUAAAGUUAACUUAUCUAUAAAAGAACUGUGUUUAGACAUCGAUGCACUACAAAUACGGUUUAUUGGACGAAAAAGGCAGUGUAUAAUAACAAAGAGAUUUGUACAAAACAAGAGGUAUAUGCAGGAAAAUUAGUUGAGGUAAAGGGAUGUAGUAGACUUUAAGUGCUCCCAAUAUGGAAAGUCAUGUGUAGGGAAAGGGAUGAAUAUAUACACUCAUUACCCACCUCCAACUGUUUUAGCUUUAUGUACUCCCAAACACGUCUGGAUGCUUCUGUUUGGGUCAUUUCCCUCUCAGUAGUCCCCAAAAACUCAGCAAGUCCUUCAGAUAUUACCACAAGAGAUGCAGCAGGUUCUUUAUUUUCAGUUGUGGUCUCAACAUCCACCUUCGCUCGCUUGGCUUGACCAGAUUCCUCUGUGCAAAUAUUCACAAGAACAAAAAAAUAAAUUUAACAUUCUCAAAGUCACCACAGAGCAACAAAAAUAUGCUUCACUGUAAUGAUCACAGUACAUACUUGAUGGUUGAAGUGGGAUGAUAUGUUUAGCUAGCAGCUUAUUCAUCUUAAACAUAUCAGUGCAGUCAGUCUCAAAAACCACGCGCAAAGCAUCAUCACAAAUUAUCUUCCUCUUGUUACUUGGAUCCUGGAGGUUGUUUUUCCUUAUGUAUUGCCACAAUUGCUUCACAAUCUGAACACACACACAAUGCACAAUUCUUAGAAACAAUAAUCACUCCAUAAACAGCACAGCUGCUCAACCAAACUAAGAAACGAGCCUGGUCAACAGCAUACCUCAGUCCUUGGCAAGGCUGGCUCCCCAACAACGACCUGAAGUUCAGGUGAAACACCACACACUUUGUUUAACCCACCAGGUCCACCUCUUCUUUUGGAUCCAACUGGAGUACUGCUGCAAAGUAGUAAAAACCCAAACACCAUUCAAUCUCCAUAAACGGCCACAACAGAUUCAAGCUCCAAUCAAACAAAAUCACCAACGGCCCAAGAUCAUCAACUAAAAAAACCCAAAAUAAAAACUUUCACACUAACCAUAAGCUAACAGAUGCCCAAAUUUUGGAUUUUUCAAUUUAGCAAAAAAAUAGCAUUAAACCUUCAAUUGGGUCACUCUUUUAACCAUUGAAAGUGAUAGUUAUUAAUAUUUUUUUAACCCUCUCAGUCUUUUAGUAACUAUAAAGAAUUCGACUUUAUAACAAAAUCUUACCAAUUAAAAACAAAUGGAAACUAUAAACCCUAAAAUUUGAAAAUAAAAUAAAAUAAAAUAUUUCAAAAUGCAACAAUUAAACCCCUAAAAACCUAAAAUUGAGCCCUAAAAAACACUAGAAUCGAGAAAUAACAAAAAGUCCUAAGCUUUUACCUCUCUUUAGCCACUUCAUGUGGAAUAUCCCCAACAUUUUGCACAUGCUGCGUCUGCCUCUGCUGCUGCUGAACUUGCAACUGAGGUGGCGGCCCUGGUGGAGCCACCACAGCUUGCGGCUGCCUAAAGUUAAGGUCCUGGGGAAAAACCUGGUGCUGUUGGUGCUGCUGAGGAUGCUGGUGAGGGUGGUGGUGAGGGUGAAGGGCAAAAUGGGAAGGGUGAAAUUGUUGUUGAAAUUGGAGGGCAAAAUGGUCUUUUGGGGUCAAAUGAAGAGUUUGUCCUUGCUGGAAUUGAAAAGCUUGCUGUGAUGGAGGUGGUGGUGGUUGUGGCGUCAGUUGUGGAUGCGCGGUGGUGGUUACGGAGGCGGAGGCGGUGGUGGUAGGGUGGGGGCGGAGGAGCAGAUUAAUUUGGUCACGAAUAAAAGCAGCUUUGUGUGAUAAAUCUAACCCUAAUUUAGCUUCAAGUUGCUGUACGACACCGUUUAAUGAAGUAACGGUGCUGGGGUCUGAUUGCCGCAGCACUGUCUCUACUCCUUUGGCUAUUUCCUGGUCUGUCACCAUGGCUUGGCUACCUCUCUUUCUUCACAUAUAUUUUUAACGGAAAAAACGGACACAAACGGUAACUCUAUGUGUCUUUGUCUCUCUAAACAAUUCUCUCUCUAGAAAAAUUCUCUGUGUUUCUUUCUCUCUCUACAUUCUCUCUGUCUCUCUCUUUAUAAUUUUUCGAAAGGACGGAAAUGACCUCUCAUGUUUUUAACCUGAAAAGACAGUUUGCCCUGUGUAACAGCUGGGUGGGUGGGUGAGGGUGGCAAGGGUAGAGUGGGUAUUUGGGGAAGUCCACUGUUUCUUGAAGUUCUAAGCUGUGAUUUUGGGUGUUUGAAAUGACGGUUUGGGGUUGAGGUUGGGGUUUGUGGGGGUGGUAGGGGGAGGAGGCAGGUGUGGAGGAUUCGAAGGUGGGAGUUUUAUUUUACUUUAAAAUUUAAAAAGGAAGAGAUAAGAAAGAGAGUGGAUACUUGAAGAUGUAAUUGACAAUGGUAAAUGAGAUAAUAAAGUAGGUUGAAGCAUCGUUAUUACAGCAGUUAGAUAUUUUAAUAAAUGUUUUUUAAAAAUAAUAUUUAUUAAUUUUUAAAAUUUAUUUUUAAUAUUAGUACAUCAAAAUAAUUUCAAGAAAACAAUUAAAAUAAAAAUAAAAAUUAUUUUUUAAAAAAAUACUUUUAAAACAUAAAAAUAAAUAGACUUUUAGAUUGAACAAAAACUUAUAGAAUGAAUUGAUUGACUACAUGAAUCCUAGCUAAUAAAAAAAUUUCUAAAAAUUAUAAAAUUAUAUAUAAAAAAUUAAUAUAUUAAAUCAACCUGAAUUAUUUUUAUUUUUUUCAUCUCAAGCAAAGGGUUGAACUUUCGAUAUAGUUCAAUAAUUUCAAUAAUUCACAUAAUAAUUAAAUAUAAAACAUUUCAUAAUAAAAUAAAUAUAAAAUGAUAAAUACAUUAAAAUUUAUUUUUUCAUGACUAGAUAUAAUUUUAUGUAUAUGUGUAGCAUUCAUUUAAAAUAUUUUUCUCUAGUUAUUAGAGAGGGGUUAAAGUCUUGAAUCCCAUGAGGGCAAACAAUUUCACAGAAUUAGUUAGUGUGCUUAAUAAUGAUGAUGACGACUUGUUGAAGAAGGAGCGAGGGUAUAGUGGUAAUUGAGAAUUGAGUUUGGAAUUAGGAUGAUGGAUAGUUUGAUAAGAAUUUAGUGGGGUGGGUCAACAACAAGAGAAUGUUGAUAAAGACUAGAAGAGAACCAAAUUAGUGUUUUCUUCAACAAGAUAACUAACCUAGCUACCACUUUUAUCUCUUCCGGCAACCACUGUUUUUUAACUUGCGGGUUGACCCAUUAUCUAAGUAACAUGGACUCGGGUUUCAAUAAAAAAAAGAAUUGACGCGGUGUGAAUCGGUGAAAAACUCAUGUUGUCUUGUGAUCCUGUCAAACUUGGAAAAACCUGAUUAAAAUUAAUUUUUUUAAUCUGAUUUAACUCGAAUCUAUUUACUUGACACGUAAUCGACACCAACAUAACUUUUGAUUAAGGUGUGAGAAAUAAUUUAAUCAAUAAAUCAUCAUAAUUUUCAUAUUCACUAGGAAUGAAAGAGAAUGCGGGUUACUAGAUCAACGAUUAGCAAGGAUUAUUUGUUUUUAUUAAAAUAAUAUUGUUUUAUUUUAAAAAUAUUAUAAAGUUAGACUUAUUGUGUUUGAUCAGGUUACAAGCAAUCUCAACUAAAUUAAUUAGAUUUUAUUAAAUCAAAAAAAAAUUAUUCAUCCAACCCAUGAAGAUUUCCUCACGAGUCUACAGAAAAUUACAAAAUAAGAAAAUAAUAUUAGAGGGGGGGGGGGGAGACAUGAGUUGUGAUGUUUGUGUCACAAUCAUAUCUUUGCGAGUAAAAUAAGCAAUUAUGUAACAUCACACAAGUGUAGAAGUUGUCAAAAUGUGAUGAAAAGGCUAUAUAUAUAUUAGCAACAUAAAAUGGACAAAGGGCGGAUUCGGGUUCUCUUUAUAGGGUUUGAAUAUAUUUUCUUACAAACAAGACAAAGACAAAAGGAAGGAAACAAAUAAAUUAAGAGCAUGCGAUGUAAUGAUGCAGACUCUAUUACCUUUUUCCUCCUGUUGCCUACACUUUGAGCAAAGCCUAUCUGUGGUCCAUGCUCUCUCUCUCUCUCUCUAUAUAUAUAUAUUGCUGGGAAACACAGCCGCUGCAACACACAAACAUAAAAUUAAAGCAAGGCCAUUGAAGAAACCCUGCUCGAUAAUAUCUAGAUAGAGCGAGGUUGUCUAUUAGUUAUUCGGUAGAGAAUAAUAUAUAAAUUUUAUUUAAAAAUUUAAAUUAUUAAAUUAAAAUGAUUUUUUCGUAGGAUAUCAGAGCUUUAAUGAUCAAGUGAUUACGGGUUUAAAUCUCACUAUUUUUAUUUAUUUGAUAAAAAAAUUAAACAUAAAAUAGUGUGAGCAUGUACAAGUUUUAAAUUUAAAGGACUUUCACUUGAGGAGAUGUUAAAGAACAAUAUAAAAAGCUUUUUAUUUAAAGACAUACGUUAAAAAAUAAUAUAAAUUACAGAUAUUAUUUAAAAACUUAAACUAUUAAAUUUAAAAAAAUUAUUUUACAUCACUGAAUUCCAAUUGUUGUAAAACCUUAAGUUAUCUAUUAACCUUGCUCAAGAAAAUUAUUUUUAGUGGUUAGAAAAAUACAAAAUGCUGAAAUAGAAACACACGAGUAUCGCUGUAACAAUCUUAAAUAUGUAAUAAUAGUCAUCUUUCUCAAAUUGAAUCAACACCCUCACCUUAAAAUUUCCAAAACACACACACACGUACACGUGUGAAAGCACAUGCACACAUGCGUGCAUGUAUAUACGUGUUGAUUCAAUUUGAGGUGUGUGUUAGCGUACAUGCACAUGCAUACGUAUAAACGAAUACAUGCUGGUACCAUCCUUCUCCGCAAGUUUUUUUUUAGUUAAUCAUGAGUAUUCGACUCAAUUUAUAUACACUUCGAUUAAUUCUUUGAAAUCCUGAAACUAACUAACAUGCAAAUCUUUCUAAUGAUUUCUAAAGAGUAAAUUUCAGAGGUACUUAUAAACUGGACUAUGUAAGUCUCCAUAAGUUUUCUGUAAGUUCUUUUUAAUGUUCUUGGACAAUAUUUUUUUUAAUUUUUGAUCUUUUUUAAAAAAUCAAAUUAAUAUUUUUUUGUAUUUUUUAAUAUAAUAUUAAAAAUAAAAAAAUAUUAUUUUAUUGAAUUAUAAACUAAAAAAAACUUUACAAAACACCACACACAACAAAUCCAAACACUAAGUUCAUCUCUAUUUCUGUUGAUAAGAAAGUUAGACCAUGAUGGAAAAAAAGAAAAUUAUUGAGCUAAAAAAAAUUGAAAUUAGUUCAAAGCCCAACAUAUUGUCCUAAAAAUUACUAACGGGCUUACCAAUUUAUAUCCCCAAGCCCAUGUUCUCUUCAGCUCUAUCACCUACAUGUCUCUCAAGCUGUAGGCAGAAGGGUAACACACCACCACCAUGGCACAAGUUCUUCACAUAAACCCUCUACGUUCCUCAACCCGACCCGAAUCAAACGGUACCCUAUUCCUCAGCCAGAGGCAGAAGCAAGAUGUGAAGCACAGCUGGACCUCUUUGCAGAGAGAAUUCAAGUGUAAUGGCAAGUUUACUUGCCUUUUCUCAGGCGGUGGCAGAGAGGUACAGAAAAAAAGUUUGCUCCUAUAUGAUUUUUUUAUCACUUUCUUGGAUAUAUUGUAUCUGAGUUUUGUCUCUUUGGAUGCGAAUUAAGGAAAAUUUGAUCAGCUAGUGAUAAAGAUUGAAGCUUUAAGGUUUUUGUUUUGGAAAUUAAAAACCCAUGUUUGGGUUUUGAGUUGAUUGAAAGCUGUCGUUUUAAAUGGUGGAUAUGGACUGUGAUAAUGGGGUUUAAGGGGCUUUUGAGCUUGCAAGUGAAUAACUUGUCCGCUUAAUUAUGGAAGAUGAGGGUUAGUAGGUUGUUUGCUUGUCAAAUUGUAGAGUUUAUGAAGUGUUUUAUUGAGUUGGAAUGGAGUGAGGGUUGGUUGUUUGAAUGGGAUACGGUUUUUAAUUUCAGAUAUUUACUGAUUAAACUAUGAUUCUUGUAAAGAUUUUUAAUGCUUGAGUGCUAAAAUGAUCUUCCGAUUGUUAGUUAUUAGCUUAACCAUUGUGUGCGUUUGUUUCCUAGUUAUGAGUGAUUGAGUUCCAACAAAGUGAAAUAUUUAAUAUGGUUAUAAUGUGAAUGUGUUUAUGUUAGUUGCCAUGCCAACUAGAAUUACCAUUAUCAUAUUAGGGACCUCAAGCUUCUUGACCAACCAGUAGGAUAAUCGGUAAUGUAUUUGAUAGUUAUGCUAGGCCUUUGUUUCUGUAAAUGUGGUAAUUUGAAUAGCUUAUUCUGCAAUUCAUGCGGAGGAUUCUUGUUGCUUAACUCUAGAGGCCAAGGCGAUUCAAGCUGUUGUACUAAGCCACCAGUCCUCUUACCCUUUCUCCCAUAUUCAAAGAUGGUUUUGAUCACUGAACUGGACCUUCAGCAUCAACAACUUUAUGACAUCGUGAUGUCUUAGAACUUUAAAUUCACUAAGGGUCCGUUUCCUUGUACAAAAGGGUAGCCUGGUGCUGGAGGCUUCUGCUUUGUGUUUCUGGUUAUGUGAAGGUUUCACAUUUUCUUGUGCAUUGACUUGCAUUGUGUCCAUUAAUCUUGGUGAUUGCCUGUCCUAUCAAACCAACUGUCAUAACCAGGUCUAGAUGAUGGAAACAUGGCUAACGAAAAUUGUUGGAAAUGGCUUUCUCAGGUUUGAUGAAAAACUGAGAUAUAUGCAAGGGAGUGUUGUAAUCCAACUGUUUAGAGGCUUUCAACUCCAGUCUUUUGACAUGCCUUAGAGUAUAGAUAUUGUUGAACUCUGUAUUUGUUAUGCUAUACGGUGACCUGUCAUAGGGUGGGAUAAAAAGAAUAGGAGAACUCAAGAUUAAAUGUGUUUGCAGGUGUGAUUAAGCCGUCUUAUUUGUGGCUGCAGGAACAAGCAAAGAAAGCUUUAGAAAGUGCUCUUGGUGGAAAGAAAGAUGAAUUUGAAAAAUGGAACAAGGAAAUUAAGAGGAGGGAGGAAGCAGGUGGAGGGGGAGAUUCUGGUGGAGGAGGUUGGUUUGGAUGGGGUGGACGAUUUGGCUGGUCCAAUGGUGACAAUUUUUGGCCAGAAGCACAGCAAGCAAGUCUUGCUGUCCUGGGUAUUAUUGCCAUGGUGAGGUUUUCCCUUCACAAUUCUUGGAAUGCUGUGUUUAAUUAAUUGCUCUCUCCCAAUUUCUUAUGAUGUUUUAUUACAUGUACAGUAUCUCAUAAUUGCAAAAGGUGACUUGAUCCUUGCCGUCAUGGUCAAUCCUUUGCUAUACACUUUGCGAGGGACAAGAAAUGGGCUAACUUUUAUGUCAUCAAAAAUGUUGAGAAAGGCAUCUCCAGACGAUCCUGCUGAUUUUGCUGGGGCGUUAAAGAAUGGUGUUUAUGUUGAAGUUUCAGCUAAAGAGAGUGUUAAGAGAAAAUGGGGAAGCAAUUGAUAAGUUAUCUCAGGCUUAAGCAUUGUUUCAUCCCUCCACUUGAUGCUGGUGCAUCUAUAAUUGUAUUGGACAACUGAAUCACAGAUUCUUGAAAAAGCAAUUUUAAAUUGUGAAGAUUACCGAGCCUGGCUGCAUAGUGUUUGAAUAUUCAGCCACUAGAGUUGGGGACGUGCUUCCAUCUUUUUGGGGGCAUUUUGCAUUUGAAAUCCAGUCUGUCUUCUCCCUGUAACAUCAAGGUCAAGGGUUAUUUGAACAUCAAAUGGAAAGAGAAUUGUUCCAUAUUUUGUCAGUAACAUUCAAGUCUACUCUUCUGUAAGAUGCAUCAUUUAUCAUCACUAGAUAAUACAUUAAUUUUGAUAUUGAGUAGACUUGUUUUGAUUCAUUUCAAAUUUAUAUCAGGCAAAUUGGAUGGACUUAGUUGGCAGAGAAGGAUCCGAUAAACCACAAGGCAAGGUAGAGCAAAAACCAUUUAAUGCUCUGAAUUUAGGUUCUUUUCAUUUGAACUGCAUAAUCUUCCAGUUUCCCAUUUUAGUUACUUCUGCGCAUGCUUGCCUGGAGUUAUGAGGAAUCAAGUAAUACAGGGAUUGCAGAGGGGAUUUAGAAGGUGAAUAACUCACUUCCAGUCUGCUAUACCAAUACCCUAUAAAUGCAGCUAGAGAUGACUCUAAGGUCCAAGGUCCUGGAAUAAUCCCCCGAACUUCACGAGUAUUGGAAUUCAAGGAGUCUUAUAUUUCCCUAGAAAUCUAUCUUCUUGUUUGCGAAAAAGAAUCGAAGAUGAUUCUUGUCGUUAUAUAAUUCUCAUGUAUAUGAAAUUACUCGCUUCCAGUCUGCUGUACCAAGCACCCUAUAAAUGCUGCCAGAGAUGACCCUACUGAUUUACUGUGGUUUUAUCAUCUCCCGAGGGAAACGAUGAUGAAUUAUCUUGAGCUAAGGACCAGGUUAGGUAAAUGGCAAAUUUGGCCACCAUCUGCGGUGGUUGCUGAUGUUGGCCUUGGGAAGAUAUCUCUGCCUCCCUUCGUGUUUGUGUGGUAAAUUGUCAGUGUGAAAACUAGUUCUUGGCUCCAUCGGCACAAGGGAUAAGGUCCAAGCAAACAGUACAAAAUUGCCAAAGGAUUCCAUGAAGUUGGUAAGAAGUUCAAGCUGAGGUUCAUGCAUCUGCUGACCAUUCCUCCUGUGGAAAAUAAUUUAUUACAUCAGUUAACAGAGCAGAAUAUUGUUGUUCCACCAUCAUGGCUAUUGAAUGAUGAUCAUGUACAUUUUACACAGUGGCCCUCCUAGAAUCUGUUCAGUGGCCUUAAUAAUUAGUGGGGCACAUGCAUUAAAGAAAUCGGAACAAUUCAAUGCAGAGAUUCUCCUUGCUACCAAGGCCUUCUUGCACACAUCAUGAAGGCCAUGAUUAUCUUCAAGGUUGAAUCACCGGUUUAGUAGAUUAAUAUUUUUACAAGAGUUUUUAUAAAAAAAAAGUCUUAAAAAAUAUUAUUUUAUUUUUUUAAAAAAACUAAAUAAGAUUUUAAUUUAUUUCUUUAAUAAACUAGAUGAAUUUCUACAGGAUUUGAUUUUAUUUGAAAUAUAUAUAUAUAUAUAUAUAUAUAUAUAUAUAUAUAUAUAUAUAUAUAUAUCUCCUUGCUACCAAGGCCUUCUUGCACACAUCAUUGAAGGCCAUGAUUAUCUUCAAGGUUGAAAAUUCCCAUUUCCAUUUAGCAAAUGACAAUUACCACUUCAAUUAGUCCAUAUAAUUUAACUUAGAAAAUUUUCUACACUAGUCCUGAAAGCCUCACCUAAUGGUUUUUAUAAUAAAAUUAAACUUAGUUUAAAUUUACGGGUUAACUUGAUAAAUAACAUUUAUGAUUCCAACUAAAUUUCAGUUUGGACUAAUUUGAAAUUGAUUUAGUAAAAGAUUUCAAGUAAUACAUGUUGAUUAGCCUAUAAACUUAUUUCAAAUUGGAUUGAGUCAAAACUAAUAAAGUUUUUCUUUAAAAAAGAACAAAAUGACAUCUUAUUGAUAAACAAUUGAUCUGAUAAAAUCGACUCAACAACCUUUAACUCGGACUCUUUAUUACUUUCGUCAGCUAUGGUUUUUUAUGUCCUAAAUUCAUAAGAAAAUGUACAAAUUACUGGGACUCAGCUAGCUGAAUUGACUUUGCAUAAGCCUAUAAUCUUUUUGACAAGGACAAGAAAAUGUCCAUACAAAAAACCUAAGGUCAAAGUACCAAGAACUGAGAGCUUAUCUAAAGUUAAAAACAGCGAGCUGAACCAAACCAAUUAUAACUAUCAGAAUCCUAGGCAGCUUUUUUUUCUUUCCUUCAUGUCCGAGUCAGAGUUUCCAUUAUAAGAAGUCAAAGAGGAGGAGUCUAUCCUCCAGACAAUCCUAGGCUGUCUUAAUCUCACAUCUCUCUCUCUGUAUAUUGUUUUGGUUAUGUAAUCAAAAGGAUGCACUAAUUUUAAAGCCCCCCAUGUCCUUGAAUCAAGGUAUUCGUGGAUCCUACUGAAGGAGUGACCUUCACGAUCUUGACACCUCUCUUUUCUUAUUUUGCCAUUGUUGUUUAGUUGAACACAAUUUUAGGAUCACCACAUGACUGUUUCUUUUUCCUUUGUUUGAACUUUCUAAAAACUGAACUUGUGCCCUUUCUCUAUCGUUCUUUCUUGGGUUGUUAGCGUGUCUUGUUGUUGUUUGAAGGGUUAUGGUUGUGGGUUUUCUUGAUUUUGUCCCGUGUUAAACUUUCUAGUUUCUAAGAUUCUUUGACCCUUCUUUUGUUGGUGUCUGGUUUUUGUGUUCUUUUGCUUUGGGGGCAUUCUGUUUUGUUUUGUUUUGUUCCCUAAGGGAGACACAUACAGGCGCAGACACAAGUGCUGUUUACUGUUGAUGGGCUGUUGAUGUCUUUGGAGGUUGGUGUGAAUUCAAAUACUAAAAGCAUGGGUUUUGAUGAGAAAAACAAAGAGGAAGUUUCUGAGACAGCAGCAACAACAAAAACACCUCCAAAUGAAGAAGAACAUAAUGUUGAUGAACCUAAAAGUGGUGGGAUUAGUAGAAAGAUGAGUGAGAGUUCUCUUUAUGGAACUGAUCAAGAAGAAGAGGAUGAUGAAGAAACUAAUGAAAGGAAGAUUGAGCUGGGUCCUCAAUGCACACUCAAAGAACAACUUGAAAAAGACAAGGUUUGUUUUUCUUUCUUGUUUUCUACCUCUUUGUGUUUUCUCAUUCCUGUUUCUUUUUAUUAAUUACUGUUCCAUUUUUUGUUUUGUUUAUGUUCAAUCUUUUUCUGUUUUGUGUGGUUUGAGAAUGUAGGAUGAUGAGAGUUUGAGGAGGUGGAAGGAACAGCUUCUUGGGGCUGUGGAUAUUGAGGCUGCUGGAGGUAAUCUGCUUAAACAUUUUGAAAAUGUGUUAAUUUGUAGUAUAAUUCAGAUUUCCUUUGCAAUUAGUGGUAAUGGAGCUAUGUUUUAUGUAGUCUGUUAAUGAUUUUUUUGUGGAUUUACAAGUCUCUGCAUAUUGUCUGCUGUGAGAAGAACUAAAAUUCAUCUGAGAAAUCUUAGGAAUUAAUAAAAGUUAAUUUUGUUAAUUAGGGUUGAUAGUUUAUGGAUUAUUUGUCAAAUUUUGGUUUCUUUUCCCACGAUUUAUAGCAAUUGUGUCUGAGCUCAUGUGUUACUAUAGUGUGUUAGACCCUUCUUUCAUCAUCUCCAUUUAUUCAAGCAUGCUAUUUCAUUGACUAGAUUUGUAAAUGCUUGAAUUGGAAUAAAAUUUCCUCUGUUAGCCUUUUUGAUUCUUGGAAGAAAUCUGAUCAUUUAAUGGCAGAUGAAGUUUGUUUGGAUCUCUGACAUUUUUCUUAAUGGUUUUAUAACUAUGUAGAGACUCUUGAACCUGAAGUUAAAAUCCUGAGCCUUGAAAUCAAAUCCUCUGGCAGACCUGAUAUUGUUCUUUCAGUUCCUGAGAAUGGAAAGCCUAAAGGCUCAUGGUUCACCUUAAAAGAAGGUAGCCGCUAUAGUCUGCAGUUCACUUUUGAGGUUAAGAACAACAUUGUUUCCGGCCUCAAGUAUACUAACACGGUUUGGAAAACUGGUAUCAAGGGUAAAAGUCUCUCCAUUUAUCUCUUCCAAUCUCUUCAUCCCCGUAUCUCUUUUUCUCUGAAAUAAUGAUUUUCCCUUUAUGAUGAUUUAUCAUGAUAGUUGAUAGCUCAAAGGAGAUGAUUGGAACCUUUAGUCCUCAGACAGAACCUUAUACUCAUGAAAUGCCUGAAGAAACUACUCCAUCUGGUAUGUUUGCUAGAGGAUCAUAUGCGGCUAGAAGUAAAGUAAGUCCCACCAGUUCUUCUUGUUCUUCACCCCUUUGAUAUUUGAUCUUUUCACGCAACAGAUGUAUUGGUUCAAAAUACAUGUUCAUCAACUGACCUUUUCUCAAUGCAUUUGCGCACAAACUACACACAUUCAUGUUCAGUUGUUUUCAUCUGUUCUGUUGAUUCAUGUGAUAGUACUUGUGGGGCACCUGCAUUUAAGAGCAUGGAUUUAUAAAAAAAAUUUGCAAAAAUUCAAAUAAUUUUAAAUAUGCUAACAUCAAAUCUAUUACCAUUUAAAGUCCCUACAAUGUAGUUAUUGUUUCAGAACAUCUUGCAAGGCCUAACUUAAUCUGCUUCAAAAGGACAAGCUGAGUAAUGUUCCUAUCAAUUAGUUCUGGAAUCAAGUGUGUCAUAAUUCAUGCAUGUGAACAUUUAAACUUGUGGGUCAUCCUUUGUUUAGUGAUUAGAUUUCAAAGAUAAUUAUUAGAUUCAUCAAGAAUUUUUGGUUUGCAGAAGCUGCUACUGAUUUCCUUUGUAUUCUUCUUUCUGUGUCUCCAGUUCGUUGAUGACGAUAACAAGUGCUACCUUGAGAUCAACUACACCUUUGACAUCCGCAAAGAUUGGCUGCCAACUAAAAACUAAGAAUUACUAUUACCUUCAAGUUGCAGCUUCCAUAUAAUUGUUUUACAAGUUGGAAUAUGCUUCUGAUGUUUAACAUAUCUUCUUUUUAUUGUCUUAUUUAUGACUCCUAUUUGAGACUGGUCAUUUGAACAAUGAAGAGAGGAUUUGAAAAUUUGCAGCUAGAUAUUCAUUUGGUAGUUGUUGAUUAAUAAAAUUCACCGUUACCUUAAAUUGAACACUUUCCUUUUUUUCUCCCGGAUCAUCAUUCCAUUAGUACAUUCUUUUUCUCUUUUGAUUGUUGCUUUUGCUUUCAACGUUGGCCGAAUCUUUCUACUUUAACUGCCUUUCUUGUUCUGUUCUUUUCGUUGGAAUUCUUUUGCAACGGUUCCAUUUUGUACCGUUGUUGACUCUCAUUCUAGUCUUGGAACUACCAUGUUUUAAAUGGAUGUCUUGUGGGGUUAAUUGGCUAAACUUUUUAGAGACAAUGUUUGGUGGGACUAGGAACCUUUAAUCAUUGUGGGGGUGAACACAACAGCAAUUGCCUGGACUGUCAAAAAGAGUUACUGUAAGUGGAAAAAAAAUGACAGCUGUGAUUCAAGACAUUCAGAUCUUUGCAUUAUGAUCAAAGCCAUGCAGCUCCUUUUCCACCUGAGAAUUCUGAAUAUUUGGACUAGGAAUGCAUUAUUUAACCAUUUUGGAGAGAAUUAAUGCUACGAUUUAAGUUGGAACAACAUAGGUGUGAUUUUGCAGUGACAUCUGCUACUGGUUUUGUUUGAACACCAUGAUGGUUGCUCAUUCAAUUGAUGGUGAUGGUGGUAGUGAUCUACUAGUACUAGGGUUUUGAGUCAACAAGAAAGAUGUGAUCGGCCAAUGAAAUCUUAAUCAACAAACUCAUAAAGAGUUCAGAAGUGGAGGUUGUUGCUGGUUGUUUUAACAUGAAAUCUUUCCUUUUAAGUUGAUUUUUGGAAGCCGAACAUCCACUGCACUUGGUGAUGUUAUUGACAGAAACUUGGUUCACAAUAUCUCCUUACCGACUUAAAGAAAAAUGUGGAAUAGGCAUCAUUGCACUUUUGAUCAUCUGCAACCCUAAUUUUUUCUUCAAUUAAACAGUAUUGAUAGUGAUUUCCAAUUGAGUGGACAUGAACAGUAUCUAUCAGAUUCACAUCAUUCUACGUUGUGCUACUUUCAUUGGGUUCUAUAUAAUUCAGUAUUGAUUGGCCGUAUUGUAUUGCCUCAAAACUUUGAACUAACUUAGCAGUUCGCUUUCAGAAGAAAGUAGAAAAUGGAAGUUCAAAUCAUUUCUAAGGAAAUCCUGAAACCUUCCGCCGUGCUGCACCAUCUAAGAACCUUCAAGCUUUCUCUUUUACUCACUAUCCAGUGAAAGUUUCUGCAAAGCCUCUUUUAUCACCUGAGAAAGUCCUCACAGUCAUUAACUUAAUUCUACCCUUUUGCUGGACGGAUAAAAGAUGGUUUUUCUAUCGACUGCAACGAUGAUGGUGCGCUGUGUUUUAUGAAGCCUUGGAUGGUGGCGACGUAACAAAGGUAUUUCAAGAAGCAGACAUAAAUCAGCUGCUACCAUGUAGCCCUAAUGAAGUCAUUUGGGCUAAGCACUGAUCAGGUAAUGCUAGCAGUUCAAGUAAAUUACUUCAAUUGUAGGGGGUUGAAAAUUUGUAUUUGCAUUUGACAUGCAGUUGCUGAUGCAUCAACUAUAGCAACCUUUGUUAAUAACUGGGCUGCAAUGGCUUGCGGUUCCCAUAACAUUAUUGACGAGGUGAUUUUUGACUGCUCAACCCUCUUCCCUCUACAAGAUUUACCAAGCUUCUCUUCAAGCAAUUUCUUGAAAGAGGAUGUGUUAAGUGAAAUUUUGAUGAAAAGGUUCUUGUUUGAUGGUUCCAAGAAAGUUUCUCCAGGAGAAGAAGUGGGCGACGGACCAUCUUUGGAUUGUCCUACUCGUUUCGAUGCUGUUUCAGCUCUUAUUUGGGGGCUAUCACGGCUGUAACCGGAGAAAUUGAAGCUACGAAGAUAAAUGCUGCAACAAUUGCAGUCCAUGUUCGGAGGAGAAUGAAACCACCAGUGCCACAACAAUCCAUUGGAAACUUCUACCUGGUGACAACAGCAAAAUGGCCAGAAAGUGAAAGUAAUGUGCUAAACUAUAAUGGUUUAGCAGGAAAACAAAUUUCACGAGUCAAUAACGAAGAUGAACAAUGACUAUCUUUAGGAAAGCUUCAGGGUGGUAGUGGAUACUUAACUUCCUAAAAAACAUAGUUGUUAAACCCGAAAUAAUCAAGUUGGUUGACUUAGAAAUUCUGCGAAAUCUAAUUUAAAUUAAGUUCAAGUUGAAUUGAAAAAUAAACAUUGAUUUGAUGAAACAUGGAGAUUCAUAACUUAAUUGACUUGACAGAACUCAUUCUAAACUUUGACCGUAAAAAUUCAUGGAUUUUUUUUGAAAGAAUAAAAUGAUGUUAUUUUAAUAAAAAUAAUUAAUCAGAGAUGACAGAAGCUUUUUUUCAAAUUAGUCAUCGAAUCUAACAACUAUGUUUAAAGCCGGUGAGGGGGCUCCAAGAAUCCCUAGCUCAAGGUUUUUUUCGUUUCAGCAGUUGGUAUGAGUUUCCAUUCCAUGACACAGAUUUUGGGAGGGGAAAGCCUAUGUGGUAAAGUCCUGCCUUGAAGCCUAACAGGUUGCCAUUUUCUUGGAUACAAAAGAUGGUGAGGGAAUAGAAGCAAAGAUUGGAUUGUCCAAGAAAGACAUGGUAAAGUUUGAACAAGACCUUGGCAUCUUCACGUAUCUUUCUUCACGUCUUCGAGCUGGGAUUUUCCAUUUUGAUCCAUCCAAUCAGUCCUUCAAUUACACUCUGAGAGUAGCAUUUCCUCACCCAUAUAUCUCACAAGAGAUCCACUGCAUCAGCCACUAAUAUUACUUGGGACUCACUGCAUCAAUCCAUCUGAGAGUUUUAUUUUAGUACUUGACGAAAUCUGAACAGAAAACAUCCUAGUUAGAUUGCUAAGGAAUUGAAAUAUGACUAAAACUGAGAGUUUUAUUUUUGGUCGAUAAUUGAAAUUCGACAAAACUAAGGUUCAUGGAGAUAUAUAUUUUUUAUAUUGUUUCUCUUGUCUCGAGAUAGUAAAUAAAGUUAUCUUGAUACAGAAAACAAUGAGAAAAAAAUAUUGUUUAUUGUAUGAAAGCUUCUAAUUAGAGAAUAAGUAAAAUAGUUUUUGUGUAUAAAACAUGAUUCGAGAAUCAUGAAAAAGCAUGAAUUCAAAUUAAAUGAACAUAAUGAAAAACCUAAAUCAUGAUUAAAUAUUGAAUUAGAUCAUGUGUAGAUAAUUUGUUAAAAACUGAUCCAUCGGUAGAAGGAUGCAUCUUUAUAUAUAUAUAUAUAUAACUUAUUUUUUUAAAAAAAUAGAAAAGGUUGAAAAAAUAGAUAGGAUGAAAAAAUUGACAAGAAAAGGAAGUUUUUUUAAAAAAUAAAAGAUUAUUAAAUUAAAUAUAGUCAAUAGUGCUGAUAAAAAAGUAUUUAAUUAUUUUUAUACUAUAAAAAAUAAUUAAUUUAUCUAGAUAAAUCAUAAUGAUUAAAUUUUAAUUAAAUCUAUAAAAAUAAUCAAAAUAAAUAAACAAGUUUACGUGUCUUUAACUGUAGUUAUAAAACCAGUAUAAUAAGUUAACUUGGUAAUGGUGGAUUUGAAGCUUAAUUUAUGCUGGUUUUAAUUUCGAUUUUUUUUUUAUCUAAACAAUGACCCGUCAAUCAAUGAAUUAGCCUGCCCAACCUGCCGGGUCCACCCGAGUUUGGUAGUAUAACUAUCGUCUUGACCUGGAAUUUCCAUAAGCAGAAGGUAUAUAUAUAUAUAGCUAGCGACGAUCUCUAUAGCCAAAAAAAAUUGGCCAGAGAGAGAAAUCAGACCAAAGCAACCUUUUGCACAUUAACGUUAUCAGACAAAACAUGGCAGAAGACAAGCAAGAAACAGAGAAAACAUUCGCUGAUUUAGGUUUAUGUAAAGAACUAGUAGAAGCAUGUGAAAAUCUAGGAUGGAAAAAGCCAACAAAGAUACAAGAAGAAGCAAUACCUUAUGCACUUCAAGGCAAAGACUUGAUUGGUGUAGCAGCUACAGGUUCAGGCAAGACUGGAGCUUUUGUGCUUCCAACACUGGAAGCACUUUUGAAAGAUUCACAAGAGAGAAAAUCUGUGCAACCCUUCUUUGUUUGUGUUCUUUCUCCUACAAGGUUGGCUUUUUUUUGUUGGUUUUCUUUGAAUUCGAACCCAGAUGAUUUUUUCUUGUUUAUUAUAUGUUUAACGUCAGGUUUUUUUUAUUGAAUUAUUUGAAUGUGAAAAACCCAGAUGCUUUGUUCAUGUGUAUUUAGUGUUUUAAGCUUUAAAGUUUGUAUUUUUUUUUGCUAUGUAGUAUAUAUUUUUCAACUGGGUUUUGUUUUGCUCUUGUUCAAAGGGAGUUGGCAAUUCAGAUUGCUGAGCAGUUUGAAGCUUUGGGAUCUGGCAUUGGUGUGAGAUGUGUAGUGGUAAGUUUUAAGGUUGCCCCUUUAUUUCUUUUUGUUUUUUCGUUAGAUAGACAGGAAGUAAAUUGAGAGUUUUAUUUUGUGAUUAUCUGUUCACUUCCAUCACAAAUUUAUUAUAGACAUUUGGGUUGGUACAUAAGUACAUUAAUAAAAACAAAUCUUGAUUUGCUGAUAGAAUAUUUUAGCUUCAAAUUAAAGACUCAGGUCAUGUAGUUAUGUGCUAAGCACAAAAUUGAGCUGUGCUAUUUAAUUAUAUAAUUCACAAAAUUGGCUUUAAGCAUUGAAGGUGAGUAGUUUUGAAAUCAUGCCUGGCAGCAGGACUAAUUCUGAUAAGGAAAUGAUUUGCGACUGGGUAGAAGUUAUGUAGGUGGUUUUUUUGUGUGGAGUAAAUGAUGGUGAAAUGUUAAAGUUCAAUGUUUAAUAAAGAAGUAUUGGAGUUAGUAGAAAAAAGAAGGUUAUGGUUUGAAUCACUUUGAAGGGUAGAUUCUGAAGAUUGAACUGUAUCAUAUAGUUUUCCAAUCAAUCUUGUUAUUUUUUUCCCAAAAUUAUGUGAAUGAUAAUCCUUGUUGUUCUUUUGAAAUAGCUUGUUGGAGGAGAGGAUAUGUUGCAGCAAUCUAUUGUCCUUGCAAAAAAGCGGCCACACGUUAUUGUAAGAGUUUCAUUUACUAGUAUGAUACUUUGAGCUUCCUAUGACAUACAGAGAGGAUAUAACUGUUUGGUUAUGUUAUUCGAUGUGGUCUUUGCAUCUUUCUAUCAUAAUCUGAUAAGUCAUAGAGCAUAUCUUUGCUUGUUGGCUCCCACUUUCUCAUUGUAUAGGCGCGUGGGGUGGGAUUGGUGCCUAAUGUAUGAACAAGAUUGUUAUAUUCAAUUUUGGUUGGAAUUAUUCUAAGUGGAAAUUUCAACUUAAAGGUGCUUGCAAGAGUAGGAAGGAGAUUUAUGUGGAUAUACAUUAGAACUACUCCAUGUUUUCAGUUGUAGGAAGCUCUCAAUUUAUCUCGGUUUGUUAUUUCUUUGUAGGUUGGAACACCUGGUCGCCUUGCGGAUCAUUUGUCAAACACAAAAGGCUUCUCUCUUCAUGCAUUGAAAUAUUUAGUACGUCACAUUUUAUCCUUGGGCCUAGAACCUCCUUUUUUUGUUUUUAAAAUUGUUCAUGUUGCUUUAUUAUUUGUGCUGUAAACAGAUCUUGGAUGAAGCAGACAGAUUACUGAGUAUGGAUUUUGAGAAAUCACUGGAUGAAAUUUUAAAGGCCAUUCCAAGGAAUAGAAGAACCUAUUUAUUUUCUGCCACUAUGACAAAUAAGGCAGGUGUCAUAUACAUUGAGAUUGCCAGAGUUUUCUUCUUGUUUUUCUUUCUUUCUUCAUGUAUUUUUUUGAUGAAUAUGCUGGAGUCUUCUUGAUUCCAAUGUUCAUGUUGCUGUGGUUGCUAUGGAGCAUAAAACAAAUCAUUGCAAAAUCAAUUGCUGAUAAGAACUUAAUUUUUCUGCAAUUUUUAUCUAUUCAAAGCUGAUUAAAAUAGUUUGUCAUAGCUAAUUUCCCGAAUUGGCUCACUAACAUGAGUAGGAAAUGGAAGCUAAAAUAUAAAAUGUUUCAAAAUAUCACAUCAUCGUUUCUUUUGUUGUGGCUGAUUGUAUCUGUUUUUGGCCUUGUGGUUCUUCCAAUUACAAAGUUCAUAAGGUUUGCAAUAAAGUGAAAUUAGAACAAAUGCAACGAGCUUGAUAUAAUAAAAUCCAAAAUAUUUUUUGUGUUGACAAUUGAAAUAUUUUCUGUACAUCCUAAUGGAGGGAAAUGAGAUAGGGUUGAAAGUUUGAUCAAGUUCUUAUCUUGGUUUUGCAGGUGAAGAAACUCCAAAGGGCUUGUUUAAGGAAUCCUGUAAAGGUGCAAUGGAACAACUUUCAUGCAUCUAUCACUUUCCUCUUCUAAUUGUUUUCCUCACAAGCCAGAACUUCAAUUUUCCAGAUCGAAGCAGCAUUUAAAUAUUCCAUUGUUGACACACUGGAGCAGGGGUUUUACUUCAUGCCAGCUGCGCUCAAGGUUUCUUCCUUUUCCAUUGUUGCAUUGCUUCACACAUAUUCUUCCUUUUUUACAUAUAUGAUGUAUUCCACAAGCCCAUUUGAAAUUCUCUGUCAUCUGCUGCGUAUCCAAAUACACAUCAAGAAUACUGAAGUUCUGGUUACAAGGAACUUGUUGUCUGCAAUAUCAGAUGUUUCAUUGUUUCCUGGUUUUCAUAGCUGAUUUGAUUUUGUAUGCCUGCAACAAUUUUUUUCUAAUUUUAAGAUUGGAACGCUUGGAAGAACUUAAAGAAUAAAAGGGAUUAUAUUUGGUGCUGACCACCAAAUACCUUGAGAAGGCAUGAGUACUUGAGAGUUUGUGCAUGGUUCACAGUGAGCCAUGCAUCUGGUGGUGUUUGAAGAUGUUAGUCGUGGAAUUAUUCAUGAGACUGCAGCAUUUUAUACCCCAAUGGAAGCUUAGUGAAGCAAAAACGGCUUCCAUUCUUUUACUCUAUAAUUAAUCUCUCUCUUAGGUUCGUUUCAUUUUGUAUGCUUGCUGCAGGAUUGCUAUCUUGUACAUGUACUAUCAUCAAAGAAAGGAGCUACUUCCAUGGUUUUCACUCGGACAUGCAGAGAAACUGACUUUUUGGCUUUGGUUCUUCGAAAGCUUGGUCUAGGGGCCAUCCCCAUUAAUGGUCAAAUGAGCCAGGUGUGCCUUAAAUAAUCGAAAUAUAUGCAUUUUUUUCUCUCUCCAUCUAUUCACGUUUCUUCUCCUCUUCCCAUUUUUGUUACCUAAAUGUUCUUGUGAUUAUAAAUCAGCCCUCACUUUGUUAGAACAAUGUUUUCUAUAGUCAAACAGACUUGGAGCGUUAAAUAAGUUCAAAGCUGGCGAGUUCAAUAUUCUGAUAUGCACUGAUGUCGCAAGUAGAGGACUCGAUAUUCUAUCUGUGGAUGUUGUUGUUAAUUAUAAUAUCCCCACAAACGCCAAGGUUUGCCUUCUAAUUUUCCAGCACUCUCACUCAUACUUGAGUACACCAUGUUUAAGGUCUUGUUUCUGAUCUAUCUUCAGUCAUAAUUAUUGUGGAGCUUUGAAUUGCAUUUGGUUGUUUCCCUUUUUCCAUUCAUGAUAUUUCCCUGCAUUGUCAUCACUUUUCUGCAACACGCGCUAUUAUUUUCAGCAAAUUUCGAGUUUGAAUUUGUCACCGCAAUCUUGGAAUCUUGCAUCCAAACAUUCACAUCUACAUGACAAACACAAUAAUUCCUUUAGAUGAUGAAUGACUAGAUGGAGUUGUUCGUGGAGCAUUUUGCAUUUAUUUACAAUCUCCUCUUUUCUAAUUUGUUUACAGGAUUAUUUUCAUCGUGUUGGUCGAACUGCUCGUGCAGGACGAUCAGGGCUUGCAAUCUCACUUGUAAAUCAAUUCGAUAUAGGACCAUUUAAACAGAUAGAGAAGCACAUUGGAGGUUAGACUUAGACAUGCUGUUUUUUUGUUAGGAGCCACAAGGAGUAUUUUUGGAAAAAAAUGUGCUUACCCAUACACUAAACAGUUCGCUAUGCUUUCAGAUGAUUUCAAGAUACCUAAGUAUACGGCAAAUGAAGAUGAAGUCUUGCUAUUGGCAGAGCGUGUUACAGAAGCCAAAAGAAUUUCCAGAAAGGUAUUCCCUUAAUUUUUCCAUCAUAAUUGAUAGGACUAAGUGUAGUGAAAUAAUGAUAUUGUUUUUAUUACAAUCUCAUUCGAGUGUUUCUUGAUUGAUGUUGCUGUUGUAUGCUGAACUUCUAUAGAGCAUCCAAGAGGGUGGAGGCAACAAGAGAACAGACCGACUAGACGACGAAGAUGAGGAGGAUAUAGAGAAGUAUUUAGGCAUCAAGAACAAGAAGUUGAGGAGAAAAUGAGACCAGCAAGCAACUCUUCUGUCUGAAUGUUUCACCAUCUGAGGAUUCUUCCUCAAGAGAUUUUUGUAGCAUAACAAACACUACUCUGAUCAUCCAGUAAGGGGAUGUGAGAUUAGUAGAUUGCUAGUUUACUACUUGUUUUGGCAAAGUUAAAUUAUAGGUUUUAUGAUAUUAAUUAUUUUUCAUAUGAUAAAAUCUUAUAAUAUUAAAUUUUAUCCCAUACUCUUAACACGUGCAUGAGCCAUGAAGAUCAAAAUAUUGUUUGAGAAUUACAGUAUAUGAAAAGCCAAAUCAUGGAAGAACAAAAAAUGCCAAAUUAUUGGAAAAUGUCGUUUUCUAUUUUUUUAGCUAAUUUUACAUCCAACAAUAUUAUUAACCUUAAAAACACUCUAAAUUAUUUUGAUAGUAUUAAUCCUAAACUAAUUUUUGUAUCAAUUUUACUAUCCGGCUAUUUUGAUUUUUCAAUAAAGAUCUCUGUUGGCAUCAUUUUAUAAAAAAAUAUUGAUUUUUGUACAAAAUAAUAUCAUUUCUUACUUAAAUAAGUAAAAUUAAUUGAGUAUUUUUAAAAAUUUUAAAAUAAAAUUAAUACAAAUAAUUAUUUGAUGGUAAAGUCCAAGAUGAGUUGAAUGGUAUUUUUGAGAUUUGUGAAAAAGAAAGAACUCAUUAUAUUAUAAUGGGCUGGACUUCCUUCUAAAUGAUAAUUUUCAACCCAGUCCACCAAUUCAAAAUUAUGAAAACGACACGUCAUUCCAAGCUGCAGAAGGCUGUGAAACGACGUGUCGUUUUGUCUCGGCUUAGCAAAACACUCUUCAAGCAGCAGCAAGCAGCAGUCCAGUCUCGAAACUGGAAACAUUUUGGGUUCUUUUCAAGAUCACCAAAUCAAAGGUAAGUUGUUUUCUUGAAAACCCUUUUGUUAUUUUUAUCCAAGUGUUUUUUUAAGGAUUAAAGUUUUGGUUCUUAGAUGUUUUAGAGCUUCAAAUUUGCUUAUUUUUAUCAUGAAAUGUUCUUUUUAUUGGUUAAAGUUCUAAUUUUUAGAUGUAUUAGAGCUUGGAAUUUGCUUAAAUCUUGCAUAAACUAAGCUAGUAUUUUGAUAUUCAAUGUGCAUAAACAGUGAGGGAAGAAAAGAUUGUGAAAAACAAGAGAGUAAAGGAAGAUAAUAUGGGGACUGAAGAAAGUGGCGGUGUUUCAAAGAGGCAGAGAUUGGAUGAGCAGUCUUCAGCUUCUGGUAUUGAAAACCCACUUGUGCCUUACAAUGAUGUGGAUGAUGAAGAGGAGGAUUUUGAAAGAGGGAGAACGGCUAAUGGUGGUGGAAGGGUGGAGGAGAAUAGGGGACAAGUUGUUGCAGCAGAGAAUGGUGAGGAGGAGGAGGAGGAGGAGGAGGAGGAUUUGUAUGGAGAAGAGAAUAGUUUGGAGAAGAGGAAGAGUCAAUUUGAGCCUCGUGAGGAUUGCCCGUAUUUAGAUACUGUUAAUCGACAGGUAAAGAUUGCAUCUUUUUUGGAUAAUUUAUGUAGGUUUUGGGUUUAUAAAUUGUUAAAUGUGUUAAGUAUUGGCGGUUUUGGAUAUGAUAAUAUGGAUUUUUGUUUAAAUAAGGUUAUCUGUAUAUUGUUGUGCAAAAAUGCGUUAAGGAUAUGUUUUCUUGGGGUGUUUUGUGUUUUUGUACUUAAAUGUGUGGAAGGAUGCGCUUUACUAGAUAAUUUGUGUAGUUAUUUGUAUGUUUGUAGGUAUAAGUGUGUUAAAGGAUUCAUUUUUCUGGGUUGUAUAUGUGAGUUUUUGUGUGUAAUUAUGUGCACAUAAAUGUGUUAAAGGCUUCAUUUUUUUGGGCUAUAUAUCCGGGUACAUUUUUGUGUAGUUAUGUAGAUAUGUGUGUACAUGAAUAAGUACAGUAAACAUUAUUUUGGAGAAUAUAUCAGGAUUGUGGUUUAUAUAUGUCUGUGUUUGUGUGCUUAAAAUAUGUUUUUGAUUAUUGUUUUUUGGGGGUUUGCAGGUCUUGGACUUUGAUUUUGAGAAAUUUUGCUCUGUUUCCCUGUCAAAUUUGAAUGUGUAUGCAUGUUUGGUUUGUGGGAAGUAUUACCAAGGAAGAGGGAAGAAAUCCCAUGCUUAUACUCAUAGUCUUGAGGCAGGACACCAUGUCUACGUCAAUCUUAGGACAGAGAAGGUUUAUUGUCUUCCUGAUGGAUAUGAGAUUAUUGAUCCAUCACUAGAUGAUAUACGACAUGUUCUCAAUCCAAGGUCUUUCUCCCCCUCUCUCCGUGGUGCAUUAUACUUUUCCUGUGGGCAUGGGGUUCCUGUUAGUAUUCUUUCUUAGAGUUCCUGACCAUUUAGUUGAGAUGUUAACAGGGGAUGGUUAUCUGUGGUGUUAUUGGUUGCAUUUUCUUUUUAACUCACUUCAUAUGUUUACCAACUUCCAAGAACUUUGCAUCAUCCAUGCAGGUUUACUAGGGAUCAAGUCAAACAGCUUGACAAAAACAGGCAAUGGUCCAGGGCACUUGAUGGGUCUGAUUACCUUCCUGGAAUGGUAACCAUCUGUCCUCUUACUUGAUCACCAAUUCAUCAUACUCAUCACUGAAUUAUUGCUCAUGAUACAACUUCCUUGUGUAAUAAGAUGCAGAUUGGUCCUGCUUAUUCAUGUAAAAGAUGCAUAUUUUGAACAUUUUAACAUUGUUUACUAUCUUGCUUGAUUUUGAUCAUCAGGUGGGUCUGAAUAACAUCAAGGAAACUGAUUUUGUAAAUGUCACAAUUCAGUCGCUAAUGAGAGUUACACCCUUAAGGAAUUUCUUCCUCAUCCCUGAAAACUAUCAGCAUUGCAAGUCUCCUCUUGUUCAACGCUAUGGAGAACUCACUCGUAAAAUAUGGCAUGCUCGGAACUUUAAAGGACAGGUUUGAUCCUUUGAUUACUUCUCUGAAGUCAUGGUUUUCCAAUGUUUAAGUUUUGUUUCCUCAUUUUAUUUGCUCAUCUAUUCUCUUGGGACUUUUCAGGUGAGCCCACAUGAGUUUCUCCAGGCUGUAAUGAAAGCUAGUAAGAAACGGUUUCGCAUUGGUCAACAGUCUGAUCCAGUGGAAUUCAUGGCAUGGCUUCUUAAUACAUUGCACACAAAUCUUAGAACUUUAAAGAAAAAUAACAGUAUCAUUUAUGAGUGCUUUCAGGUGCUUUUUUACUUUUCCAAUGCUCUUCAGUUCGUUUCAAGUUUGCUGGUUGAUAUUAUUAUCUCAGUGGUGCUGGUCUAAUACUUCUUUUCCUGUUAGGGUGAGUUGGAGGUUGUGAAAGAGAUUCCUAACAAAGCUAUCACUGAGAAGAAAGAAAAUGGUAAUGACCAGAUUGAUGGUGGAGCUGGUCAUGAUAUUUUCACAGAAACGUCUAGAAUGCCAUUCUUGAUGCUUGGACUGGAUUUGCCACCACCUCCUCUGUUUAAAGAUGUGAUGGAGAAAAAUAUAAUACCUCAGGUAUUUAUGCAUUAUGUUUUAGCUAGGUUGGAAAUAUUAUUAUUAUGUCUGCUGUAUAGUGCCAAUAGGCUCUCUAUCUGAGCUAGAUGGUAUCAUCCUGCACUAUUGUUUGUGUUAUAGAGAUCCUAGUUAUACGCAUCAAAUCAUGUUUAAUUCUCAUUCCAAAUGAAAGGUUUCAAAAGACAUGCUUGGUUAGAUCCCUAGGAGCGAAUGUAGAUGUCACUGCUUUGGUAUAGAACAUUUAGUUGAUUCUUUUUGUCAGAUCUUUAAAUAAGUCAAAUUCUCAGCUUAAUAAGCUUAUGCCUCCAUUAUUCCUGGGCAAUCAAGGUUAAUUACUGACCAUGGAAGAUAGAACAUAGUCCAGUUUCUCUUCUUCUUCUUCUCUUUUUUCUCUCACUUCUUAUUCAUCUAUUGAGAGGAAGUGUUAAUUUUUGCAUCUGUUUCAACUCCUAGUUUAGUGCUUUUGUUGUUUGCCAUACAAGUCUAUAUUUUGCUCAAAUGGUUAAAUUAAAACCUUAUUGACCUGGAAUUUAGAUGAAAGCUGAAUCAACUUAAGUAUCCUAGUUUGGGUUUUCAGCUAUCAGUAUUUGCAUGUGAUGAUCAGAUGUGACCCAGAAACACUGGCUGUGUACUUUUGAGCUUAUUAUGUUGGGAUUUUUUUUCUCUACAAUAGGGUAGCGAGGUUUUGGCUUGAUCCAUGGGUGGAAAAUGAAGGCUUUCCUUGGGUAAAUUCUACUCAUUCCCUUUCUUGGUGGAUACUUAUUUUACAUGUGCUAUUGUUUCAGGUUCCUCUGUUCAAUAUACUGAAGAAAUUUGAUGGUGAGAGUGUGACUGAAGUUGUUCGUCCUCGUGUUGCCCGGAUGAAAUAUCGCGUCAUCAGAUUGCCACAGUAUUUAAUACUACAUAUGCAGCGGUUUAAAAAGAACAACUUUUUCAUCGAGAAGAAUCCCACCUUGGGUAAGGCUUGACACUAACAGUGGAUUUUACUUGGAACUUUGUUUGGUUUUGAGCUAUCCUGUGCUAAUUGUUUCUAUGAUUACAGUCAACUUUCCUGUGAAGAACUUGGAGUUGAAAGAUUUUAUUCCUUUGCCAAUGCCUAAAGAAAAUGAGAGAUUGCGCUCGAAGUAUGAUUUGAUUGCCGAUAUUGUCCAUGAUGGAAAGCCUAAUGAGGGUUUCUACAGGGUUUUUGUGCAGCGAAAGUCAGAAGAGCUAUGGUAAUUCAAUUUCUAAUCCACUUGUAUGGUUGUGAAUGAAACUUAUAAUUACAUAUCUGAUAAUCAAUGUUUUGCAGGUAUGAGAUGCAGGAUCUGCAUGUUUCUGAGACCCUUCCUCAAAUGGUUGCUCUCUCUGAGGCAUACCUGCAGAUAUAUGAGCAGCAGCAGUAGCACUGGAGUUUAGAAGUCCUAUUGUCAACAUGUUGUCAUACUGUUUUUGGGUACAAGUAACACAUGAGUCUUACCUUCUGUAAAUGGUUGAGGAAAAAUCAGAAUACGAUGGCACCAUUGCUUGACUGGCACUUAGCAGAUUUACUAAGCUUAGAAAAACAUUGAGGUUUUGUAGAAAAAAAGGCAGUACUUUGUCUGUUUCAUAUCAUUAAAAGGAUGAACAGUUUUGUUACUGAAAAACUAUCCAUCUAUUGUAGCAGAGCAGGAAACUUAAAUAAUUCGGUGAUGAUUGACUUGGGUGAUUCAGAUAGUGACUUAGGUUUGGUUGUCCUGCAUUGUGUACAACUUUGAUCUGUAGGGAUAAAAAAUGAUAUGCUAGGCUUUGGUUUGUUCAUUGUUACCUAGUUCUCAUGGCAGUAAUGUCACGAAAAGCAGUACUCGUAGGCUUCUCUUGUUUUAUUGUCGAUCACUUCAUUGCCUGGAUUUCUUUCUGCUAGUAUUUUUCUUACAGUGAUGUGGUGGAUAGUAUUCUGUUUCGAAUUGUUGUGAUUUUUUGAAGUGCAGCAGUUUUUACUUGAAAAAAGUGUUAAUGCACCCAUCCACGCACGCACGCAGAGACAGAGACAGCCUGAAUUGAAGGUAUGUAUGCCUCCUUUCAAGUACACACAGCCCUGCAUAAAUGGUAUAUGUGCCUGCUUUCAAAUAAAGUAGUCCAGCAGACGGGGAAGCCCUAGCAUUGAAUGGAGUGCUCAAUGAUGGAGAUUGCAAGCAAUGCCCUCGGUAGGGAAGUCACUGAAUGGAGGCCACAAUCAAACCAUCAAUCUACAACCCCACCUUGCGUAGAGUAGACUCCUCGGUCAGGUAUUAUAAUUAUAGUUAUGUGUGAACUGUAAAAUAGAAAGAAAUGACAAGUUGAUCUCUCUUGAGAGAAAAGGAAGAUGAAUUGCCUACGGUAGUGAAGAAUUCAUGCCUACUUAGUUGUGGAUUUUCAUGACUAAAUUACAGGGAUUGUCUAACAGAGUUAUUUAUCGAUCAAUAAGACAUGGUUAAGUCUAAGAAGAGGCUUGGGUUGAACAGAGUGCUCAGUCUGACAAAAAAAACCCAUAAUUGUUUAUAUAUUCAUUUAAUCACUCCCAAAUUUAGUUAGGAAAUUACAAAGAUUGAGACCCAAAACGCCUUUAAAUUAGGCUAAGAAGGAGAUCAUCAAGUUGGUUUUGUUUUUAUUAUUAUUAUUAUUUUGGAUUUUUUAGUUUGGUUAGAACUUUUAUUGCUUGGUAUUUUAUGAUUAGGACUUUUAGUUUCAUUUCCUGUUUACGUCAAUUUUUUAGAUUUAUUUAAAUAAUUAUAAAUAUAUUAAAAGAUACAAACUAUUGAAGACAAAAUAUGCAGUAAUAAAUUUUUAAAUUAAAAUUUUUAUGUCGUUAUUCUACAAAAUUUAACGGGUUUGUGUUUCAUGUUUAUUAUUUUAUUAUUAUUAUUAUUAUUAUUAUUAUCCCCCGCAUCACUUACUUCCAAAUGAUGGUGUGAUAGCUGAAGCCAAUCAGUGAUGAUCUAGUGGUGGAGGAAGCAAAUAUCACUUGCUUUUGUGUGGGGUCAAGAACAAGAUGCAUAUCCCCUCGCACGUCACUACACAUGUAAGCAAGUUGGCAUUAGUUGGUGUGAUAGAUUUUAAUGCUAUAAAAUAAAAGGAAGAAAAGAAAAAAAAAGGUACGGUCAUUCCAUAACAAGACCCCAACUUUAACCAAGUUCAUCAGAACUAAUGUUGGAUAGGAAAUAGAUCACUGCAACAUGACCAAAUUGAACAAACUAUAUAUAUGAUAAAGACUUUAACUUAAUUUAAUUUGAGUAAUGAAAUUAAGCCACAGUCGGGAUCGAUGAUCAUUGAUGGAAUCAACAUGGUAGAAAGGCCUAAGCUCUUCAAGGUUUGCUUCCUAACCAUUGAUCAAUCAAGUUUCCAAAAGCAACAUGCGAAGAUCCACCCUCCAUCACAGCUUUCUUCGCCAUUUCACUGGUUUCUUUGGCCUUGUUCCUAAGUUCACCACCUUGUUCCAUCAUGGUUUUCACAGCUUUUGUUAUCUCCUCCGCCUUCACAAAAUCUGUAGGACAAUCUCUCCUAAAAUCCAACGUCAAUUCCACUGCUAAUCCCAAGUCUUUCACCAGCUGAAAUGCAUUCAUGUGUUGCUCAGCAUAUAAUGGCCAAGUUAUAAUAGGCACAGCAUACCACAAGGCCUCCAAAGUUGAGUUCCAUCCACAGUGUGAUACGAAAGCGCCUACUGCUUUAUGUGCCAAGAUUUGUACUUGUGGUGCCCAUCCACAUAGCAUCCCAAUGUUUUUAGUUCUUUCCAAGAAUCCCUGUGGCAAGAUCUCUCCAUAGUUGUCAAAAAAACUAGCUUGCAGCUUCCCCUUGGAGGGUUUCAACCGAAUGGACCAUAAGAACCUAUGUCCAAUCCUCUCGAGCCCGAUUGCAAUUUCUUUCAACUGAGCUUCAUCAAAGCCUCCUCCACUCCCGAAGCACAAGAACACCACUGAUUUUUCAGGUUGAUCAUCAAGCCAUUUCAAGAUCUCGUCACGCUUGACGGCAUCAGAUCCUGACAGACUCUUUCCCUUGUGAUCAAUCAAUGGCCCAACAUUGAAAAUAGGUGGUAUAUCAUCUCUAGCCAAAAGAGCACUAACUGCAUGGGACUCAGCUUCUGAAAAUGUAUUAACAAUGAUACCGUUGGAGUCCUUAAACUCUCUUCCAUGGUUUGCCAAAGCCUCAUAUUCCACAUCGGUGUGCAAUACCGGCAUAACACGGUAAGGCACGGGAUUUGAAUAACAGGGGAUGAUAUAGUCAGGGUCAGUAGGGCUAAACUUAGGCUCACCCUUGUCUUCUCUAUCUGAAAGGUAAAGCGUCAUGGCAAGAAAGGCAGCAUCAGAAGUGAAAAAAACAUGAGAAGGGACACCAAGUUCUUUUGCAACAUCAAUAAAUACAGUGCAAAACAUAUCAACAACAACACUAGCAAUUGGUGCAGGGUUGUGGGCCAUGACUAGGUUAACAAUAGUAUCUUUCACAAGGGUUUUGUGAUCAUUGAUGUAAGAAGUAAAAGCACUUGCAGGGCUUACAGCUAAAGCUUCUGGAGGAGGUGUAGGUAUGGUAUCAGGAAUUUCGACGAACCUGAUUUCUGUAUGAAUUGAAGCAAGCGAUUCGGUGUUCUUGCUUAUGCCACCGUAAAAUGGAUUGUUGAUGGCAAGCAUGGUUAUCAAGAAACUGUCGUUUCUCUCAAGAACCAUCUUUGCUAACUGAACAGCUGCUACAAGGUGGCCAAAUCCAGGUGCAGGGACAAAGACUAGCUGUGUUUUCUUCAUUUUGGAGGUUUUGAAUGUUCAAUAUGGUGAUCCUUGUUUGCUUUAUAAGGGGCUCAAGGUCAAUGCCACAAUGCCAGCUGUUAUGAUUUUUUUUUUCUCUAAAUUAAUCAUCAAAUUGGAUAUGACAAUUAUUAUUACAAAGAUUGAUUUCAUAGAAAAAUUUUCCUGUAAUAUUUUUAAACAAUUCAAAUUAAAUAAAAGAAAAGAAAGCUAGGUUUCAUUUUAUUUUGAAGUUAUAUUUUUAAUAUAUAUAUAUAUAUAUAUAUAUAUAUAUAUAAACUAAACUAAACUAAAAAUAUUAUUUUAUUUUUAAUAAAUAAAAUUAAAUAAAUAUAUUUGUUUAACAACAUUCAUCUAUCCCAUAAGAUAUCAUUUAUCUUUAUUACAAAAAAUUAUAGAUGAUUUACUAGAAUGAUUUAAUUAAGUAUAACUUGAUUAAAAUAUAUAAUAGAAAUUAAGGAUUAGAAUAUAAUUAAUACAAGGAUUAUAUUUCUAUAUCUAGAAAAAUCAAGUAAGGAUUUAAUUGAUUAUAUUUUUAAAAUUACCCUUACAUAAUAUAUGGAUAUUUUUAAAAUUAUCUUUACAUAAUAUAUGGAUAUUAUUUAAAGGCAAAUAUAUAUAUAUAAUCAUUUAUACGGUUUUGAGAUUUUCUAUAAUUAUAAAGUUAAGCCUAUUAUUUUGUAAGUAAAAAAAUAAUGAUUGUCUAUUUUAUAAAAAAACUACGUAAAAACAAUAUUAGAGCUAGCACUCUAGGCAUAACAAUCUCUCUUUUCUAAAUAGAGAUUUAAGAGAUUUCUCACGGGUAGUUUGUAUGGAUUAUCAUUAGAGACCGAAUAAUUUAACGAUUUGUGGUUUGCGACAACCCAACUUUUAAAGAAUAAUUUAAAAUAAAUAAAUUAAAUAUUCAAAUAAUAAAUCUUUAAAUAAUUUUAAAUCUAAUCUACAUGAUAUAAGAACAACUUAAUAUAUUCAAUCAUGCGAAUUCUUUGUAGUUUUUAAUGUAUCAAAAUGGAUUUAAUAAUACCUUACUAUUAAAAAGAAGAAGAAGUCAACAACAAUGAUUGAUUGUGAUUGCAUUUAAUAGCUAGACAGUUACAUGGCUAGAAAGAAUCCAAAGAUAAUAUAUAAUAAAUGGCAAUUUCGUAGGAAUUGCUGAAGUGUUAAAUUGUGGAUGAAGUUUUUGAUGAAUUUUUAUUUUAUUCUAUUGUACUUUUCAUCAUUGGUAGUUAUUUAUGAAAAUAUUAUAUCACUAUUUAUAUCAAAAUUAUUGACGCAAAAAUUCUAUCACUGUUAUCUUCUAAAAUUAUUGAUGAAAAAUUUAUCAUUGACAUUUCUGAUUUUAUUUAUUAAUUUUCUGGUAAUAAUAAUAAUCUUAUGCUCAGAUUUAUAAUUUUAUAAUUUAAAAAAUAGAAUUGAUAUCUGAAACUUAAAAGAAGAUUAAACCUUUCAUUUUUUAAUUAUAUGAAGUAUUGAUAAUACAACUAAUCAAACAUAAACUAACAAUCAUUUAAACAAAAUUUAAGAAUUUAUGGUAGAAUUGCAUAAAUUAAUUUUAAAAAUUACUUUUUAUAAAUUUUUAUCAAGUAAUUCUACAAUCAAUUCCUAAAGCCUAACAAUCAUUUAAACAAAAUUUAAAAAUUGAGGAUAGAAUUACUUAAUUGGUAAAAAAUUAUGAAAAUAAGCGAACUUUGCUAAAAUCAUGUAUAUUCAUCCUUAUGAUUAAAUGACAUUUAAAUGUCUAAAGUAAAGAAUACCUUCAUCUAGCCAAAACAAAAUUCAGGGAUCUUCUACAAUGAAGACGCUAUCGUUUCAUGCACACAUCAUAUAUAAACGAGAAAUUCAAAUCAACAUAAUAUAUAUAUAUAUAUAUAUAUAUAUAUAUAUAUAUAUAUAUAUAUAUAUAUAUAUAUAUAUGUCCAACUAUUCUAAUGGCACUAAUUUUCAACUACUAAUGAAAAAAAAUAUUAAAAAGUAAUUUUUUAUAUUUUUUAAAUUAAUUUAGAUAUUAAUUAAAAUAAAGUAUACAAUAUUAAGAUUAUUCAAAAUGUUAGUCUCACUUCAUGCAUAAACUAAUAUGAGCUUAUCUUUUAAUGUAUCAUGAAUGAUUUUAUUUUAUUGGUGUGGGUUUUUUUUAUAUAAUUCUGGAUAUUUUAACUACUUUAUGUGUAACUCAAUUAAGUUUUUAAAAUUCUAAAUUUUACAACCAUGUAAUGUGUAUUGAUGGGGCAGGCAGGGAGGUGACUGUUUCUGGAGGGACGGGUGCUUGUAAAUUGGAUAGUGAGGGGUCGACAAGCCAUGGCCAUAAGCAAAAAGAUAAAGGACGAGGAGGGAGAAAAAAAAAUUGUGCAUAAUUUGUGGAGCACGGUGGGACAGGGAUAAUAAUUUAAUAUGAGACUUUUGAAUAUUAACCGAAAACCUACUUCUUUAUUGAAUAUUCAAAAAAAAUAAACCAAAAUGAUACAUUUAUUUAUAUAUAUAUAAUAAAAAAAAACACACACACGGAUAUAUCCAUAUAAAUACCAAACAUUACCGGAAUUAAUAAUUUUAGAGACAAUAUUUUUUUUUUGUUAGUAUUUAUACCAACAAUCCAUUGGUAUAAAAUUUAUCGAUAAAUUUAUAAAAAGAAUUCAUUUGCUAGUAAAAAAAAAACACCAAUGUUUUUACAAAUAAAAAGUUUGUAUAAAAGAAAUCACUUGUUUUAAUACUUUAAUGGAAUUAUUUUGUUAGUGAUUGAUAAUGGUAUUUAUUGUAAUUUUAUUUCAAUUCUUUAUAAAAUAUUAAUGGAAUUAUUUUCAUUCAUGAUGUAAUAAUAUUGAAGUGACAUAUAAAGUAAAUUGUUCCCCUUACCUUUGGAAUAUAUUGAGUUACUACGGGUUGUGUCCAUUGAUACAUCCGUCUGCAAGAGUUAAAAAAAUGCCCUUUUCUUUUAGUACAAUUAUGUUUUUUGUUAGUUUUUAUUUUUCACAUUCUAACCCUGGCGCCAUUAGAAAAAGAUAUGUCUCCACCACAAAACUAGGCAAAAAUAUGACGGGGUGCCUUUAAGUUUGUAUUUCAUGGCUAUGAUCUAAAUCUGGUUUGCCAAAAACUUCGUGAGCAAAGUAAAAUUGGCGUAACAACUGAAUUUAGGCCAAGUUUCAAAUUUUUGUUUACUUUUCUGAAAGUUUUGAUUUAUGGUUUCCAAUUUUCCAAGUCAAAUUUAUGGUUGAUACAAACUAAGCAAGGUAAUUUAAGAAGUUUUUUGCAAAACACGAGAAGGGACCCCAAGUUCUUUUGCAACAUCAAUAAAGGCAGUGCAAAACAUAUCAACAACAACACUAGCAAUUGGUGCAGGGUUGGGGGCGCCAUGACUAGGUUAACAAUAGUAUCUUUCACAAGGGUUUUGUGAUCAUUGAUGUAAGAAGUAAAAGCACUUGCAGGGCUUACAGCUAAAGCUUCUGGAGGAGGUGUAGGUAUGGUAUCAGGAAUUUCGACGAACCUGAUUUCUGUAUGAAUUGAAGCAAGCGAUUCGGUGUUCUUGCUUAUGCCACCGUAAAAUGGAUUGUUGAUGGCAAGCAUUGUUAUUGAAGAAACAAAGAGAAAGAAGAAUCUUAUUUUCAUAUCAAUUCUGUUAGAGCAGCAUAGGUAUGUAUACAAUGGAUACGAUGGAUUUCUGUUACAGCAGAGAAAGAUGACUAUUAAUUCUCCUACAUUCAUGGUCAUAUCAGAAUCUGUCUCUAUUUACUACUAUCCUAUCAAUUGUAUACAGAGCAAUAGCAAUAUUGCAGUAGGGAGCAAGUUCUGCAACUGGUGUUGGAGUUAAACUAAAACUCUGCAAUUUGUUUUGGAGCCGGACUCUGCAAUGUGAUCUAUAGUAGGACUUUGCAAUCGUGUUAGAGUGAGAAUCUGUUGCUUUCCUUCAUUACUCCCCCUCAAGCUGGAUUAAGGGGGUUGAUUGAGUCAGGUUUGGAUAAUAGACGAUAGAAGUGAGCUGAAGUUAGAACCUUUAUAAAUACAUCAGCUAGUUGAUGGUGACUGUGGAUGUAACAUGGUUUGAUAAUCUGCGAUAGAAUUUAUUGACGAAUAAAAUGAUAAUCAACUUUAAUGUGUUUAGUUUUUUGGUGAAAUACAUAAUUAGUUGUAAUAUGCAUAGCAACUUGAUUAUCACAAAACAUAGUCAAUGGAAUAUUGCUAGAAAAUUCCAGAUCUGACAGAAAACCUUUAAGCCAAAUUAAUUCACAAGCUGCGAACAUCAUCACAUGAUAUUCAGCUUUAGCACUAGAACGUGCACCAACAUGUUGCUUUUACUACGCUAGGCGACUGAAUUACCACCAAUAAACAUGCAAAAACCAGUGGUUUCUUAACAUAGCUAUGCAACAGAUAACACUCUGUGAGAUCAAAACGUUUUAGAAACAUGCAUGUGUAUUAUUAAAGCUCUAGUUUUUUCUAAAAGUCUCUGUUUUUACAUUCAGCUAUUUUAUUUUGUUGAGGUGUGCCAACAUAGUUGGAAUAGACCCUUGGAUGGUGGUUUCUGAAUGGAUCAUAAGAACUUUUGCGCACUCUAUUCGAGCCCAUUUGUUAUGUCUUUUAAUUGAGGUUCACCAAAGUAUGUGGUUUGCUAACUUAACUGCUGACACAAGAUGACAAUUUUUUGCUGCAGGAAUUAACACUAGCUGUGGUUUCUUCAUUCCAAUAAUAACUGUAGGAAAAAGGUGAAUGUUAAGUUUGUCGGUAUAAGAUCCAAUCUAGUUUGACAGGUUAAUUUGAUGAUUCAUUUAUUCAAAAUUUAGCUUGAUAGGUUAACUUGGUGACCAGGUCAACACAAUGAUUCACUGACUCUGAGCUUGGCUUGGCUGAGUUAGCAAAAAAACCAAGUAUAUUUUAUUUACCAAAACAACGAUGUUGUUUAAGUUUUUUUUUUAAAAAAAAAAGCUUGGGAUGAAUUGAAUCAAACCAUCAAUCUACAGCCCCACCUUGCGUAGAGUAGACUCCUCAGUCAAGUAUUAUAAUUAUGGUUAUGUGUGAACUAUAAAAUAGAAAGAAAUGACAAGUUGAUCUCUCUUUAGAAAAAAGGAAGAUGAAUUGCCUACGGUAGUGAAGAAUUCAUGUCUAACUUAUAUAGCUGGGUUAGUUGUGGAUUUUUCAUGACUAAACUACGUGGAUUGUCUAACAGAGUUAUUUAUUGAUCAACAAGACAUGGCUAAGUUCAAGAAGAGGCUUGGGCUAAGUACAGUGCUCGGUUUGACAAAAAAAAUCCCAUAAUUCUUCAUAUAUUCUUUUAAUCACUCACAAAUUUAGUUAGGAAAUUCCAAAGAUUGAGACCCAAAAAUUCUUUAAAUUAGGCUUAGAAGGAGCUCAUCAAGUUAGAUUUGUUAUUUUUUAUUAUUAUUUUAAACUUUUUAGUUUGGUUAGAACUUUUAUUGCUUGGUAUUUUAUGAUUAGGACUUUUAGUUUCAUUUCUUGUUUACGUCAAUUUUUUAUAUUUAUUUAAAUAAUUAUAAAUAUAUUAAAAGAUACAAACUAUUGAAGAGAAAAUAUGCAGUAAUAAAUUUUUAAAUUAAAAUUUUUAUGUCGGUAUUCUACAAAAUUUAACGGGUUUGUGUUUCAUGUUUUUUUUUUUAUUAUUAUUAUUAUCCCCCGCAUCACUUACUUCCAAAUGAUGGUGUGAUAGCUGAAGCCAAUCAGUGAUGAUCUACUGGUGGAGGAAGCAAAUAUCACUUGCUUUUGUGUGGGGUGAAGAACAAGAUGCAUACCCCCUCGCACGUCACUACACAUGUAAGCAAGUUGGCAUUUGUUGGUGUGAUAGAUUUUAAUGCUAUAAAACAAAAGGAAGAAAAGAAAAGAAAAGGUGCGGUCAUUCCAUAAGGCCUCAACGUUAAUUAACUUCAUCAGAACUAAUUAAUGUUGGAUAGGAAAUAGAUCACUACAACAUGACCAAAUCAAACAAACUAUAUAUAUAUAUGAUAAUGACUUUAACUUAAUUUAAUUUGAGGAAUGAAAUUAAGCCACAGUAGGAAUUGAUGAUCAUUGAUGGAAUCAACAUGGUAGAUAAGGCUUAAGCUCUUCGAGGUUUGCUUCCUAACCAUUGAUCAAUCAAGUUUCCAAAAGCAACAUACGAAGAUCCACCCUCCAUCACAGCUUUCUUCGCCAUUUCACUGGUUUCUUUGGCCUUGUUCCUAAGUUCACCACCAUGUUCCAUCACGGUUUUCACAGCUUUUGUUAUCACCUCCGCCUUCACAAAAUCUGUAGGACAAUCUCUCCUAAAAUCCAACGUCAAUUCCACUGCUAAUCCCAAGUCUUUCACCAGCUGAAAUGCAUUCAUGUGUUGCUCAGCAUGCAAUGGCCAAGUUAUAAUAGGCACAGCAUACCACAAGGUCUCCAAAGUUGAGUUCCAUCCACAGUGUGAUACGAAAGCGCCUACUGCUUUAUGUGCCAAGAUUUCUACUUGUGGUGCCCAUCCACAUAGCAUCCCAAUAUUUUUAGUUCUUUCCAAGAAUCCCUGUGGCAAGAUCUCUCCAUAGUUGUCAAAAAAACUAGCUUGCAGCUUCCCCUUGGAGGGUUUCAACCGAAUUGACCAUAAGAACCUCUGUCCACUCCUCUCGAGCCCGAUUGCAAUUUCUUUCAACUGAGCUUCAUCAAAGCAUCCUCUACUCCCGAAGCACAAGAACACCACUGAUUUUUCAGGUUGAUCAUCAAGCCAUUUCAAGAUCUCGUCACGCUUGACGGCAUCGGAUCCUGACAGACUCUUUCCCCUGUGAUCAAUCAAUGGCCCAACAUUGAAAAUAGGUGGUAUAUCAUCUCUAGCCAAAAGAGCACUAACUGCAUGGGACUCAGCUUCUGAAAAUGUAUUAACAAUGAUACCGUUCGACUCCUUAAACUUUCUUCCAUGGUUUGCAAUAGCCUCAUAUGCCACAUCGGUGUGCAAUAACGGCAUAACACGGUAAGGCACGGGAUUUGAAUAACAGGGGAUGAUAUAGUCAGGGUCAGUAGGGCUAAACUUAGGCUCACCCUUGUCUUCUCUAUCUGAAAGGUAAAGCGUCAAGGCAAGAAAGGCAGCAUCACAAGUGUAAAAAACAUGAGAAGGGACCCCAAGUUCUUUGGAAACAUCAAUAAAUGCAGUGCAAAACAUAUCAACAACAACACUAGCAAUUGGUGCAGGGUUGUGGGCCAUGACUAGGUUAACAAUAGUAUCUUUCACAAGGGUUUUGUGAUCAUUGAUGUAAGAAGUAAAAGCACUUGCAGGGCUUACAGCUAAAGCAUCUGGAGGAGGUGCAGGUAUGGUCUCAGGAAUUUCGAUGAACCUGAUUUCUGUAUAAAUUGAAGCAAGCGAUUUGAUUUUCUUGCUUAUGCCACCGUCAAAUGGAUUGUUGAUGGCAAGCAUGGUUAUCAAGAAACUGUCGUUUCUCUCAAGAACCGUCUUUGCUAACUGAACAGCUGGUACAAGGUGGCCAAAUCCAGGUGCAGGGACAAAGACUAGCUGUGUUUUCUUCAUUUUGGAGGUUUUGAAUGUUCAAUAUGGUGAUCCUUGUUUGCCUUAUAAUGGGCUCAAGGUCAACGCCACAAUGCCAGCUGUUAUGAUUAUUUUUUUUCUAAAUUAAUCAUCAAAUUGGAUGACAAUUAUUACAAAGAUUGAUUUCAUAGAAAACUUUUCUUGUAAUAUUUUUAAACAAUUCAAAUUAAAUAAAACAAAUUAUAAAUAUAAAAGAAAAGAAAGCUAGGGUUUCAUUAAUCAUUUUAUUUUGAAGUUAUAUUUUUAAUCUAUAUAUAUAUAUAUAUAUAUAUAUAUAUAUAUAUAUAAACUAAACUAAAAAUAUUAUUUUAUUUUUAAUAAAUAAAAUUAAAUAAAUAUAUUUUUUAACAACAUUCAUCUAUCCCGUAAGAUAUUAUUUAUCUUUAUUAAAAAAACAUUGUAGAUGAUUUAUUAGGAUAAUUUAAUUAAGUAUGACUUGAUUAAUAUAUAUUUUAGAAAUUAAAAAUUAAAAUAUAAUUAAUAUAAGAAUUAUAUUUGUAAACCUAAAAAAAUCAAGUAGGGACUUAAUUGAUUAAAUUUUUAAAAUUACCCUUAAAUAAUAAAUGGAUAUUAUUUGAGGGCAAAUAUAUAUAUUUUAUCAUUUAAACGGUUUUAGGAUUUUAUUAUCAAUAUAUAUAGCUAAGCCUAUUAUUUUGUAAGUAAAAAAUGAUGGUUGUCUAUUAGAUAGAAAAACUAUGUAAACACAAUAUUAGAGCUAGUACUCUAAGCAUAACAAUCUCUCUUUUCUAAAUAGUGAUUUAAGAGUUUUCUCACAAGUAGUUUGUAUGAAUUAUCAUUAAAAAUCAAAUAAUUAAAUGAUUUUUAGUUUGUGACAACCCAACUUUUAAAGAAUAAUUUAAAAUAAAAAAAUUAAAUAUUCAAAUAAUAAAUCUCUAAAUAAUUUUAAAUCUAAUCUAACAUGAUAUAAGAAAUAAUAUCCCGGUAGUGUGAGUUUGUGUGUAUUGACAACUUAAUAUAUUCAAUCAUGCGAAUUCUUUGUAGGUGUUAUGGUUUCAAAUUGAGGAAGGACGUAGUUUUUAAUUAAUGUAUCAAAAUUGAUUUAAUAAUACCUUACUAUUAAAAAGAAGAAGAAGUCAACAACAAUGAUUGAUUGUGACUGCAUUUAAUAGCUAGAUAGUUACAUGGCUAGAAAGGAUCCAAAGAUAAUAUAUACAUGAUGAUAUUCUGUUUAAAUUUAUUAAAUGGCAAUUUCGUAGGAAUUGCUGAAGUGUUAAAUUGUGGAUGAAGUUUAAUUUGAUGAAUUUUUAUUUUUAUUUUUAUUUUAUUCUAUUGUACUUUUCAUCAUUGGUAGUUAUUUAUGAAAAAUAUUAUAUCACUAUUUAUAUCAAAAUUAUUCACACAAAAAUUCUAUCACUAUUAUCUUCUAAAAUUAUUGAUGAAAAAUUUCUCAUUGGCAUUUCUGAUUUUAUUUAUUAAUUUUCUGGUAAUAAUAAUAAUCUUAUGCUUAGGUUUAUAAUCCUAUAAUUUAAAAAAUAGUAUCGAUACCUGAAACUUAAAAGAAUAUUAAACCUUCCAUUUUUAAUUUAUAUGAAAUAUUGAUAAUACAACUAAUCAAACAUAAACUAACAAUCAUUUAAACAAAAUUUAAGAAUUGAUUGUAGAAUUACAUAAAUUAAUUUUAAAAUUUUUAAAAAUUACAUUUUAUAAAUUUUUACCAAGUAAUUCUACCAUCAAUUCCUAAACCUAACAAUCAUUUAAACAAAUUUUAAGAAAUGAUGAUAGAAUUACUUGGUAAACUUUUAUGAAAAUAAGCAAACUUUCUUAAUAAUCAUAUAUAUUCAUCCUUCUGAUUAAAUGACACUUAAAUGUUUAAAGUAAAAAAUACCUACAUUUAACAAAACAAGAUUCAAGGUUCUUUUACAAUGAAGACGCUAUCGUUUCAUACACAUAUUAUAAACGAGAAAUCCAAACCAACAAGAUCAAAAAAUAAAAUAUAUACAUAAACUUUCGAGUCAAAAUAUUAUAUUUUUAAAAGAGAGAAUACAAACAAUGUUAGUCCAUUUAAAGCUAUCACAUGCCCAACUAUUCUAAUGGCUCUAAAUUUCAACUCUAAUGAAAAACAAAAUAUUAAAAAAUAAUUUUUUAUAUAUUUUAAAUAAAUUUAGGUAGUAAUUAAAAUAAAGUAUACAAUAUUAAGAUUAUUCAAAAUGUUAAUCUCACAUCAUGCAUAAACUAAUAUGAGCUUAUCUUUUAAUGUAUCAUGAAUGAUUUUAUUGGUGUGGUUUUUUUUUUCCUUACAUUACAUGUAUCUCAAUUAAUUUUUUAAAAUUCUAAAUUUUACAACCAUGUAAUGUAUUGAUAGGGCAGGCAGUGAGGUGACUGUUUCUAGAGGGACGGGUGCUUGUAAAUUGGAUAGUGGCCAUAAGCAAAAAAUAAAGGACGAGGAGAGAGAGAAAAAAGUUGUGCAUAAUUUGUGUAACAUGUGAUGGUGGGACAGGGAUAAUAAUCAUAUAUAUAUAUAUAUAUAUAUAUAUAUAUAUAUAUAUAUGCGUAUGUGUAUUUUUAAAAAAAUAUCAUAUUAUUUUUUUAAAUAUAUUCAAUAAAUAAGUAGGCUUCGGUUAAUAUUCAAAAGUCUCAUGUUAAAUUAUUAUCCCUGUCCCACCAUUUUACACAAAUUAUGCACAACUUUUUUUCUUUCUCCUCGUCCUUUAUCUUUUUGCUUAUUGCCGUGGCUUGUCGAUCCCUCACUGUCCAAUUUACACGCACCCGUCUCUUUUAAAACAGUUCUUUUAAAUUUUAAUGGCAAUAGGUAAAUGAUUAGAUUUUAGAUUUAUUUUCUAAAAUUAUUUAUUUAGUUUUUAUAAAUUUUAGAAUGAUUGAAGGUUUAUAUGGUCGUUAAUUUCAGAGUUUCUAGAAUUAAUCAAGAUAGACACAAACUGACUCACACAUCAAUAUUAAUAAUAAUAAAAAAUGGUAUUAGGUGGUGUGAUAGAUUUUAAUGCUAUAAAACAAAAGGAAGAAAAGAAAGAAAAAGGUACGGUCAUUCCAUAAUAAGGCCCCAACUUUAAUUAACUUCAUCAGAACUAAUGUUGGAUAGGAAAUACAUCACUUCAACAUGACCAAAUCAAACAAACUAUAUAUAUGAUAAAGACUAUAACUUAAUUUGAGGAAUGGAAUUAAGCCACAGUAGGAAUUGAUGAUCAUUGAUGGAAUCAACAUGGUAGAAAGGCCUAAGCUCUUCAUGGUUUGCUUCCUAACCACUGAUCAAUCAAGUUUCCUAAAGCAACAUACGAAGAUCCACCCUCCAUCACAGCUUUCUUCGCCAUUUCACUGGUUUCUUUGGCCUUGUUCCUAAGUUCACCACCUUGUUCCAUCAUGGUUUUCACAGCUUUUGUUAUCACCUCCGCCUUCACAAAAUCUGUAGGGCAAUCUCCCCUAAAAUCCAACGUCAAUUCCACUGCUAAUCCCAAGUCUUUCACCAGCUGAAAUGCAUUCGUGUGUUGCUCAGCAUAUAAUGGCCAAGUUAUAAUAGGCACAGCAUACCACAAGGCCUCCAAAGUUGAGUUCCAUCCACAGUGUGAUACGAAAGCGCCUACUGCUUUAUGUGCCAAGAUUUCUACUUGUGGUGCCCAUCCACAUAGCAUCCCAAUAUUUUUAGUUCUUUCCAAGAAUCCCUGUGGCAAGAUCUCUCCAUAGUUGUCAAAAAUACUAGCUUGCAGCUUCCCCUUGGAGGGUUUCAACCGAACGGACCAUAAGAACCUCUGUCCACUCCUCUCGAGCCCGAUUGCAAUUUCUUUCAACUGAGCUUCAUCAAAGCAUCCUCUACUCCCGAAGCACAAGAACACCACUGAUUUUUCAGGUUGAUCAUCAAGCCAUUUCAAGAUCUCGUCACGCUUGACGGCAUCGGAUCCUGACAGACUCUUUCCCUUGUGAUGAAUGAUCAAUGGCCCAACAUUGAAAAUAGGUGGUAUAUCAUCUCUAGCCAAAAGAGCACUAACGGCAUGGGACUCAGCUUCUGAAAAUGUAUUAACAAUGAUACCGUUGGACUCCUUAAACUGUCUUCCAUGGUUUGCAAAAGCCUCGUAUUCCACAUCGGUGUGCAAUAACGGCAUAACACGGUAAGGCACGGGAUUUGAAUAACAGGGGAUGAUAUAGUCAGGGUCAGUAGGGCUAAACUUAGGCUCACCCUUGUCUUCUCUAUCUGAAAGGUAAAGCAUCGUGGCAAGAAAGGCAGCAUUAGAAGUGUAAAAAACAUGAGAAGGGACCCCAAGUUCUUUGGCAACAUCAAUAAAGGCAGUGCAAAACAUAUCAACAACAACACUAGCAAUUGGUGCAGGGUUGUGGGUCAUGACUAGGUUAACAAUAGUAUCUUUUACAAGGGUUUUGUGAUCAUUGAUGUAAGAAGUAUAAGCACUUGCAGGGCCUACAGCUAAAGCUUCUGGAGGAGGUGCAGGUAUGGUCUCAGGAAUUUCAAUGAACCUGAUUUCUGUAUGAAUUGAAGCAAGCGAUUCGGUGUUCUUGCUUAUGCCACCGUCAAAUGGAUUGUGGAUGGCAAGCAUGGUUAUCAAGAAACUGUCGUUUCUCUCAAGAACCAUCUUUGCUAACUGAACAGCUGGUACAAGGUGGCCAAAUCCAGGUGCAGGGACAAAGACUAGCUGUGUUUUCUUCAUUUUGGAGGUAUUGAAAUUUGAAUGUUCAACACUGUGAUCCUUGUUUGCCUUAUAAUGGGCUCAAGGUCAAUGCCACAAUGCCAGCUGUUAUGAUUUUGUUUUUCUAAAUUAAUCAUCAAAUGGGAUAUGACAAUUAUUACAAAGAUUGAUUUCAUAGAAAAAUUUUCUUGUAAUAUUUUUAAACAAUUCAAAUUAAAUAAAAAAAUAUAUAAAUAUAAAAGAAAAGAAAGCUAGGUUUCAUUAAUCAUUUUAAAUUAUAUGAAAUAUUGAUAAUACAACUAAUCAAACAUAAACUAACAAUCAUUUAAACAAAAUUUAAGAAUUGAUGGUAGAAUAUCAUAAAGUAAUUUUUAUAAAUUUUACCAAGUAAUUCUACCAUCAAUUCCUAAAACCUAACAAUCAUUUAAACAAAAUUUAAGAAUUGAUGGUAGAAUUGCAUAAAUUAAUUAUAAAAAUAUAAAAAUUAAUUUUUAUAAAUUUUACCAAUAAUUCUAUCAUCAAUUCCUAAAACCUAACAAAAUUUAAGAAUUGAUGAUAGAAUUACUUGGUAAAAAUUUAUGAAAAUAAGCAAACUUUCGUAAUAAUCAUAUAUACUCAUCCUUCUUAUUAAAUGACAUUUAAAUGUCUAAAGUAAAGACAAAACAAAAUUCAGGGUUCUUCUACAAUGAAGGUUAGUAUAUGAAAUGAGAGGGUUAGGUUGGGACAAAGAGAAGAGGGUUAGAUGGAAAGGUUAGGUAGGGAGAUAAGAUGGUUUGAUUGGGACAAGGAGAAGAAGGUUUGGUUAGGCCAUCACCAACUCAUCUCUGUUCAUAUUUUCAUCUCGGUCGUAGCAACACUGUGCUGAAACUAUCUUGUGAAUUUGUUGUCUUUGAACGUCAUUCAAUGCACAAAAGCUCCAAAAUCUACCAUCAAGACAAGUCAUUAACAACGCCAAAAUUAGUGUCUACACAAAUUUGGUCUCCCACACACACAGGCUAUAUAUAAAAACUAGAUUGGUGUUCCGUAAUACGUAGCGGAUAAUCUUAUUUUUUUAUAGCAUAAAAGAUACUAAGAUGAUAUAUGUAUUUUUCUUAAAAAAAUUAAUAUUCAGGUCAUUAACUUAAAUAACUUUAAUAAACUCGGUUAAUUUAAUAAUAUGAUUAGAAAAUAAAAUUAUCGUUUUCGUAGUUUUUAUAUCUAACAGACAAUCAUCCUUUUUGCUUACAAAAUAACAGGCUUAGCUUUAUAUUUAUAGAGAAUCCUAAAAAUCCUAUAAAUGACAAAAUAUAUAUUUUCUCCUUAAAUAAUAUCUAUAUAUUAUUUAAGGAUAAUUUUAUAAAUUUAAUCAAUCAAGUCCUUACUUGAUUUUUUUAAUUCUAAAAAUAUAAUCCUUAUAUUCAUUAUAUUCUAGUUCUUAAUUUCUAAAAUAUAGUUUAAUCAAGUCAUACUUAAUUAAAUAUCCUAGUUUAAUUUAUAAUUAAUCAUUCUUAAUGUGUGUGACUUAUUAAUUAGGUUCAUAAUAUGUUGGCCCAAAUAUAAAUUAUGAUUCUAAUUAAAUAGAAUUAAAUAAUUUAAUUUAUUAUUAAUUUAACAAUUGAUUAAUUUAUAUUUAAAGAUCAGAUGCAUUGUCUAGUAACGUGUCAUGAUCCCCCUAAAUAUUAGAAAAGUAAUUAGUGGUUUGACUUAACCUUUCAGUGCCCUUUUUUCCAGUGUAAUUAAUAUCCUUUCAUCAAUAAUAUUUCGAUUUAACAUUAAAACAUGAAGUAUGUCUGUCAUGUUAAAUCAUGUUUAUUUUUUACAUAAUAGUCAUUGAUCGUUUAAAUAAGAUUUGAAACUCUUUUCAAAUCUCAUUUCACCUUGGCUAAUGAUUUCUCAGUCAAUACUAUUUGAGAAUAGAUGAAAUAUUUUCUCUAAUUUACCAAGGGUAAUGAAUUCACUUUUGAUCACUCAAGUACCUUUAUAUAAUUCAUAUUAUACUCAAUAUCUUCCCUUUCGUUACCUCGAUUAAGAUAAGAUGUAACAAGAUUAAAGUAUAACAUUCUCUAUAUAAAAUGAUUUAAUGAUCUUAAGUCUAAGGAUCACUUACACAACCGUCACGUGAGCCUUUUUAUAGACAUAUGUAAUCUCUCCAUAUGAAAUUCGCAUGCAGAUCAGUUAAGUAUACAUAUCUUAUGACAAGCACCUACAUAUUACUAGGUAUCCCUUAUACCUUAACUUAUGAAAACAGUUGUUUCCUUUCAUGAAAAAAAGAACAUAAUAUGUAUCAAUCUUUACGACUCUAAUGAAUAUCCAGUAUUUAAGAAAGCAUCAACCCAUAUUAUUUUAAAAACAAUGUUUAGAUGCAAUAGAAAUCUCAUAAUUUCAACAACUUUAUAAUUUUAUUUGCAAAGUAUUUAUAUCUAAUGAACUUUAUCUUUACUCUCGAUUUAUUAAUAUGAUAUUAUAUAGAUAUUUAAAAUAAAUUAUUUUUUUAUUAAUAAUAAAUAAGUAUUUACAUGAAUAUAAUAAUAUCACGUGUAACCAACUAAUUGAUUACAAGAUAUAUUAAACUAACACAAUGAUACAUGAACUAUUAUGUGUUUGGAUUAUAAUUUUUUUAUCAAUCACUUAUUACUAAAAUACUAAAACUUGACUGUUGAAUCAAUUUAAAAAACAACUAAAAUAAUUAUCUUAACCUUGUAAAUUAUAUUGUUAAUAUGAAAAACUAUAUUACAACUUAAAACAAAAUAAAAAAAGUAGAGUUUUAGUUUUUCUAUUUGAAAAUUUCAAAUCUUAAAACAUUGGUGAUGAACGAAUUCACGAUUGAUGGUGGCUUUUUUGAAACGUAACAGAAAGAUUUCUAAUUCAAAUACUACCGCAGGUGACAAUUAAACCAUAAUAGUUCAGGGAUAUUUAUACCUUAUAGCCUGAAUUAAAGGUAUAUAUAUCUAACCAUCUAGGUAGUGACCUAGUUAUAAGAGCUUGGAAUCAAGAGGUUUGCUCCCUCUGUGGUCUCAAGUUCGAGCCCUGUGGUUGCUCAUAUGAUAGCUACUGGAGGCUUACAUGGUCGUUAACUUCAGGGCCCGUGGGAUUAGUCGAGGUACGCGCAAGCUAGCCGGAUACCCUCGUUAAACUAUAUAUAUAUAUAUAUAUAUAUAUAUAUAUAUAAAAAGGUAUAUAUACCUUCUUUCAAAUAUAAGAAAAUCAAGGUGUCAUCUUCCAGAGAUCAUGUAGUCCAGCAAACGGGGAAGCCGUAGCAUGGAAUGGAGUGACCAGUGAUCGAGAUUGCGAGAAAUACCCUCGGAAGGGAAGGCACUGAAUUCAUGGAAGCCACCAGCUAGCAAGGGAAAAGACUAGCCAAGUUUUUGUCACGACGGAGACAGGAAAGAUGCCCACUUGAUUUGAUCGAUAGCCACUUCCGGCCUAAAGGUAUCGAGACUUGAGCCCCUAGUUUUUGACCUCUCUUCUGAUUUCUUUCACUCUUUUUCGUCAAUAAAGAUAAAUAUAUCAUUCCUUUUUUGGGUUGAAUAUAAUUUUUAAUUUAGUUUAUAUAUAAUUUUUUUAUAUUUAGAUUAAAAAUACAAUUUUAGAAUAAAGUGAUUAAUUAAACUAGCUUUUUCCUCUCUUGUAUUUAUAUUUCUCUUUGUUGUUUAAUUUAGAUUAUUUAACAAAUGUUACAUAAAAGUUUUUCUAUGAAAUCAAUCUAAUAGUUGUCAUAUCCAAUUUGAUGAUCAAUUUAGGAGAAAAAAAACCAUAACAGCUGGCAUUGUGGCAUUGACCUUGAGCCAUUAUAAGGCAAACAAGGAUCACCAUAUUGAACAUUCAAAACCUCCAAAAUGAAGAAAACACAGCUAGUCUUUGUCCCUGCACUUGGAUUUGGCCACCUUGUAUCAGCUGUUCAGUUAGCAAAGAUGGUUCUUGAGAGAAAUGACAGUUUCUUGAUAACCAUGCUUGCCAUCCACAAUCCAUUUUCCGGUAGCAUAAGCAAGAACACCAAAUCGCUUGCUUCAAUUCAUACAGAAAUCAGGUUCGUCGAAAUUCCUGAUACCAUACCUGCACCUCCUCCAGAAGCUUUAGCUGUAGGCCCUGCAAGUGCUUAUACUUCUUACAUCAAUGAUCACAAAACCCUUGUAAAAGAUACUAUUGUUAACCUAGUCAUGGCCCAAAACCCUGCACCAAUUGCUAGUGUUGUUGUUGAUAUGUUUUGCACUGCCUUUAUUGAUGUUGCCAAAGAACUUGGGGUCCCUUCUCAUGUUUUUUACACUUCUGAUGCUGCCUUUCUUGCCACGAUGCUUUACCUUUCAGAUAGAGAAGACAAGGGUGAGCCUAAGUUUAGCCCUACUGACCCUGACUACAUCAUCCCCUGUUAUUCAAAUCCCGUGCCUUACCGUGUUAUGCCGUUAUUGCACACCGAUGUGGAUUAUGAGGCUUUUGCAAACCAUGGAAGAAAGUUUAAGGACUCAAACGGUAUCAUUGUUAAUACAUUUUCAGAAGCUGAGUCUCAUGCAGUUAGUGCUCUUUUGGCUAGAGAUGAUAUACCACCUAUUUUCAAUGUUGGGCCAUUGAUUGAUCACAAGGGAAAGAGUCUGUCAGGAUCCGAUGCCGUCAAGCGUGACGAGAUCUUGAAAUGGCUUGAUGAUCAACCUGAAAAAUCAGUGGUGUUCUUGUGCUUCGGGAGUGGAGGAGGCUUUGAUGAAGCUCAGUUGAAAGAAAUUGCAAUCGGGCUCGAGAGGAGUGGACAUAGGUUCUUAUGGUCCGUUCGGUUGAAACCCUCCAAGGGGAAGCUGCAAGCUAGUUUUUUUGACAACUAUGGAGAGAUCUUGCCACAGGGAUUCUUGGAAAGAACUAAAAAUAUUGGGAUGCUAUGUGGAUGGGCACCACAAGUAGAAAUCUUGGCACAUAAAGCAGUAGGCGCUUUCGUAUCACACUGUGGAUGGAACUCAACUUUGGAGGCCUUGUGGUAUGCUGUGCCUAUUAUAACUUGGCCAUUAUAUGGUGAGCAACACAUGAAUGCAUUUCAGUUGGUGAAAGACUUGGGAUUAGCAGUGGAAUUGACGUUGGAUUUUAGGAGAGAUUGUCCUACAGAUUUUGUGAAGGCGGAGGUGAUAACAAAAGCUGUGAAAACCAUGAUGGAACAAGGUGGUGAACUUAGGAACAAGGCCAAAGAAACCAGUGAAAUGGCGAAGAAAGCUGUGAUGGAGGGUGGAUCUUCGUAUGUUGCUUUUGGAAACUUGAUUGAUCAAUGGUUAGGAUGCAAACCUUGAAGAGCUCAAGCCUUAUCUACCAUGUUGAUUCCAUCAAUGAUCAUCAAUUCCUACUGUGGCUUAAUUCCAUUCCUCAAAUUAAAUUAAGUUAUAGUCUUUAUCAUAUAUAUAGUUUGUUUGAUUUGGUCAUGUUGUAGUGAUGUAUUUCCCAUCCAACAUUAGUUCUGAUGAACUUAGUUAAAGUUUUUUUUUUUUUUUUGUUGAAAACUUGGUUAAAGUUGAGGCCUUAUGGAAUGACCGUACCUUUUUCUUUUCUUUUCUUUUAUAUAUAUAUAUAUAUCCUUGGAAGCAUGAAAGAAAACUUUUAAAUUUACCCGUUUGGGAUUGCCAUCUAAAUAAAGAUUAGUCAAAAUUAUUAUUUUUUUUAAUUAUUUUGAUGAGUUAAUAUUAAAAAUAAAAUAAAAAUAUAUAUAUUAUUCUAAUAAAGAUUAGUCAAAUAAAAAAUAGUUCUUGAUGGACAAUUAAAAAUUGCUGGAACAAAUCAAGGGACCCAACACUAGCAUUAAAAUCUAUCACACCAACUAAUGCCAACUUGCUUAAAUGUGUAGUGACGUGCAAAUUAGAAAUAGUUCUGAUUGAUGGUUUGAUUCAAUUCAUCCCUAGCUUUUUUUAAAAUAAAAAAACUUAAACUUCGUUGUUUUGGUAAAAAUAUAAUUGGUUUUUUCACUAACUUGACCAAGCAAAGCUCAGUGGGUUAUUGUGUUGAUUUGAUCACCAAAUUAACCUAUCAAGUCAAACUUUGAAUAAAUAAAUCGUUAAAUUAACCUCUCGGACUGGAUUGUAUCUUAUACCAAUAAACUUCACAUUCACCUUUUCCUACAGCUACAGGUAUUACUAGAAUGAAUAAACCACAGCUGGUGUUAAUUCCUGCUGCAACCUUGUGUCAGCAAUUGAGUUAGCAAACCACAUGCUUUGAUGAGCCUCAAUUGAAAGACAUCAAACGGGCUCAAGCAGAGUGCACACAAGUUCUUAUGAUACAUUCAGAAACCACCAUCCAAGGGUCAGUUCCUGUUUGGAGAUCACGUCAGAAGGAUUCCUCAGAAGGACUAAAAAUGUUAGCGUGAUAUGCGAUUGGACACCGCAAGUGCAGGUCUUGGCAUACAAAGCAAUAGCUACAUUUGUAUCGCAUUGUGGAUGGUACUCAAUCUUGGAAAGCUUAUGGUAUGGUGUGCCUAUUAUAACUUCGGCCAUUGUAUGAUAAGCAAUAAAUUAAUGCAUUUAAAUUGGUCAAGUUUUUGGGAUUAGCUAUUGAGUUGAGUUGAAAAUGGAUUAUAAAUUGGGUGAUGGUGUUAUAAAAUUCACAGUCAUUAGAAAUAUGGUUUUUAGCAAUUGAAUUAUAAGUUAAUUACAAAUUCUAGCAAGAUAAUUUAUUAUCUAUGGUUUAUCAAACUUGCUUGCAAAGCAGUUGAGAUUUAGGGAACUAAAAAUGAUAAAGUAAGUAAUCUUUAAAUAAAUGAUCAUCAUAGAUGAGUGAAAGAGCAUUUAUUUUUAAAAACAAUAGUGUUUAUUUUUAGUUUUGAUGUAAUGAAUGCUUUGAAAUUAAGAAAAUAUUUUUGUAGAGAAUAAAGACUAGAACUUUGUACCUGAAUGAUUCAUAAGGCAUUUAUAAAUCUCGAACCUUGUCAUUUUUACUAGAGUAUAGCGACUAGAGAGUAAUUUUCUCCUAACAAUAUUAAUAGGGGAUAAAUAACAUUUACACACAUUAAUAAAUGAUAAAAUAUCCCUUAGCCAAUAUUAAUGGUGAAGGAAAUAUGGUAGACCCUUAGAAGACUUUUAUACAUCUAGAGAUGUAGAUAGAUGAAUAUCAUUGACAUUAAUAUUUUAUGUUAAAAAUCAUAAGAAUAAAUAAACAAUUAAAGUCUUAUGGCCCAACAUAGGACCUAUAAUGAUCGCCAGACUCAUAUUUACUUAAGCUCUCCACGUAGCUAAGUCCACUGGCAUUGGGCCUGACAACUUGCCAGAUCCAUGUCCGUUUGGGCUUAACGCGUAACUGAACUCAAUGUAUUGAAUCUGACAGCUUGUCAGACUCAUGUUUGCUUGGACUUAAUAUAUAGCUGAAUCUAAGGAUAUUAAGUCUGGUAGCUCGCCAGACUUAUAUCUCUUUGGGCUCAGCACGUAGCCUAACCCAAGGAUAUUGAGUCUAACAUCUCGUCAGAUCCGUGUCUAUUUAGGCUAAUCGCUUAACUGAACUCAAUAAUAUUAGAUCUGGUGGCUUGCUAGACUCAUGCACAUUGAAACUCUACUCUUAACUACAUCGAAAGGCAUUGGGUCUAGAACAGAGAUGUUAUUUUAACCCGGUAUUCUGUCAAGUUUAAAGAUAUUGGGUAUAAAUAUAAGCCCCGCCUAUUUAUUAUUGAAUUAUCACCCUAUCUUCGGACCUUUAAAAAAAGAUUUCGACUUCAAAUUACUUUUUUAAAAUAUGAUUUGGGAUAAAGUAACCUUAUGAAGGAAAAUGAGGUAGGAAGCAGUGAAAUGCUUGAUAGAAAACGCUAGUGAAGUGAAAAACAAGGUUAGAGAAGUGAGUAAAAAGGCUAGGCAAUCUCUGUUAGAGGGUGGAUCUUCACAUACUGCUUUUGGAUACCUGAUUAGUCGAUGGCUAGUAAACAAGGUUUGAAGAAGUGACUCUCGACAUACGUAAAACGCGUGGGUUUUUUUUUAUUGUAAAGACAGGUAUUGUUUACACCCAUAUAAAUUAUUAUGGAUGGCACCUGUGCAUUUUUACAAAUUCAUUUUAGUCCUUUAAUUUUGUUUUUCAAUGAUUUAAUCCUAAUUAAAGAUCAAUUGACUAUAAUUUCUUAGGAAAAUAUGGGGUUGAAAGAAGUUCUUCGUUUUUCUAAAUCCUUUUUACUUGAGAGUCUUUCCUUUAUUUUUCUAUUUAAAGAUUUAUAUUCUCACAAUUUGUUCAUUUAGGUACUUUGUUUAAUGGAUUUGUUAAAACAAUUUAAACUGUAUUUGUUUGCACAAUAGCUUAAUACUCAGGGUAUUAUUCAUCAACUUUAAUAUAUCUUUUUUUUCACUCAUUUAGUCCAACAACAUUUAUCACCCUCGUUUAAUUCUUACUUUUUCAAUUUCUAUAAACACAAUAAAAACUAUUGUCUUUAGGAUUGCAAGACAUGCACGCUUCAAAGUUUUAAAAGUUCUUUUUUUAAUCUAAAACAUUUUGUUAAUAACAAUGAGAAAUAGUGCUAAUAAUUUAAUUUGCUAAUCUGAAAUGUACUCCAUUAAAUUUAAUUUAUUUGACGAGUGGUACCAGUUGAAAUUAAGAUCAAACAAGGUUUGAUUUAAAAGAAUAAAAAAUAAUAUUAUUUUAACUUCUUAAUUGUUUUUAAAUAAUAUUAUUUUGAAUUAAUUUGUCUAAAUCAUUACUGAAAUCUAAAAAAAAUUAAUUAUGAGUAGAUUUGGCCGAGUUUUUAACAAUGAGCAGGAGUUGAUGAAUAAUUUAUACAAUAGUAAAUUGAUGUUUUUUAAAGGUAAUUCUAACAUAAUUUGAUUAAUCAAAUUCUAAGAUUAAAGGAGGUCAAACAUGAGAGAGAGAGAGAGAGAGAGAGAGAAAUCUUGAAAAAGAAUUAAAUCAUAAUUUAUUAUUUUUUUAGCAGAAUAAACGCAUAAAUAAAAGUUCUAACAAAUCUUUUGCCUUUACGAGAAGAUUGAUAUGGUAAGUGAGGCAACCACUACCAAGUUGUCGUUUUAUAUUUGAUGGGUAAUAACCCGGCUAAACGACACCUCUUGGGUUGUUGGCCUGGGUUUUGGUAAGGGCUAGAUUCUCUUGCUCUUUUUUUUUUUUUUUUUCUUUUUAGUUCUUUUUUUUAUCUCGAAGCAUGAAACAAUAAAAAAAUAAUUUAGUUCAUAAAAUAUUUUAAAUUUUAUUCUCUCGUAUUUAAGAAGUAUUAUGUUGUGGCUUGCUAGGCAGACUCAUCGUGCAACCAAAUUAAUCAAACCCAAAAAAAAAGAGAUUUCGAUCAUCAUCUCUCUCUGUUUUUUUUUUAAGGAAAUAUAUUGAUUCUCCCUCUAAUCAAUGCGAAAAAAAACAUGAAGUGGGGACAACACCUUUUAGCUUCUCCCUGGUUAAAUAUCAAUUACUGUUGCAUUUUCAAAAAACAAUUAUUAUAUGUAUAGUCCUUACCAUAAUUAUUGUAAAAUAAAUUAAUAAAAAAAUCUCUCAGGGACCCUAUUUUUUCCUCACCUAAUCGUCAACGCAUGGCAGCACUCAGUUGUUGAAGAUUCCACUAUAUUUAUUCUCAACCAAUUUUCAGAGUAAAAGAGCAUUGAAUUCCGACUAUAUAUAGUGCCCCAUAACCCAGUCCCAUAUUAUUUAUCCAAAAAAAAGAAAUCACACAGAAGCCAAAAACCUUCCAUAUCCGCCAAAAAUGGCACCCGCUCAAACCACCACACCCAAGAAUGCACUGGUCUUCGUCCCAGCACCAGGAAUUGGUCAUCUUGUAUCAGUCAUGGAGUUUGCAAAACGUUUGCUUGAAAGAGAUGACAGUUUCUCCAUCACAAUGCUUCUUAUGUCCCCACCAUUUGCACAUGAUGUUACAACCUAUGUUGAGAAACUUAAUGCAGCUCACCCAGAAUUUCAAUUUCUUGGUCUGCCUUCUGUAACCCCACCACCCCUAGAAGAUGUUCUUGCUUGUCCUGAACAUUUUGUGUCAGUUUUCAUCGCUGAUCAUAAGAACCAUGUUAAGGAUAUGAUUGUCAACCAUGUUUUGUCCAACAAGUCAGUUAAACUUGCUGGUUUGGUUCUUGAUUUGUUUUGUACUGCCUUUGUUGAUGUUGCCAAAGACCUUGGUGUCCCUUCUUAUAUUUUCUUUGCUUCUGGUGCUGCUUUUCUUGGUUCCAUGCUUUACCUCCCUUAUAGAUUUGACAAGGGAGGAGUCACCUACAAACCAACCGAUCCUGACUCUAUUAUCCCUAGUUACAUCAACCCAGUUCCCUCCAGGGUGUUGCCAAGUUUGUUGUUCCAUGAUGGUGGGUAUUCAACUUUCGUAAGCCAUGCUAGGAAAUUCAAGGAGGCAAAGGGUAUCAUUGUCAAUACAUUUGCAGAGCUAGAAUCCCACGCUGUUAACUAUCUUAAUGGCGAGGCAGGUGUACCCCAUGUUUACACUGUGGGGCCAGUGGUUGAUCACAAGGGCAACAGUCCAGUAGCUGAUGGGAACCAACGUGAAGAGAUCAUGAACUGGCUCGACGCUCAGCCACAGAAAUCAGUGGUGUUUCUGUGCUUUGGAAGUCAAGGGAGCUUCGGUGUGCCUCAAUUGAAAGAGAUUGCACUUGGGCUUGAGCAAAGUGGCCAAAGGUUCUUGUGGUCUAUUAGGAGACCACCUUCUCAAGAAUCUUUGAACCCCGGUGAAGUUAAUGAUUUUAGUGAGCUUUUGCCCGAAGGGUUUCUGGGCAGGACAAAAAAUGUAGGGUUUAUUUGUGGGUGGGCUCCUCAAGUUGAAGUCUUAGCCCAUAAAGCCACAGGUGCGUUUGUGUCGCAUUGUGGAUGGAACUCAAUUUUGGAGAGUACUUGGUAUGGUGUGCCUGUUGUAACAUGGCCCUUGUAUGGUGAGCAACAAAUCAAUGCAUUCCAGUUGGUAAAGGACGCAGGAGUGGCAAUUGAAAUGAAAAUGGAUUACAGGAAGGAUGGCGGUGAGGUUGUGAAGGCAGACCAAGUAGCAAAAGCAGUGAAGGAUGUGAUUGAAGGUGCUAGUGACGUGAAAAGCAAGGUUAAAGCAAUGAGUGAAACUGGCAGGAAAGCACUGUUGGAGGGUGGAUCUUCAUAUGUGGCAUUUGAAACCUUGGUUGGUGUUUUGUCAGGAAACAAGGCUUGAAGAACUUGCACGCCAUGUUAAAAUCUGAGGUUGAUUCUGCACUUACGUACGUAUGUUACCUCUUGUCUUGGUUCUUUUGGGUGAUGAUGCUAGUGCUAUGCGUCAACCCUAUUAGAUUUGGUUUUGGUCAAUCUUCCUUUUUUUUUCUCUUUCUUUUUUGUCUAGGAUGAGUUCAUGGUUGGUCCCAAAUGCCUCCCCUCUUGUACUCUCAAUAGUCUACAAUAAAAUUAUCUCUUAAUUUAUCAAGAAAGGGAGCUGUCCAUGAUUUGAACGAAUUAAUUUCAGGUUUUACAACUACGACAAAAGACAACGACUAAAUUUAGACCGAGAGCUGAUGUCUUCCACUAAAAAAUAAAGAUAGAUGAACCACUCGAGCAAGCUGUGGUUCCAAAGUAAAAUCAUAUCAUGUGGAAUACAAACGUGUUUCCUUUGAUGGGUCGACUAUUUAUGAGGGCACUCAAUUAAUAAAGACAAACCAAUCUAUAAAUACAUGCAUGUAUUUUAUUUUUUAUUUUUUAUUAUUAUUAAUAUGGGUGUUCGAGCUAACUUGUAUGCAACUUGACUAAUUCUACAAAUUCUAAAAUUAAUAAUCAUAUAAAUUUUUAGUGAUACGAGAUUACUGAAACUUAUAAUUAUUGAAUUUUUUUUCCUUGUGAAAUAGAAACUUUUACAUUUUCCUCCUUUCCCACAAUGACUUUGUGACAACAGCCUGAUAAUUUCCUUAAUCAUGAAUCAACACAAACAAAACUGGCCGACCUUUUCUUAUGUUUUAUGUUUUUUUUUUUCCAAAAGAAAUUCCCACGAAGUAAUUCUUCAUAGGGUGCCUAUAAGAAAAUCUUAAUCAUGCUAUUUCCUCUUUUAAUAGACAAUUAUUGAUUUUUUUAAAAAAAUGUUCUUAUUGUAAUGGUUAAUUUAGAAUAUUCUUAGCCUUAUUUUUGCACACCAAAAAUUUAUUAUUCAUGAGAAACUACCUCCGUUUUAUAUUAUAAUCUAAAAUGUUUUACUUCUCCCGAUGAAAAAAAAAUUGAGUUAUGUUAGUGAAAGAUCUAAUAUUAACUGUUGAAAGCGUAGUUAUAAAAUGCAAAACAUCUGACGGAUGGAACUGGAACCGUAUCGGUUUGUGUUAAAUAAAAAAUAGGUUAAGGUAUAUUUUGAUCUGGCCUAGACUUAUAAAAAACCUCGCAACCCAUUAUGUUAACUUUUUUUUAAAAAAAAAAAAUUUAUUAAAAUAAUUUUUUUUAUUUUUUUUUAAUUAAUUCAUGUCGACUCUCUCGAUCCACCGUAACCUAUGUCCUGUCUGGGUGUUGGCCCCAAGUUAACUGUGGUCAGAAGUUUUAUUAGAACAAAACUAGAGUGGUGCCUAUUUUAUGCUGUGGGUCCGCACAAUUUUUACAAUAAAAUAUUUAGUUAUUGCAAGUAUGUUUAAAAAAUAAAUCUAAUAACUCAUCUUAUAGUUCUGUCGAACUAAAUAAACUGGUUUUAUUUGAAUUACAUAAGUAAAAAAAGAUAAUAAUAUCAAACCAGGAUAUAUGUAUAUUACGACAACAUGGGGAAAAAACUUUAUCCCAGAGGAAAAAAAUCCAAAACAAAAAAUAACAAUUAAAAAAAUUAAAAUUAAAAUUGAAAGAAAAAAUAAAUUAAAGCGCAAUAAUAAAUUUUCAAUUCAAAGUUAAAUCGGAAAGAAUAAAAACAUUAAAAAAUUAAAAGAAUAAGGAUCAAAAUGAAAAAAAAAACAAUACACUACCACCGUGUAAAUAAAUUUUUUUUAAAACAGCCAUCAACAAUAAAUAAAAAUGUAAUCUGAAAAAUUAAGAAACAAAUGUAGAUCAAAAUAUUUAAUAUCACAACACGAGUCAUUUACCAAGUUGUGUUUAAUGAAUUUGUUUAUUAAAAUCAAUUUGUAAUAUAAAUUGACAUACAUAUAAAAUUUAUUGAAUAAAAUAAAAAAUUACUAUGCAAGACUACUCAUAUUAAAAAUAUUAUAAAAAUAAAUAAAUGUGUUUUUAUUUUUAAAAAUAAAUUAAAUAUAUAUAUUAAAAAAAUAAAAUGAGGCAUAACCGGGGCUGGUAAGCUAAACCUAGUGCCUUGACUCAUCAAAAAAGGGCCUACACAUACAUGCUUUAAUUGUUUUUUAAGUUAAUGAGGCGAACAACAAUUCAAUCAUUCCAAUUCUUUGAAAAAAAAAAUAGACGACACUCCGUUUGGAAAACUCAUAUUGUGGCUACAAGAUUCUAGUUUUUUUCACUUGAAAGAUCUAUUUUGAUUCAAAAUAUUUAGAAAAAUACCCUGUAAAUCUUGUUAAAUUAAUUCAUGGCCGCCAAAAACACAUAAAAAAAAAGUCUCAAAACCCAAAUUAAUCUGAAAUAAAAAAAUUUCUCAAAAUCAAAUUUAUUUUUAAGUGUUUUUAAAGUAAAAAAAACAUCUAAUUUGAAGUUAUCUUAUCAAAUAGAAUUUUUUAAUACAAAAUCGAUCAUUUGGUAGCCAAAGUUGUCAUUUACAGCAACAACCUAGAAAAGGAUUCACGAUUGGGCCUAAACAGCCCAUUACCACUGGCUCAAUUCAGUUUGUAUGUCAGCUAUGAAUUUUACAGUGGCAGUGAUCAAUAUGGUAUCAGUGUCAUCAUAUAAAAAACAAUUAUGGCGAAAAAAAUUUAAAAGAACCAAAUUAAAAAUUCUAAAAAAAAAUCAAUAAAACGAAAUACCUCUUUUAAUUUUUAUUGUAAUAAUAAUUCUUAAUUAAUUCUGAAAUAGGUUAUUGUCAGUGUCCAAUUAUAACCGUUAAUAAAUUAGAUAGGAAAGAGUAUAAAAAUACUAAAAAAAAAUUAAAAAUAAAAAGGAAAAUAAAUUUUAGUAUCAAAAUUAAUUUUUAAAAAAAAUUAAAAAAACUAAUUAUAUAAUAGUUAAAACAGAUAAUGAACUUAUUAAACAAAUCUCUAAAUUGUGCCACCUAUGUUUUGUAUAUAUAUUUUAGUUUUUUUAUCUUUCAACUCAAUUUUCUCUCUAAAAAAAUAAUUAAAUACUAAUUUAGGUUUAAAAAAACUUAACUAUAAAAUAAAAAAAAGUUCAGAGAACUAAAUUGAAGAUUCUAAAAAAAAAAUCACUAAACACCUCUUCUAGUUUUUACUGGAAUAAUAAUACUUAAUUAACUAAUAAUUCUUAAUUAAUUUAUCUUUCAACUCAAUUCUCUCUCUAACAAAAAUAAUUGGAUACUAAUUUAGGUUUAAAAAAACUUAAUUAUAAAAUGAAAAAAAAGUUCAAAGAACCAAAUUGAAGAUUCUAGAAAAAAAAAUCACAGUGAAACGAAAUACCUCUCCUAGUUUCUACUGGAAUAGUAAUUCUUAAUUAAUUAUGAAAAAGACUAUUGUCGGUGCACAAUCAUGGCCAUUAAUGACUUAGAUAGGAGAGAGUAUAAAAAUGCUAAUUUGUGAUCUUUGUCGCACAUAGACAAUCUCCACUCUGCACAUGAAUCGUCGUGUCCGUCUCUUCUUUUCACCUUAAAAGACUCCUCUCCUUUUUGCCUUUUCAAAACUGAGUGGAGCGCCGCAUCUGGCAUCCAGCAGUUGGUUUUCAAGAGAAGAAACCGAGAAGAAAACAGUGUGCCUCCCAAAAACUAGUGGAAACCACUAUAUUCUUUCUUCCAAGAGUCGCCUUUUUCAUGUAAAUGUAAACGCUUCCCUGUAGACAAACGUGGAUCAACCGUUUUACACCCUUAUGCCUUCCACGUUUUCUGUACUCAGUUAGAUAUUUAUUCAUCUAAAGGGUCGGUUCAAAAAGGUUUGGCCUCUCCUUCUCUCCUGGCCUCUCCUUCUCUUCUUGUACAUAGCACAAGAGAGCAAAAAUCAAAGGGAAGGGAAGAAACAAAGAAAUGGAAGAUGGGGAGAUGUACAACAUGAUGAAGGUAUGGCUCUCAAUCUUUGCAUCUCUAACUUACUGCUAUAUCAUGGGAAAGAUGAUCCCAAGAGGUUUUACAAGACUUCUCUGUGUGCUACCAAUUGUUUGUCUAUUUCUUGUUCUUCCUCUAGAACUCACCUCUAUUCAUUUUGGAGGCAUGACAGCUUUCUUCGUUGCUUGGCUUGCGAAUUUCAAGCUCUUGCUUUUUGCGUUUGGCAAAGGCCCUUUGUGUUUAGACCCAAAAAUCUCUUUUGGUCGUUUUGUUUCUGUUGCUUGUUUUCCCAUCAAAAUCCUACAAAUCCCACCUCAAAAACCGAAUCUAAAUGGCCAUAGCCAUGAAAACCAAGCUCAAAAAUCACUUCUAAAUGGCCAAGAUAGGCAAAAAUUAAUCUCUAGAAAGGGCCCUCAUAAAUCAUUCCUAAAUUAUGCAACCAAAGGUCUUCUUUUGGCAAUGUUGGUGGCUACAUAUGACUAUAGUGAUUAUAUCCAUCCAAAAAUCAUGUGGCUCUUGUAUUGUCUCCACAUAUAUUUUUUUCUUGAAACAUUCCUAGCCAUGUUGGCAUCGGUGGUUCGAACCCUUUCAGGGCUUGAGCUAGAGCCACAAUUCAAUGACCCUUAUCUCUCGACUUCACUUCAAGACUUUUGGGGGAGAAGAUGGAACCUCAUGGUAACAAGCAUCCUACGCCCGAUUGCGUACGAUCCCAUCCUCUACACGUGUAAGAACUUCAUUGGUCGCAGGUGGGCCCAGGGCAUAGCAAUUUUGGGUACCUUUCUAGUGUCUGCGCUCAUGCAUGAGCUCAUUUUCUACUACCUAGGACGCGGGAAGCCCACGUGGGAGAUCACUUGGUUCUUUUUGCUACAUGGAGUGUGUUUACCGGUCGAGAUUGUUUUGAAAAGGGCUGUUAACGGCAGGUGGCAGUUUCCCAGGCCGAUGCAAACUAUAUUGACCAUUGGAUUUGUGAUAGCUACCGGCUUUUGGCUGUUUUUUCCACCAUUUCUUGCGUGUAAAGCAGGUGUCAGGGCAAUUGAGGAGUACGCGGCUGUACGCGAGUAUUUGAAGGAAGCUGGUCAUGCAUAUUUUCCUUGGAUUUUUCAACAAAUCUAACGGCUUGUAAAUAUCCAAGAUUUGAGCAGCUUAUUUUGAUUGAAUGAACGGUUCGGAUUUGAUGCAAAUCUAAGAAAUUACAAAUAUAAGCAUGGUGGUUGUAGUUAUGAUUUAUGUACUCACUUGAUUAUUUUCCGGUAGUGUCGGGCAGGUCAAUUUUUCAAACAUAAAAUAAAAAAGAUCUAAACAGAUAUUUAGACGAAGAAAAUUUCAAUGAAUAAUUUAAUUAACCUGUAACACGGGAUAACUUCAAAAAAAAAAAAAAAAUAGGAAGCUUAAGUCACAAUAAAAUUAAUUUUAAAAGAUAAAAUUUUAAAAAAAAGAAAUUUAGAAGAAAAAAAAACUCUACUCAAAUUGGGUUUACUUUAUUAAUUAGAAUGAGAAAAUAAUUUUUUUAAAAAAAUUGAUAUAGAAAAAAAUCAAAAUUAAAUAAAUAAAAAAAUAUUGAUAAAAAAAUUGAGUUGCCCUAGAACCUCCAACCCCGAAUAACAUUAUAAAAAUGAAAAGCAAAAAUGAAAAGCAUAAAAAAUAAGAAAUUUUAAGAAUUAUUAAAAGAUAAAAUUAAAAAAAUAAUAAAUUCAAAGUAACUCGAGUUAACUUAACUAACCAGUGAUCUGGAAUAACAACUUAGAAAAAAAAAAAACUUAAAACCCAACAGUUUAAUAUCAAAAGAUAAAAUUAAAAAAAGUUUUAAAAAUAACUAAAAUCAAAUCAGGCUAAUUUUUAAAAUCAGUAAUUCUAGUUAUAAGACUGAGAUGACCCUGUAAAAAGAAAUUAAAUAUUAAAUAAAAUUCUUAAUCAUAAAAAAAAAUAUAUAAUUAAAAAAUAAAAUAAAUGGAAAGACAACUCUGAUUUUUUAUUAACUUGGCGUGAAUUUCAAGGAGAAUUGAGAGAAAAUAAAGGGAGGAGAAAAAACUCAACCAGCACCGAUUUAUCGUGAUUUGAAGUUUGAACAACAUGCGCCACCCCAGCAGCUUCGCCUUCACUUGAUAUUUUAGACGACACGACAAUUGAGAAAUUCUGGUUGAUGUACAAUGCCUGGAAUGGCAGGGGUGACAUAUACUCGCUGACGCAUGCACUUUUUUUAUUUAUUUAUUUAUGAAAAUAGUAAUUUUUUCCUAAUCCAAAUAGAGCAUAACAAUAAAAAAAGAUUUAUUAAAAAAAUACUAAAAUAUCUCUCUUAGCCUUUCAUUUUUGUAUUUACUUUUAAGGAUAUUUAUGUAGUUUAAUUAUAUAAAAAAAUAUAAACUACUAAAUUAUUUCCAAUCAAUUUGAAAAUGACUUUUGAACUCCCGAAAAAAUAUCAUUUUACCUUCGGUAGUAAGGCAAAAACUUUGUGCAGAGAAUAGCAAAGUAAUAAUUACAUCGUGUACGUCCACAAUAAAUUUCCUUAUAAAACACUGAUCUUUUUAGAGUUUUUUAUAAUUUGAGCAAAUAGGGACCGCAUCUUUAAAAAGAUAACAGGAUAGAAUUAUAUAAAAAAAAAAAAGCAGAGGGUGAAUUCGUGAAAAAAAUUAUAUGAUAUAUUAUUAGGUAAUAAAAAUUCAUGAAAAAAGCAUAGGGUGAAUCACAUACUUUAUGAUCAAGUCUAUUCUAAUUCUAUAGUAUAAAAAUUUGAUAACUAUUUAAUAGGUGGUCUAGUAAUAAAAAUUUGAUACUAAGAAGUUUGUUCCUCUUGUAGUCUGAGUUUCGAACCCUGUAGUUCCUAAUAUGAUGACUACUAGAGGCUUACAUGGUCGUUAACUUCAGGGGCUGUGAGAUUAGUCAAGGUGCGUGUAAGCUGACCCGAACACUCACGUUAAUAAAAAAAAUUAAUCUAAUAAAUUAGUUUUAUCAAAAAAUUUCUUGAUAUUUAUUCAUCAUCAUCAUCAUCAUCGAGUAUUGUUAUCGAUAACAUUUGUCAUGGUAAAUAAUAUACUUCUACUUGACUAAUUAAGAAAAAACUAAAACUGAUCAGUGUUUCACUGUGCAAGUCCACAGUGAAAUGCUGAGCAGUCCUUCUUUUUUUUCGUUUUUUUUUUAUUAUUUUUUCCCAUUUUUUUUUGUCUUCUUCUUUUUCUUCUUUUUUUGUUUUUUUUUGUUUUUAUUUUUUUUCCAUUUUUUUUUUAUUUUUGGUUUUCUAUUGUCUUUAUGGGUUUUUUUUUUGCUUUUUUCUUUGUGUAUUUUUCUUUUAAUGAAUUUUUUUGUUUAAUUUAGUUUGUUAAUGUUAAUUUUUUAUUUAGUUACCAAAUUUUCAUAACACGGAUCCCGGGUUUGACGGGUUAACCUGAUUUGACGAGUUAACUCGAUUUUUUUUUUCUUUUCUUUUUAAGAAAAAACUAAAACUGCUCAGUGUUUCACUGUGCAAGUCCACAGUGAAACGCUGAGUAGUCCUCUCCUUUUUUUUUUUGUUUUUUUUUCCCAUUUUUUUUGUCUUCUUCUUUUUGUUUUUUUUUUGUUUUUUUUUGUUUUUAUUUUUUUCCCAUUUUUUCCUGUUUUUUUUUUUUUUUUUUGGUUUUCUAUUGCCUUUAUGGGUUUUUUUUUUUGCUUUUUUCUUUGUGUAUUUUUCUUUUAAUGAUUUUUUUUUAAUUUAGUUUGUUAAUGUUAAUUUUUUAUUUAGUUACCAAAUUUUCAUAACACGGAUCCCGGGUUUGACGGGUUAACCUGAUUUGACGAGUUAACCCGAAUUUUUUUUUUCUUUUUAAUUAAUUGUAACAUAUACUAAAACGAAUCAGUGUUUUACUGUGGACUGCACAGUGCAGUCCACAGCAAAAUACUGAUCCGUUUUUGGUGUUUUUUUUUUAAGUUGUCUUAUUUUUUUAGCUGUUUUUUAUGCCUUUCGGGAUUUUUUUUUGCUUCUUUCUUUAUUUUUUUUCUUAUAACAAAAGUUUUUUAUUUAAUUUAGUUUAUUAAUGUUAAAGUUUUUUUAUUUAGUUAUCAGACUUUCAUGACACGUUUUCUGGAUUUAACGGGUUAACCUGAUUUGACAAGUUAACCCAGAAAUAUAUUUUUUUUGCUUUUUUUCUUUUUAAUUAAUUUUUUUUCAUUUAGUUUAGUUUGUUAAUGUUAAAUUUCUUUCUAUUUAGUUAUCAGACUUUCAUGACACAUAUCUCGAGUUUCACGGGUUAACCUGGUUUCACGGGUGAACCCAGUUAAUUCUGGGUUGACCCGUCAAUUUUUUUUUUGUUUUUUUUAUCAUAAUUUUUUUUUUCAUAAUUUAGUUUGUUAAUGUUAAAUUUUUUUUAUUUAGUUAUCAGACUUUCAUGACACAGAUCCUAGGUUUAACUGGUUAAUAUGGUUUGACGAGUUAACCCGAAUUUUUUUUAAUUUUUUUUAUUAAUUUUUUUCGUUUAGUUUAGUUUGUUAAUGUUCACUUUUUUUUAUUUAGUUACCAGACAUUCAUGACACGGAUUCCGGGUUUAACGGGUUAACCUGGUUUGACGAGUUAACUUGGAAUUUUUUUUUUGCUUUUUUUUUUAAUUAUUUUUUUUCGUUUAAUUUAGUUUGUUAAUGUUAAAUUUCUUUCUAUUUAGUUUUUUUUUCUUCUUAGAGGUUUUUUUCUUUUAUUUUUUAUUUUUAAUUAAUUUUAUUUAAUUAAUUUAGUUUAUUAAUAUUAAAUUUUUUUCUAAGUAGUUCUCGGCUGAUGCCUUUAGUUUUUCUUUUUGUUUUUUUGUUGUUUUUAUGCAUUUGACUGUAGACUGCACAAUGCAGUCCACAGUGAAAAAGCUCAUCCUUUUGUUUUUUUAAUUAAUUUUUUUUGUUUAAUUUAAUUGUUAAUGUUAAUUUUUUUUUUCUAUUUAAUUAUCAAACUUUCAUGACAAAGAUUCCGGGUUUGACAGGUUAACCUGGUUUGACGAGUUAGCCCAGUUAAUUAUGGUUUAACCCAUUAGUUUGUUUUUUUUCCUUUUUAAUUAUCAAACUUUCACGAUGCGAAUUUAAGGUAUGACGGGUUAACCUGGUUUGAAGGGUUAACCCAGUUAAUUCAUAUUUUUUUUCUUUUUCUUCAUUAGUUUUUAUUUUCCUGUUGUUUUUUUUUUUUGUUUUUUUUCUUUUUAACUAAUCUAUUUAAUUAUCACACAUUUAUAACACGACCUUGCAGCUAGACCCACGUCCAAUGCUAUUGGGUCUGGUAUUGCAGUCAAACCCGCUUAAAUUUAGGCCAUGCAAGUUUAAUGUUAUUAUUAAUAUUAUAAAUAUUACUCUUGGAUUAGGCGUUGCAACUAAACCUAAAACUCUUGGGUAUAACUUUGCAAAAAAACCUAAUACUUUUAGAUCUUAGCUUUUUAUGAAAUGCAAAAAAUAAUUAACCCGCGACAUCGCGCGGGGCAUGUAACUAGUAAUACUUCUAUAAGAGAUCUAAAAUAACACACCGCACUAGCCUUCGUAUUUUAUCCUCUUUUAGUCUUUUUUUUAUUUUUUAUCUCAAAGGAAGAAACUCGAAUCCAAAACUUACUAGAUUAAAGAAUGUUUGAUAAUAAAGUGUUUUUUUAAAAUGUUUUUUAAUUAAAAAUAUAGUAAAGUAAAAUUUUUAAUUUUUAAUAUUAAAAUCAUAAAAAAAUACAUAAUAAUAUUAAUUUAAUGUAUUUUCAGAUAAAAAAAUAAAUUAAAAAAAACUUAAAAAAAUAAAUUAAACUCCAUUAUCAAACACAACACUCCCUAUCACGGGUUGGGCUUGGAGCUCAUUGGCCUUUCACAUGGUUUGUUCGAUCACUUACAUUAGCAGCAGCGUGUAUGUUUGUGCCUCGCUUUCAUCAAACUAUUCCCGGCUGGCUUGCCUGUCGUAUAAGUUGAUCUGUUGUCUCAUUCAACCAUAACUCAGGUGACCAGACCAAUUAGUACUCCACCUAUAUUGCUAGCUACAAUAAUAUCCAUCAUGGGAACAGCAGCAGCCAAGUGAAGCAGGGAACUGACGGCUAAUGAAGGUGGUUCAAAAUAUCGCUGGAUAUGGUUGAGGCAGGGACACCACUGAUAGUCAAGAAUUUAGGAAGAGACUGGGAGUGGUUGCUGGUGUUUAAUGAGAGAGUCUAAGAUCGAGGUGACUUGAGCCACUUCCUUUAACAUUGGCAACUUCACAAAUAUAGAAUUAAUGCAAGAGUCUCCUUCAACAAUCACAUCUUGAGAGUGAAAAUGGGAGGUGAAUUGGGCAACUUUCUCUUGGUAUGGGUAUCAGCUGUGGCAUUACUUUGCUACUGUCACAAGAUAGGUCAGUUAACCCACAAAGGCACAACCAGGCUUCUUGCAAUCUUGCCAGUCGUAUGCAUCUUUCUUGUCAUGCCUCUCAGCAUCCUUAGUCUGAGUCUUAGAGCUAUUACUUCUUUCUUCCUUUGUUGGCUUGCCAACUUCAAGCUCCUUCUCUUUGUCUUCGAUCAAGGCCCUCUAUCAUCCAACCCGCCCCUCUCCUUGCCACAUUUCAUUGCCUUUGCUUGCUUUCCUAUCAAGAUUCAACAAGACCCUACACCAACAGUAUCACCUCAUGAUCAAGAGCUUGUAAAUGUUGAUGAUAAUCAAGAUCUUGAGAAGCUCGUGAGUGUUGAAAACAAAGACACCCCAUCUCAAAAAAUCGCCCCGAAAGGCCUUAAAUCUCAUCUAAACUACGCCUUGAAGUUUUUCCUACUAGUCAUAUUUGGUUACAUCUAUACCAGGGAAGACUAUUUCCAUCCAAAAUUUAUAUUGUUCCUCUAUGUUAUCCACAUUUAUAUUGCUCUAGAAUUAAUCUUGGCCAUGUUUGGAGCCCUAGCUCGAGCCUGUCUCGGUGUAGAACUCGAGCCACAAUUUGAUGAGCCGUACCUCGCCAGCUCUUUGCAAGACUUCUGGGGUAAGAGAUGGAACCUAAUGGUCACUAGCAUCCUGCAUCCAACUGUAUACAGUCCAAUCCGGUCAACUUUUAGCCGUUGGAUAGCAAAGAAGUGGGCUUCAUUACCAGCUGUGAUUGGCACAUUUUUAGUCUCUGGUCUCAUGCACGAGCUGAUUUUCUACCACAUUGGACGCCAAAAGCCAAAGGGGGAGGUCACAUGCUUCUUUCUCUUGCAUGGUUUUUGCUUGGCUAUUGAAAUAGGUAUCAAGAGAGAAAUAAAGGGUACAUGGGGGUUGCCUAGAGUAGUGGCAGCACCGCUUGUGGUGGGGUUUGUGGUGGUUACUGCCAUGUGGUUGUUCAUGCCCACCGUGGUUCGUUGCAAGAUUGAUGCUGAGGCACGGAUGCAGACUAUUGCUUUCAUUAAUUUUGUGGAAGGUGUUUAUAUCUACUUGAAAGAUGUUUUCAUAGAUCAUAAAUUUUAGACUAGUAAGUAAUUUUGUCGCAAUAAUUAUAAGUAGUUGAAGCCAGAACUUGUAUCGGCAAGCACAUUUAUAAACUUCAUUUAUUAAAAUCUUAGACCGGUACAAAUUUUUGUUUAAUAAUUGCUACGAUAGUUUAAUGCAAUAUACCAGCUGUUUGAUAAAAACCAUGAUCAAAAUAUUUAUUCGAUAUGCCCAGUACUUUACUGCAAUAUACCCUAGGAUAUCGUCUAAGUAGCAUAAAAAAAUAACAUUUGGUUUCUAUCUUCUGUAUAACGACAAUGAAUAUUGAAUUGAUAAAAAUAUGGUUAGUUAAAAAAUUAAAAAUAUAAAUACAAAAAUAUUAAAUAAAAUAAUGAAUUAGUAGAGACAAGAGAUAAAGGUAGACAAAUAACCAAUUAAAAUUAAAAGUUUAAAUUGUUAGGUGGGGUCUUAAAAUAUGAUUUAUAUUAAUCUUUAAUAUAUUUUUCAAGUAAAAGUUUUUUGAACUUGAAACUUUUACAUAUCUACACUAACUUGUGCUUGAUUUUUAUUAAAUAAAUAGAGAUUAUGAGAUUCGAAUUCGUGAACAUUUGGUCAUUAAGACUCUAAUACUUUGUUAAAGAACCGAUUCAAUUUUAAAGUUUAAAUUAUCAGGUGAGAUCUCAAGAUAUAAUUUCUACUAAUCUUUAACAAAUAUAAACAUCUUUAACAAAUAUAAAUAUAAAAUAAAUAUGUAUCUAGGAUAACUUGUAGGAAAUACAUCAUCGUUAUCUUAAUAAAAACAAUUGUAUUUAUACUAUUUAAAAUAUUAUUUUAUUAAUUUAGAUUUUUAAAAUAACAUUUUCUAUUCUAAUUAUUUUAAAAUCAUGUUUGAAACGUGAUGUAAAUUAUAUUUUUUUAAUUUUUAUAUUUAAAAUUAAUUUUUUUAUGUUUUUAAAUAAUUUUGAUGUGUUAAUAUUAAAAAAAAGUUUAAAUUUUUUUCGUAAUAUAUUUUUAAAUAAAAAACAAUUUAAAUUUUACUUCCAUGCAAACUCAAAUAAUAAGUUACUUGCAGUUAUUAUGACUAGCUGUAGGGGGCGGUGCUGCUAUGUACUAUAAACAUAAUUGAUGCAGCAGACAGCCAUAGUACCAAGACGUGGCAGAAAUUCAAUGACUUAUACUGAGACCACAGUUACACAACCCAGAUAACGAUGUGUUUGGGUGUGCGUGGUUAAGUCGUUUUUCUAUUUUUUUUAUUUAUUUAAAAUUAUAUUAAAAUAAUAAUAAUAAUUAGUUUUUUAAUUUUUUUCACAAACAUCCAUUUUAGCUGCACUUCUAAACAGAGUCUUACAGCAAGCACAAACUCUAAUUUAUGUCCAUCUCUUUCAUAUAUUUGAGUCAGAACAUUUGGAUAUAAAUUAGAGAAGAAAAAAACCUUGAUCACUGUCACACUUUCUUCUUCUUCUUCUGUUCUUUCUAUUUCGAGUAAAUAUAUACUGCAAGGACGAAGGAGCCCUUGUCUAGAGUCGCACAUGUGCCCACAUAGAUCAAUAUUCACUCUGUUCGAAUACAGAAACAAGACCACUUCCUCCUCUUGAAUCUGGAUAGAAUUGAUAGAACCUGAAUCGCCCUCACAGUUUCUUCUUUUUGAUCUUUCAUUUCAAGCGUAUAUCUUGUGAGCCUCCCAUACCAAGAACAGUAUAAAACCUCGUCUUCAAGUCCGAAAACUUCUUCCCACCUCAAACAUUACAGUUGCUGUGUUUCAUUUCCUCUCAUUUACAACUGAUCGAAGCAAGGAUCAUUCUGUUGAGGCUUUCUUUGUCUUUUGCAGAAAUACUUUGCAGCCUACAUGAUUGUUGUUUUAUCAGUGUAUCCAUCCACGCCUUCAACUAAUAACUGCCAGAUAAAGGCACCAGCCCGCCUCUUCUUUGCGGAUUCAUAAAUUUUAUCAUACACUGUUUUCAACAAAACAUCUCUGUCAAACACUCCCUUCUCAUCCACGUGCCGACUUGAGCCGACUUCUUUGAAAAGAACUGGUUUCCUCAGCGCAAUGUCUCCAUCACUUAUAUGAGAAUCCACCCAAUGGGAAAGAUAACUCGUUUUCGCUUCCAAAUCAGCAUGUGGGAUCCUACAAUGCAUGGUAUAAAGAGAAACAAGAGUAUAUCUAUCAGGAAUUUAUAAAUAUAAAUACUUAACUCAUUUGUUUACUCUGUCCUUCAAUCAACUGCGUUACCAAUCAAUUGAACUGCACUAUAUAAAUGUAACUUCUAGGUUGCCAUAGUUAGCAACAUUUAGACAGCAUGGAGCCAAAAUCAAAUGAACAGCACUAUAUCUUCUCAAACGGUUGACACUGCAUCACUAUUUCAAGCUUAAAGUGAUCUUCCUAUCAGCUUACGUUAUGGGGGUCCUAACAUGGCAUCGUGACAGAUGGGUGUAGUAAACCAUUAUUCUUGUGUAGCUCAUCAUUAUUACUGGACCCUAAUCUACAAUACUCUGCCAUAUAAUGAACUGGAAAUAAAUUACGAACCACCUGUCUGGAUAUGCGUGAACUGAUGCAAAAUCGAUGUUGGAUAUUGCUGAGUUUGGUAUGAAGUCUGAUCCAAGUGAUGCUGCCCGAAUCCCAGGAUUCACUUCUGACUUGUUAGUUGUAUUCAGGCCAUAAAACCCUUCAAGUCCAACAGUCACCAGAUGUCUUUUAUCCAAGCUCUUGAUAUAUGCAGCCAUCUCAGCAAUCCAUGCCUUAAGCCAAAGGCAAAGCACUACAAUGAUUUCAAUCCCAUUUGAUUCAAAAGUAAACCAGAAAGUUUGCUUAAACAACAACGCAUAUCCUUUUGAUAUUGUUAAUAACAGAUAUGAACAAACCACCCCGCCAUCAUAGAGAACUAGAGAAAAUGAUAUUCUUCGGCUAAGAAUGCUUCCAUCAAACAGCACCAUCACCCUUCUCUCCAGAUUCCAGCCAAAUCCUUUAGUUUAUUUUUGAAAUUCUAUGCCAACAUAUACAGAAGAAUGAAAAUUCAAUGGUUCACCUGAAGUGCAGGAGCUGAAGAACUUGAUGAACACCGAGGCUCAUUCAUGAGCUCCCAGGCGAAAAUUGCCGGUUCUUCAGAGUACCUAACUCCACUUAAUGAAUUCUUUCUCUUCACAACUGCCUGGAAAAUGCAUAACAGAAAUUUGCAGUCAAGAGAUUAUCAUAAUGCAGCAAGAGAAGCAUAGAUUGCCAAGUCCCAAAUCUUGAAUGUCAGCUCUUGUGAAAUUUCAUUCCUAUUACUUGCUAAUACAGCAAUAAUUUUAGCUUAAAUUGAUCUAGCAGAUGAUGCACAAUCAAAUUUCAGAUGGUAAGUUAUAGCAUAACAUAUUAAGUUCACUAAUUAACUUAAACAAAUAGAGUCGUCACAAAACUCACUCAUAUUCAAUGCUCCCAUUCAUUUUACAAUCAAAUAAUGCCUGUUAAGUCAAAAACAAAUUCCAUGCAAUUGAUUAAAAUCCAAUGACUUAGCCUUGGAGGUGUGAAACAUAGCAUCUCACCUUAAUAUAAAUAAGCCUUGAAGUAAUCUUUAAUAACUGGGUUCGGAAAGAAUGAGUCAUCUGAUGAAGAGACAUUAACUCCAGCUUCCUUUGCCCACUUCACAUACUGAGUUUUUCCACCAAAUGCAACCAGGUUAUUCAGCAGACUGAGAAUUAACCUUCCACGAUUCCUUCUUGCUUCAACUAUCACAUAGUCCAAUCCCUGCAGACAAAUACCUUCAUUAAACACAAAUAGUUCCCAAAACUGCUUCAAGAUUAUUCCUUUAUAUGUCAUUGAAAAGCCCAUAAGCCUUUAACCACACAAUUGAGGCCAUUCAUUAAACUUAACCUCCCCUCCAAGAUCUGACAGCCAAUUGAAAGCAAAAAUCUUAAUUUUUACAACCUUGAGAAGUUUAUAACUUACUUUGAAGACCCUUUCGUUGAAGACACCAGGAGAGACCUGCAAAGCAUCAGGCCCAUGACCAUCACUGAAAGCCCAAGUCCUGCAAACAGUCAACCCCAUUUGAGAUCCUCUCUUAAGCAUCUCAGAAACCUUUGAUCUUGAUGAACUCCACACACUCUCCAUCAUCAACCAAUAUGAAUUCCACCCAUUAACAUAAAAUGCUGAUUCCCCAUAAUCAUCACCAUCAUUGAUGAUGAUGAAUUGAGUGGAGUCGGUUUAGACAAAUCCCAUCUUGGGUUGCCAUAAAAAGACGGGAAAACUGAGGCUGCCGUUACUGUUGUUGAAGUUAAGGUAAAGAAGAGAAAGUAGCAUGAGUAUUCCUAGGAAUGGAUACAGUCUUCUGUCUCUCCAUUGGGAGUCCAUUUUCCUGUUUUCUGAGCAGACACUGAAAUAUGUUUUUUAUUCUUUGUUCACGGUAAGUAAGGAUACAAACAAAAGCCACCGAGAUCGCCGUCGCUAAAAAUAUGAAAUCUUUUGCGGUCGUAAUUUAGGCGAUGACUGGGUUUGAAGAGUAUGGUUAGUGUUGUUUUUUAAAUUGUUUAUUAAAAUAUUUUAUUUUAUUUUUUAAAAAUUAAUUUUGAUAUUAAUAUAUUAAAAUAAUCUGAAAAAAUAUAUAAAAAUUAAUUUAAAAUAAAAAAAUAAAACUUUAAAUUAUUUUUAAAAUAUAAAUAUGAUUGAAUGUAGUAAUUUGUUUUUGUAUUUUAAAUUUUUUUUUAAAAAAUUAAAUUUAUUUUAAUAUAUUUCUUAAAAAAAAAACGAAUUCAACCAAAAUAAUCACCUGUUUUUGUCGGUGGCUAAGCUUUGGGCAACGGAGUCACUUUGUUGCUGUAAAUAUGAGGAACCGGGAAAUUACAACAGGCUUUAUACUUGCUGCCAUGACAAUUUUUUUGAUUGUUGAUAUUUCUCCGGCGGAAGCAGAGCUAUUCUCCGGUCAGCUUUCUUGCAUUUCCGGUUCUAAAAAUUGAUUAUACUUGUUACAAAUGUAUUAUUCAUUUUGUAUUUAAGAUUAAAAAUAUAUAUAUAUUUUUUAAGAAAUUUAGUCUCAAAUUUGAAUAAUAUUGAUUAAAAUUAACAUAUUUUAUUGAUUAUAGAUCAAUCCAUUCAUCCACUCAAAUUAAAAAUUAUAUGUUAAUUUUAUUUAUUAACCAUAUAUUAUUUCAAGUUCAAAUCAAAUAAAAAGCGGGUAGAAAAUUGUUCGGACGUAAAUAAACUAUUUAAAAUUCAAAGAAAUAAUUAGUUUUCACAGGGAAAUAUCAAAAUAAACUAAACAUUUCAUACAAGUUUUUCAUUUUGAGAAAAAAAAAAUGUUUUUAAGUAGUCGAUUUUGUUAUCUCAAUAGCUAAUAACAAAAUUUUGAGUAAUUGUUCAACAGGGAAAUAUCAAAAUACACUAAACAUUUCAUACAAGUUUUUCAUUUUGAGAAAAAAAAUUCUGUUUUUGUGAGGAGGAGGAAUACAAGUUUCUGGUAAUGAACAAAGCAAACUUUUGUUUAUGAUACAAGUUCAGUGAUUAACUUUUGUUUCUAUACACAGAGAUAGCAAAAUAAAAUUCAAAAAGUUUCAAUCAACGAAGAAACAAAAUAAUUUAUGAUCAUCACUCACUUGUACAACUAAAAGUUUUGAUCUUUAGGCACAAAAGGAUCAAAAGUUCCAAUCUUUCUUUCAUGGUUCUUUCAAAAACCUCUGCAAGCAUCUAAACCCAAGAUAUUGAGCACAAAACUUCUCCAUUUCUUCACCACCUCUCUCCAUACAAAUCUCCUCCUCCAUCUCCUCCAACACCAUAUCCCAUCCACCAUAAGGGUCCCACUGCCACCCAAAAUAGUCACCACCAUCAGCACCAACUUUUGCUUCACAUAUUGAGUCCAAUAUUUCCUGCAACCCCACAAUCCUACGGCUGACUUUCCUUCUUGCUUCUCUCACCGUUGGAUCAACCCCCGGUACUGAAUCGAGCCUCAGAAGCAAGCCCAUCAAGGCCUCAUUCAUCCCCAGCUUUUCUUUCUCGCUACUUCUUAUUGCAUCCACUGUUUCCUGCCGUUGGAUUUGGUUUUGUAACUGAUCAGCUUCAGAACUAACAGCUGAGAUUUUCUUGUAAAGGGUUCGGAUCAUAUGUGUCCUGUAGCAAGAUUGGAUCUUGGUGGCAGCAGAAGUGGCAGUGCUUGAUUGGGUGGUGGAUUUGGGGGAGGGGGGCUUGACGGGGAUUUCAAUGGUUUUUGUAGGGGUAGUAUGGUCAUUAUGGAAAGAGUAAGUGACUGUUGCGGUGGAGGAAGUGAAGUAGCUGAAAUUGCUGGAUGGGUUCAUUUCCUCAACCUUGAAAGAAAGAAGGAAGGAAGGAAGGAAGAAAAGACGGUCAGGGAAUGUCAGAUGAGAGUGAGAUUUUAUACAGAAGGUUUUGGAAAAUUUUGCAAUAAUGUCAAGGAUUGUUUGUGGGCUAACGUUUUGAUUCUUUAUCUUGAAUGAUCUUGCCGUUUAGCAGGGGACCCAUGAUUUGCUUUUGACAAACGGACAUGCUUUUUGGGCAAAUGACAGUGCUUUUGAUUCUGUGGUUGAUUUCUAUAACGUUUGUGAUGAAAUAGUAAAACUUUAUAUUGAAUUUGAGAUGUACACGACUGAAGUGUUUGGGCAUCACACGCACCCUUGCAAAAAUAAGACCUUUAUAUAAGAAAGAGUGAUGAAGAUUAUGUGUUUUUAUAUGGAAUUUUGUUUUGUGUGUUUACCGGGUAAUCUAAUAUAUUUAUACAUCUUAAUUGCAUGAAAUUUUCUUAUAUAAUGUAGAGUAAUUAUGGAGAAUAAUUAUAUUUUCUCACUUUAUAAAAAAAAAAAAUCUUUUACAUGAUAUUAGAAUAUUGAUAAUCAAAAUGGUCACAAGUUUGAAUAUUAUUAUCAUCAUUCUAAUUAAUAAAUUUAAACAUAAGGUAAUGUAAAUCCAUGUAAGUUUUAAACUCAAAUAGUUUUCACUCGAGAGCGUAUGCUAAAAAAUAAUAUAAAUUAUAUUUUAGAGUCUCAUCUAACAGCUUAAACUAUUGUGUUGAAUUGGUUAUUUGACAUGUUAAAAAACAAUAUAAAUUAUAUCUUGGAACUUCACAUAACAAUUUAAUUUUUUAGGUUGAGAUUGUUCUUUGACAUGAUUUCAAAGUCUUGAUGACCAAAUAAUUAUGAGUUUAAAUUUCACCACUCUUAUUCUAAUUAAUAAAAAUUAAGCACAAGGUAGUGUGAACAUGUGCAAGUUUCAAACCCAUAAAGGUUGACAUGACGUGUUAGAUAACAAUAUAAAUUAUAUUUUGGGACCUCACCUAACAGCUUAAGUUUUUAAGUUGAAAUAGUUCUUUGAUAGUGAAUCUAUAAAAUGAGCUUGUUGAUUGUUAUACUUCAUUGUCCCAUUGGUGAAAAAUGUUGGCACUCACAGGUAUUUGACAAGAAAGGUUAGCGUCAUAUUAACAAGGCGUGUUCCAUACUUACUGUUGGUGAUAGUUAUUAGAGAGAAAACUAAAUGUCGCCCCUGACCUCCAAGAGGUCUUAAUAAUGCAUUGUGGUGUGUGUCAAUACUAAACAUCCUGGGAUGGAUUUGCACAGGAUCGAGAUUCAAUCCUAGUAGUUAGAUCGAGGUCCAAAUACGAGACAAGGAUUUUCAUUUAAGCUUGACAAAACAAACAGGAUGUCCUAAACGGACAACCAUCCCUCUUGUUUGGGCUAUGACCCAAACAAACAGUAACAUCAUCAUGAUCACUCUAAUUAUUUUGUAUAUUAUUAUAUAAAACACUAAAAUGUGUGGUGUUUUCUUUAUAGUAGCUGCACUAUGGACACACAAUCAGUGUAUUGUGGACUCACAAUGCAAUGAGUUUUUUUCAUCAUUUUUUAUUUUAUUUAGUCAUUUUAGAUAAAAAUUUAAGGCUCAUUUAAGUUAAAUUGUUAAGGAAAAACAAAAUUGAAAGACAAAGAACUAGGGUGAAAAAGGUGGGUAAAGUGGUGGAAAUUUCAAAGUUUGCACAUAAAAAAUCACUUUCACCCUUCUACUUUUCCAAUGAUACCUUUAUAGUCCCUCAAGAUUUUAAAAUUUAAUUUUUGCACAAAACUUUAUUUUUAUUAUUUUUAAUUCCUGGUUUGAAAGAUGAGAGAGAAAGAUAUAUUGGAUUCCAGUGAUAAAUAGAAAAAGUUUCAGCUAAUACUGAUUCUAGCAACAAAACAAGGUCGAUCUUGAUGUAUAUGAAUUCCAUUCAAUGAGAAACAUUUUACUUGUAUGUUAUUUUCUCCUUGAAAUGGCCUGAAAAAAUAAAUCUUGAUGUUCACGAGUUGCAUUCAACACGUCAUCCACCUCUAAUAAUUAAAAAUAAAAUAGAGUUAAUGAGUGGGUCAAGCCUAUUUGUAUCGGUCUACAAUUGUUUUUUUUUUUUCAGCCACGUGGAUUGGCCUAUAAGACUAGCCUAGUUACUUUAUUUUUUUCAUUUAAUAUAUUUUUCAUACUUGUUAAGCCUAACCCAAAACAAAUACAGGGAACGGGUUAGGAAGGUCAACUUGGAGUAAUUCGAGCUCAUCAAAAAAAUUAUAUUUUUAAAAUAAAUCAAAAUAGCAUUGUUUUUUAGUUUUUUUAUAGAAAAAUUCAACAAGUUUUGUACUGGGUUUUGAUCGGAUUUUAUUCAAGUCAAAUCGGAUUUUUUAGUGGAUCACAUUGGGUCAACUCCUCCCUUUUUUUAAACCUGAUCUAACCUAGGCUCAGGGUCACCAAGUUGGCCCGGGUUCUUAUAGCGAUAGUAUUUUCAACCCCUUAUACUUAAAACAAUAUUAUUGCAUCCUUUAUUUGGUAUUUAAAUGUCUUUAUAUAUAAUUUGACUUAAAAGGACCUUUUUUUUUAUCAAACUUUUAAAAGAUUAGCCAUGCCUUUUAUUUUAGCCCCGCGAGUCACCCUUGUUUUUUAGUCUCUUUCUUUUUUUUUAAUUCUUUUUGUUGUUUUGUAUAGGAAAAAAAACAACGCACCUAUUAGGGUAUAGUUAAAUGAAAAAAAAAAGUUGUUAGUUCUCGUGUGUUGCAUGACGUAGAUAAUGAAUUUGCCAAGUUUACUGAGGGUUAAUUUGAGUAUUGUAACUUUUUUUAAUUUAAUAGUUGUAGAUUUAUCGUGAUCUCAAAUAGAUGCUCUAAUAUUUAGUUGGUUCUUAAUUUUACAAGUAUUUAUUUUUCUUAUCAUAUAAUUAAGUAAAAGAUUAUAUAAAAAAUUAUUAAAUCUAAUUGAGUCCAUGAUCUAAGACACAUCUUUGGUUAAUUAAAUUUGAUUGGUUAGAAAUUAGGCUUAAUAAUUUAUUUUAAGUACACAAAUAAUUCUUAAUUUAUUUAAUUAAAACUAUGUAUGAACUUUUAAAUUUAUGAUUAAGAUUUUUUUAUGUAAAAAACAUGCAUGUUAAUGUUAUUGAAAAAUAGUAAUAAUUGCAUUAGUAAGAUUUGUUUAUUCAUUAUAUAAGCUUCAAAUUUAAUACAUGAGAGAUUCUUUGAAGGAGUGAGUUCAAUAACAGGAUGUUCUUAAAAUAUUGUUAACUUUGAAAUCUUUAAUUCAUGGAAGUUGAAUUUUGAUGAUCUGGUUCUAUGUCCGUUAUAGAUUUUCAAAUUACAGCGCCUUUUUUCGCCAACAUUAUCCUCAAAGGUUGCUCAGAAACAUGUGGGGAUAAAAAAUCUUUGGUCAGAUUCAACAUGGUGCAUUGUGUUCUUCAGGCCGAUCGAGGUAUACUUGGAAGCAUGAAAAUAGACAGAAAUGGAGUCGAAGCUCAAUCCAAGACAGCCUUAAAUGGUGUAAGAAUCUGCGAAAAGAACUCAAAAUCAAACCCCAAUUCUUAGUGCAUUGAAACCCAAGCUCUGAUUUACCAGAGAAGGGUUAGAAACAAACAGGCACAAGAUCCAGAUUCUAUUACACCUGGGGGUUGAAUAAAUUACAGAUUUCACUGGAUUCAACUACUGGAUACACAAGGUCACGAUAAGAGGUGUCUUUGGAUCUGUUCGUACAUCAACGAAAAACUUAAAACGUAUCUCGACAUCGAUUUUGCUGCAUUAAACGUAUACACAAUGAACAAUAUGCUUCUUCAACAAUCAACAGCUCUACUCGAGUAAGGGAUUUAUUGGAUUAUCGCACAGCCGGACAUCGGCUGAUGUAGGCUCAGAGCGCAAUCCAACAUUAAGGUGACGGGAGGAUUCUUCCGGCGAGAGCAAGUGCCAAACCCAACACCGUAACCAUCUCCCUGCAACGGAUUAAAUUUCAAGUAGUGUUUUGCAUUUCACGCGAAACAGAGGAAGGAAAUGCACGAGGAAAGAACCUUGGAUCAUCUCCAUUUAGUGACAGUGGCUUUUGCCCAUUCCAUGUUAGCUCUAACAGGCAUCCACAAGAUAGCUCCUGCUUGACAAUACAAGGGGUUGCUGUUGUUCAGUAGAAGAUGAUGGAAGGAAAGACAAACUGGAAUUCCAGGCAUAGAUCUGAUCGAAGCCUCACAGGUGCGCUGAUUGUUCCAGCUCCAAGUAGAUCAGAUGGUGUGUAUGCUGUUGAGUCACUGGUCCAAUAUCUGUUAAGCAAAUAAGAAUUCUGAGAAUAUGGUUGCUUAAAUAAUAUGAUUUCUUACGUGGAUGGAAAAAUCUAUAUAAUAAUCCGUAACUUCAACUCUUUGGGCACAGCUCAGCCUGCUUGGUUUGGUUAAUGUCUUAAAAUAAAAAAGAAAUUGAUAUAAAAAAACAUAAAAAAAAUUAUUUGGUUAUAAAGAUGGGAUAGAGAUUAAAAAAAAACAAAGAAAACACAUUAAUAUAUAUAUAUAUAUAUAUAUAUAUAUAUAUAUAUAUAUUAACAUUUUUAAAUUAAAAUUAUGUUAUUUCAAAACAAAAAAUAUAUAAAGAUAUAUCUUUUUAUUUCAGCUAGUUAAUUUAUUAAUUAAUGAGAAAGAUAUUUGUCUUACAAUAAAAAAAAAUAUACAAAAAAGCUAAACAUAAAUUGAGGGGGAAUAGAGAGAAAUUAUAUAUAACAAUUUUGAAAUAAUUUUUUUUAAAAAAUAAUAUAUAUUUUUUUCCAAUUAUCUUUAUCUAUUCUAUUAUGAUACAGUACUCAAACUUCUGAAUAUUUAAUAUUGAGUUAUAUGAUAUUUUUUAAAAAUAUUUUUUAUUUUGAAAUAUAUUAAAAUAUUUUUUUGAUAUUUUUAAUACUUACAUAAUAAAAUAAUAAUUAUUUACUUUUUUAAACUAAAUAUAUUUUUAAAAUACAGUUUCAAAAUAUGAAAGUGAUGAUAUAAAAAUGUAUUUAAGAUUAUUGUAAAUUUUGCUUUUCACAGUACUAUCUAUUUAAAAAUAAAUUAAAACAUAUAUUUUUAAUUUUUUUCAUAUCCAAAUAUUAAAAUAAUUUAAAUACAUAAAACAAAUAAUUUAAAAAAUAGCUGAAUAAAAAAAACAAUUAUCCCCACGUUAAGAAAGUGCUGCACGGUAAAAGUUAGUACGGCGGAUAAAAAACAAGCGACGCCGUUUCUGACUCCUCUCUCUAUAAAUAAACCUUCUGUUUGACCUCAUUCAUUCUCUCUUCGAAGUGCAAAAUCACAAAAUCCUAAAAUCCAAAAGCAAAAAUAAAAUAAAAUCAACGGAUUAGUAAUUAAUUAACUCAAUAUUUUAAAAAAAAUAAAUAAAUUGAAAAGCUUGUAUAAAUCCUAAUCUUUCUCGAAGGAUUAGUCUGCGAAAUGUCGUUCGAUCUUCUGUUAAAGCCGUCGUGUAGCGGCUGCGGCAGCACCACAGAUUUGUACGGAAGCAAUUGCAAGCAUAUGACGCUUUGCUUGAAUUGCGGCAAAACAAUGGCGGAGAAUCGCGGCAAAUGCUUCGAUUGUGGCACUACUGUCAGUCGCUUGAUUCGAGUACAGUAUCUGUCUCUAUUUGAUUUUGUUUAUUUUUCGGAUUUUUUUUCAUCAUUUUUUCGAAUAUUUUUUGGUGAUUUUUAUGAGUGAAAUUUGAUUUUUUUUCCCCGAUUUUUUAUGAUUUCUCGGGUGAUUAUUAGGAGUAUAAUGUUAGGGCGAGUACGAGUAGCGACAAGAAUUAUUUUAUAGGAAGAUUCGUGACAGGAUUGCCGAGUUUUUCCAAGAAAAAAAAUGCGGAAAAUAAAUGGUCUUUGCACAAAGAAGGAAUCCUUGGUCGUCAGAUUACUGAUGCUUUGAGGGUAAUAAUGAUUUUUUUAUACAUAAUUUUAGUGUUUUAUUUUUUUAUUUUUUUAUUAAGUAUAGAGUAUUUAGGUUUGUAAUUGAGGAUUUUGGAUUGUGUAGGAGAAGUUUAAGAAUAAGCCUUGGCUAUUGGAGGAUGAGACUGGGCAGUCUCAGUAUCAGGGUCAUCUUGAAGGGUCGCAAUCGGCGACUUAUUAUCUGUUGAUGAUGACUGGGAAAGAGUUUGUUGCUAUUCCUGCUGGUUCAUGGUAUGUGUGAUUGUUAUUUUUAAUGACUUUGGUGUUUGUGGUUCCUCACUUGAGGUAGGGUGGUUGUAAAAUGUAUGAAUUUGGUGCUUGUGAUUGAUGUGGUAAUGAUGAUAUGUGGAAUAGGUACAACUUUAACAAGGUAGCGCAUUAUAAGCAACUUACGUUGGAGGAAGCAGAGGAGAAGAUGAAGAAUAGGAGGAAGACUGCGGAUGGGUAUGAAAGGUGGAUGAUGAAAGCUGCAAAUAAUGGAGCUGCUGCAUUUGGUGAGGUGGAGAAGGUAGAUGAUAAGGAGGGUGUUUCAGCUGGCGGGAGAGGUGGGCGUCGGAAAGCAAGUGGUGAUGAUGAUGAGGGAAAUGUGUCUGACAGGGGAGAGGAAGAUGAAGAGGAGGAGGCAGGAAGGAAGAGUAGACUCGGACUCAAUAAACAGGGUGGUGAUGAUGAUGAAGAAGGUCCAAGAGGAGGUGAUCUUGAUAUGGAUGAUGAUGAUAUUGAGAAGGGUGAGUGUUUUUCCUCAAACGCCAUGUGGGUGCCAAUUUCUUGUAUAAAUGCUUAAAUGAUUUCCUUAUGUUCUUUUAAUUGCUGGUUUUUUUUUUUAAAUGUCUGCUAGUCUUUUUUUCUGCCUUCUUGAAAUCAAUACUAUCUUCUUUCUGAUGCACAUUAAACAUGAUACAUUGCUUUUUUGUUCUUUUUUCAUGGGCGUGCUACGAGCUUCAACUGUGUUGAAUUUUACACUGAUUUUUUUUUUGUAAACCAUACAUGGCAAUUUAGGUUUUCUAGUAAUUCCUACCUCAGGCACAUGUAUUUUAUGGUCUUAGGUGAUGAUUGGGAGCAUGAAGAAAUUUUCACCGAUGAUGAUGAAGCUGUCGCCAUUGAUCCUGAGGAACGGGAGGAUUUGGCCCCAGAAGUUCCUGCUCCUCCCGAAAUCAAGCAGGUCUGUAUUAGCAAACAAUCUUGGUGCUAAUCCAAACUACUUGCUUUUGUGCCUCAACUUAUAUAUGUUCUUUGGGCAUGUUGGCAUAUUGCUAUUUGCUUGGUGUGUUAUAUAUGUAUUCAUGUAAUGCUGGUUAGGCUAGUUUGGUUCUUCUGAGAGUAGUUUGAAAAUGUGGAGAUUUUAGUCAGAACUUUUUGUAAUGUUGACUGAUAUAUGAAAUGGAAUUUUAAUUUUGGAGCACAAUUGAUAAAGGGGGACAUUAUUAUUGAGAAGCACACUGGGUUUUUUAUUUUUAAUGUAAUGCUGAUAAUAACAGUAAGGUAUUUGCAUGUUCUUGCAGGAUGAAGAUGAUGAGGAUGAGGAGAAUGAGGAGGGAGGACUGAGUAAAUCUGGGAAAGAGUUGAAGAAGCUACUAGGGAAAGCAAAUGGUCUAAACGAGUCAGAUGUAGAAGAUGACGAUGACGACGAGGAUGUGAGUUUUUGUGAUGGCUGAUUGUAUGCAUGUUUAAUUGGCAACCUAAGAGCAUUUUCAACAUUGCUUUGCUGUGCUUGUUUUCUAUUUGCUUUUAUUUUUUGCUUCUAUUUUCCUGGUCCAAUAUGAAAGUGCAUUGAGCGAUCAGGGGUGGAAAUUAAUUUUUUUUAAUUCUGAGAUGUCAAUCAACUUAUAUGAUGCCUGAUUUGACAUAUUAUUUUGUAAAGCUUUCUUUGGUAUUCUUGUUAAUUUUUGUAUCUUCUCUCACUUACAGUGCUCUUGUUUGGUCUUAUCAGAUGGAUGAUGAUAUUUCUCCGGUUCUGGCUCCAAAGCAGAAGGAUGUUGUGCCGAAGGAGGAAGCUGCUGACAUUAGUCCUGCAAAACCAACACCUUCAGGUUCUGCUAAGGGAACCCCUUCUACCUCCAAGUCUGCCAAGGGGAAAAGAAAAUUGAAUGGUGAAGAUGCAAAAUCUUCCAAUGGUGCACCUGUGAAGAAGGUGAAGACAGAAAAUGUAAGAUGUUUUUUCAAAUAUACAUCUAAAACAGUGCGCUAUGCUAUCAAAUGUCUGUAAUAACCAAUCUUCCUAUCAACUUUAAUGUUCUCUUAAAGCAGGAAGUAAAACCUGCCGUGAAAGAAGAAAGCUCGCCUGCUACUAAAGGUACUGCAACUCCUAAAGUAACACCGCCAUCAUCAAAAACAGGGUCAACAUCAGGUUCUACUGGUCCUGUCACUGAAGAAGAGAUCAGGGCUGUUUUGUUGCAAAAUGGGCCUGUUACCACACAGGAUCUGGUUGCUAGGUUUAAAUCACGACUAAGGACUCCUGAGGUAUGCUCUUCUUUAGCAUUGUGCAAGCUUGCUUCAUAUUGCCUGCCACUCAAAACUGACCUGUUUGCUGUGCUGUUGCAAGAUUUUCUAUGGAAGCUAUGUUUUCAGCUAGUACCAUGCAUUUUUAUUUAUUUAUUUUUUCUAAAACCGGUUUAACUUUAGAUCAAAUUACAGUUACCCUUAGUUUUUAUGCUUAUGAUUUGGUAAUUAUGCUAUCCAGUGCUUCACUGCUGAUUACUCUUUAGGAUUAUCAGUCCGGUUAUGCAUGCUCUUAAGAAUUUGUGUUGUUCAUGAUGGGAUAAACACAAUUUCAGGUUGGAAAACAUGUGCUUAGAAAACUGUUCUAGAAUGUCUGAAUCUCAUGCCAGGUGAUUUUUCUUAUCAUUAAGGGGUGUGGGUGGCUAAGUUUUUGCAUAGAACAUGGGGCUUCUACCAGUUCAACCAAGGUUGGGUUGGUGGCACAGGAUAAUAAUAUAGAUAGGAUGGACUGAAGAUGUAUCUCCUUGUUGCUUACUAUAUUCAUUCAUUCUACUGAACGAGAAUUUCUGCUUCCUCCUUUGGAAGAACAAUAAAGUAGCAUCACCUGAAAAGUUUUGGAUGCUUUCAGUUCCCUCUCUCCUCUCUGUUUUCUGACUGGUGGAAGUUAAUUGGUGCAGGACAAGAAAGCUUUUGCAGAUAUUCUGAGGAGAAUUUCUAAGAUUCAAAAGACCAGUGGAUCUAACUAUGUUGUGCUGAGGGACAAAUGAUAGCUUUCUCCGUGUUCCCAGAAUUUCACUUGCUCAGAUUAGCCCAUGAAACCGCUAACUAUCCUGUAAGUCUAUAACUGUGCUUGCUAAAAAAGAAAAUAAAAGGAGAAGGAAAAGAAUCCCUUUAGCCUUCUGUAACUAAUAUCCUUGUAAGCUGCAGCAAAUUUAAUGAUGAAAUUGUAAAAUGUUAACUGUAGUAAAAUGUACUUGUAAAAUGUAGUGUACACUGACUGUGUAUUUUGUUUGGAGGCUGCUAGAUGUGUACUCAUUAACUCAACAAUAUGCUAGAAACUGAUGCAUCCUGGUCUCAAUUGAUGUGUUCCUAAUUUCAAGCAAAUGAUUUUCCUUAGACUUGAAUGGUAGCAAUCUUGCAUGGUGUGUCCAAACCCUACAUCUGCUAUGGCUUGUUUCCAAACCAUGCCUUGAUUUGAUUUUUUUUGAGUUGAUGCUUGAUGCUGAUGGACGGUAGUGAAGAGCUUGGAGCACUGGUUCUGUUUGUGUACAUAUGAGCAAAGCACCCAUCAGGCCUUUAAAGGCAACCCCAGACCAAAACCUACACUAGGAACUAUAAAAAUGGCUGCUCUAGUAUAAUCUAGCAGUGCUAAUUAAACAUUAUUCGUCCAAUAAUUUUCUGAAAAAUUUCAUCCGUUGAAAUGACAGGCUUCCAUUGGUGGGUGUUACAAGUCAAAUGAUUGAAAUUCUGGUAACAUUAGCAUCAUUCUAAUUUGCUAAUAUUUUUAGAUAAUAGUUGUUAGACUCCACUACCUAAGGCCCGGAUCAUUAAUUUGCUAGUUUGUGGGUUAAAUCCGAUGAUUAUUUGAGUUUUUUUUUUUUAAUGAUAAUAUGUUUUGGAAAAAAAUUGUUUUGAUUUUUUAAUUAAUGAAAUGAUAUUGUUUGAACAAAAGAGUUUUAAAACGACUUCAUUUUAGAUGAAUUUAAAAAUCGUUUGAGUCAUGUUACUGGUUGACAUAAAACAAACUCGAUUCGAGCUAGGCUUAGAGUUAUCGAGUUGAUAAUCGAAUUGUGUUUAAUGUCUUUUCAAGGUGUAUCUAAAUUAAAAUUUUAAUAUUUUUCAAUCUAAAUACAUUAUUUUUAAAAGCACUUUCAUCCUCUCAUGUGUAAGAAGGUUGGUUAAGGAUUAAAGGGAGAAGAAGGGUGCUUUCAUUAGUAUAGAACAUUAAAUCAAACGACCAGGAAUAAUAAUAAUAAAAAAAAAAACUUUAUGGACAUAUUCCUUGCAAAAACCAAAGAAUACAUAGGUCCAAAUUAACAUAAUUUUUGUAAGUUUUCCAAGUUUUUGCUGCCAUAAAAAUCACUACUAUAAAAUCCAAAAACAAGAAGCAUACAAAAGCUAGGAAAAUCCAAUCUAAAUGCCCAUAUAGGACAACCAAAAUCCAGCCAUCAAUAAAGCAAAGCUUGCACCGAAGUGGGAUGGAGCUGAACUUUCUGGUGGGGCAGCAAUAGCCUUAUCAGAGCCUUCUGAUGCGACUUGUGCGGUGGUGGUAUCAGUUCUGGCUUCAGGAACCACCACCUCUACAUGUAAUUUCAGGCCAUUCUUGCACUUGUCAGAACUGCUGCUUGUGAAGUAACGGACCCCUUCUCCAUCAAGAGUGAUGCCAUCACUGUCAUCAGUGUACAUUCUGAUUGGAUUGCUCACAUCACACGUUAGGUAUUCUUCCUUUGUCUCUACCUCAGCUAUCCUACCCUGUGCUGCAGAGUGGGUGAACCCUGAUCUCCCCACAGGUCAAAUAUAUUAUUACUAGCUCAUCUCACUUGUCCUAAUACAUUCCCAAAAUCACUCUACCGACUAAAAAUUAAAAGCUGAAUUACUUGUAUUGAUUAAAAAAAAAAGCUUCAAGUCCCGGAUUUAUAAUCCUUUAAAUCCAAAUACUCUAAAAACUAAAUUUCAAUUACACGAAUCCACUGCCAAACAUACCCUUGUUAAUAAAUAUUAAGACAUUUGGGAAUUCCAAUAUUGAAAAGAAAAGGAAAAAACUAAAUGGAGGAAUAACCAUUAAUUCAACUCUGAAAAAUAUUGAGAGAGAGAGAGGGCUUACAAAUUUUAUCUCCAACUCUGAAAGUUCUAGCAGAGGACCAAGAACCAAUAUCAGAAUAAGGGUGCCAUCCACGAUCCCCUCCAACUACAUGGUGCACCUGGGCUCCAUCAUUAAGGCUCACUAGGACUAGAACCAGAACCAGAACCAUCAAUAUCUUCUUGGUCAUUGCCAUUUUCACAGCACAACAAACUUUCUUCUCCUAGAAGGAAAGGGGAAAAAAAAGUUAGAGUCAGAAGACUGGUUGCUAAGAGUGAAAGAGAGCGUGUCCUUUCAAUGAUAUUGCACUAAAGAAGAGGGUAGAGCCCACUUUUAUUAAACUAGCCCGGCUCAUGAGUUGGCAUGAGUCACGGUUAACACCGGAACUAGCCAGGACCUGGUUUAAAUCCGGUCAUUAAUCUGUGACUUGAUCGAGUUCUCGUCAGAACUCAUUGAUUUUUUGUAAGAAAAAUUAAUAACAACAUUGUCUUUAUGGAUAAACCAACCCGUGACUGCUGAGUCUGGGUCAGGUUUAUAGAUAUGGUGGAGCCUAGAGGGUUUGGUUUCCUUUCCUUAGCAGCUUCCUUUCAAAAGCUUACAUAAGAGCAAAGAAUCGUAGGUGGCUUGGCUGUAGUUUGCUAGAGCCUGUGAAUGUGUGUCCACAGAGAUAGAGUACUCCUUUGUUUCCAUACUUUUUUAUUUUUAUUUUUUUUAUUUCGGUAAUUGUGAAUCGUUCGGACCAAUUUAUAUAUAUAGAUUAAUUCUUUGAUGUUCUAAAGUUAAUAAUUAUAUAAGUUUUAGUGAUUAUGAGAUUUGUGAAACUUAAAUUAAUAAUUUCUAGAAAAUAAAUUCAGAACCUAACCACUUAAAUUUUGAUCUAUAAAAUUGUUUUUUACUCUUUAAAAAAUUAAAAUUUGUAUUUUUUCUAUAAAAAAUUUUAAUUUCAGAAUAAUAUUGAUUAACAUAGAUCCUAUAUAUAUAUUUUGAAAAUCAACCACAACCACACUUCCAAACAGGUUUUAUUAAUAUAAGGUAUGUUUAGAAGUGUGGUUGUGAAUAUUUUUCAAAGUUUUUUUCAUUUUGAAAUGCAUCAAAAUGAUAUUUUUUUAUUUUUUUAAAAUUAUUUUUGAGAUCAGCGCAUCAAAACGAUCCAAAAUAUAUAUAAAAAUUAAUUUUUAGUAAGAAAAAAAAUUAAAUUUGUAUAUAUACUGGAAAAAAAAAUAUAGGAGGUAAUUAAUUGCGAAGUCAUGUAAAUGGUACUGGUGUAAUGUAAAUUGUAAUUGCUUUUCACUGAAGCAAUACCAGACGAAAUGUGGAAGAAAUUUAUGAUGAUAACGACUAGAACUCUCUUAUAACAUGAAAAUGAUAUGAUAUAAUUUAUGACGCAUUUUAUACAUUAAUUAUCACAUUUGUUUUUGAAUGAAAAGAGAAAUAUCAAACUAAUACUAGAAAAUAAAAUACUAUACAGCAUGAAUUCCAAGAAUAUAAUUCAACAUGAUAUUAUCGCUGUUGAAAUUUUUAUUUAAAACACGGUUAAUAAAUAUAUUUAAUAUUAAAUUAAAAAUGAGGUUAAUUUACUUUUUUAGAUUAAAACUUGGUUAAAAUUUAAUCUUUAAAUUAUAAGUAAAUAAAAAAUUAAUCUCAAAUAAAUUUUAGUUGAUAUAUUUUGGGAAAACUCAUAACCUUUUAAAAGCUCUAUCUCACAAAAAAAUAAAUUUUCUAGUGAUUUAUAUACACUGAGAAUAUAUAAAGUUUAAAUUAGAUCCAAAAUACACCCUAGUUUUUAGAAAAAAGAGAAUUUAAGCAAAAUGAAUUUUAGAUUUAAACUCACAUGCAUGCAACUUUGCUCGGACAUGAAUUUGGGUUUUAUUUUAUAAUAUUGGUUUGAUAUUUUUAUUUUUGUUUUAAAAAAUGUGAUAAUUAAUGUUUAAAUUUUGUUAGCCUAACUCAUGAAUGAUAUAAUGUGAUCAGUCUACUUCUAGAAGAGUUUUCUUUAAAUUUUAACAGUUUUCUCAACUCAAAAACAUCUAAUUUAAAAUCAAAAUGUUCAAGUUUGAUUCUAAUUUUAUGUGGAUAAUCAAAAUUGAUAAUAAAAAUAAUUUAUUCCAUAAAUCACCAUGUGGUUGUGUAUUCAUCCGAUAAGAACUACAGUUUCUAUAAUUUUUUGAGCGUGUAAUAAAAUUAGAUAAAAUAUUAUCAGGUAUAAAAUUGAUAUUACAGUGCGAGUGAAUUUAAUUCACUCUAUACUAGUUUUUCGGGAAAAAAAAAUAUUGUUUAUAUCAUAGUGCGAGUGAAUUUAAUUCACUCUAAACUAGUUUUUUUUUUUUAAAAAAAAAAACUGUUAAAAAAAUGAACACACUGAAAAAAAAAAAACUAAAACUAUUCACGUGAACAGUGCAAAUGAAUUGCACUGUUCAUUAAGUGAACAGUGCAAUUUACUCGGGAACAGUGCGAGUGGAUUGCACUGUUCAUUGUUUUAAGUGAACAGUGCAAUUCUCUUGCACUGCUCACAUGAACCGUGUAUCAACGUACACUGUUCAUACUAAUUGCAAUGUUCAAUGAACAGUGCAAUUAACAUAAACAGUGCGCGAAAAGCAAGAAUUCCUUGCUUUUCUUUCCCUGCGUUUCAGACGUAAAAGUAACGUGGGACCCAUGAAUAAAAAAUCUUGUUUUAAUAUUUACCAAACGGCUAAAAUCUGUGGUUUAAUUAAAACACAGCCGCAGCCGCGUGAACAAAUCUUGGAUGCAAGCAAUGGUGUAAAUUCUCAGUGAAUCUUUUCCGAGAGCUCCUCCAAAGUCUCAAUCUUGUUUCCAUGCAAGGAGGUUUCCAAGAAACAUGUUUUUGUUGGUUUUCUGUGGAGAAAACAGAGUGGGAAAUUCAUUUAAGAUAAGAUAGACAAUAUCUUAUAAGCAAGUUCCAUAGGAUGCUUUUGUUUUUUACUUCACAUGCCAACAGGAAGAAGCUUACCAAGUCCAAGACUAGGUUUUAUUAUUUCCAUUAUUUUCAUAUCUACAAGCAACACUGAUUUUUUCGGAAUAAUCCAAGAAAACUACCUCAAUCCUGCACCAAACCUUACAAUGGAACUUGUUUAUCAAGCUCAAAUCAAAUGCUACUCGCGGAAUUCUGUUUGAAGUUGAAACAAAAGAAAAUACUGUCAAUUUUAAUGGAGUAGUCCAAUCUCCAUGGCAGAUUUAUGAUAAGGGGUUUGAACUUAGAUUCAUUGGAUCAAUUCAUGAAUUUCGUCUUUUUUCUCCAAACAUUUCUUUCUCAAAAAAUUUAUGGAGCUCCUCGUAACAUUUUCUUCCAUUCGAAGAUAAUGUUAAAGGGGAAAUACAGUAUUACAAUUUACACUAUUUAAAUGACAUAGAUAAAACAGGAAAGAAACAUCACAAACAAUAUCCAAGAUAAUCAAGAACAAGAAGCACCUGAAAAUAUACAUUACAAAGAGCAAUCUUGGUCACUCUCCAAUGAGUUCUGUGGAGAGUAAAAUAUGAUGAUAUCAGCCUCUUUAGGAAGUUUAAAGCUCACUCUCUUCUGUGACUUCCCACUUUGGGUUCUGCUAAUUGAACUCGCUACUGAAGAGGCACUGACAUAGUCUUCUUUAUCAUCUACUUGAUCAAGCCCCAAUAGUCUGCCCGUGGAAAAACUCACUCUUGCCUUAGUUGAAAUACAUGGGUGUACCCUUUUGGAGGACCCAUGUUUGAGAACACAAAGCUCUCCUCCUCUCAAUUGUUCUGCCUUCAAGCUAGGAGAGGUUAAAAGCCAGUCCUGUAGAGUCAACUUGCUCACUGUUGUACCCUUCUUCUCUUCUCGGAGCACAUGCCUUUUGUUCUGGAUCUUCUUCACUUUCAAGCAUUCUGGCUUCAAUAAUUCAACAAAGCGUGAUUCACGACCAUAGGAGCGGACUCCUUCUGGCUUCUGCUCGGAAGUUGAGAGCUUGCUCACUUUACAUCCCAUUGGAUUCUGCCAAAAGAAUCAGCAAUGUAAUACAUAAACGUGGAUGGAUAAGAUGGAGAAGGGCUUAAAUCAUUGUGUCUGAGCAAUGUAUAGGGGAAACCGCGACGGAGAGGCUGAGAAAAAGGUGUUUGUAAGAACUAUGUUGCCUUAGUAAUCCCCAUUAGGUUAAGUAUUAAUUUGUACUAAAUCUUUCAAUAUAAUUAAGUUCGCAUCAGUCAUGACGAUUGGCCAAUGCAAUCCUCACAUAUUAUUUGUUUUGUGCUAGCUACCAUUAUCUCAGUGUCCAUGUCAGUUUCUUGGCUUUUAAUCUUCAUAUUGAUCAGUUUGACAGACAAUGGUGAUAAACUCAAAGCAAUUCGUUACAAACAAUAUAUUCGGCUAAGUGAAGUUCAUUUUCCAAUUUGUGGAAUCAAGGAAGUUGGUUGUCUUUGCAUGAGGGAAUAACUUUUCACUUCUUGUUUGAUUGUUGAGCUUGGUUUAGAUUCAUUGUCAUUUACGACAACAGUAAAUUGUGCAAAACUAUGUUUGACUUGGAAUCUAGUAAAUUUAACGGCAACAUUUGUAAUUGGCUGGAGCUAGAUUCUUAGGACAGGCUGGUUCCAGGAGGGAUAUGAAGCUGCAAUAUGUCAGUGUGGAGGAAAAAUCAGACUAAGCAGGGCAGCCUGCAAGAAGCAGCAGAAAGCAAAACAAAGUGCACAGCAACAUGGUCUUUUAGUUCACAUCUCAGCCUACAAUAAGAUGGCAGAAAUUAUCAGUUUCAGGGAAGACAAGUUUCUGUUUAGCGACUGUAAUAGAAAGACAUGAUACUAUUGAUCAGUGUUGUGUAAGAAACUGGAUGUCAGCUUUCACUGUAAAUCUCUUGUUGCUAUCAGUCAGUCAAGGACUCAUGGUUAUUCUUUGGACAUGCCAAUCUGUAUCUUCAUGUUUUAGGCAGGCAAACCCUAGAAAAAGAAAUUAAUUUGUAGUCUGCUAUUAGAUUCAAGGCAAAGAUUAUAAUUAUAAACAUGGAGCAGAUUCCCUUGUUACUUGAGCCAAAAUACCUCAAGGGUUUAUUAUGAGAUUUCAAGUUCAGUCAUAUUCUAUUGCAUGGCACAUCACUUGUUAUUUGUGUAUCAGAAUCGAAAUUGAUAUAUUUUCUGGCAUGCUUGAACCUUAGGGCUUGCAGCUCUUUCACCGAUCAUAUUGCUGGAUGAUACGUUUAGAACAAUUAACAAGAAAUCGAUUAUUAUAAGAACAGUUUGUGGAAAAUAUCACUUUAAAGAAUCCACCCUAGUUAUAAUACCCAAUACGAGAGUCAACCCGGCUAAGUUAUGGAUUAGAGAUGUUAACCUACCUACCUGCAAGUUAGCUUAUUAACCAAGCUAUGAUUUUUUUAAAAAAGAGCUCCCCAAACGAAGUUGUUUCAAGUUUUCUAUUUUUUUUUAAAAAAAAACUGAAACAUCAUUUUAAUGAAAAAACCCAGUUCAAAGUCUAGACCGAACUAGGUUUUAUAACACUGCUGACAGCAGUGAACUCUUCCCAUUUUGCUCGAAUUUUCGAAUGUGCCGAAACCUAAAAGGAGAGACAUUUCCUACAGCACUCCGCAAAACUGCCAAGACAUAGAUUUGCGUCAUGUACAAAGGCCCAUCUAGACUUCACGAGAGUCUAAAAUUUAGUUGGAAGUGUAUAUUUUUGCCCUAAAAUCACAAAACAGUAGUGAUUAUGUAAUAAUUUCAACACAAGACAUGAUGGCGUCUAAGGGUAAAUUCAGAUCAACCAUCAUAAAUAUCUCAUAGUACUGUAAUUCUAAUCACGCACAUGAUUUUGGAAGUCUCAUUUGCAUGAAGCAUUCUGAGAAUAGAAAGAUACUCCAAGCAUGAAAUUUAUCUAGAGCAGUAAUGUACUUGAAGGAGAUACAAAAGAGGUCGAAUCAGGAAGUCUCAGCAGCUGGUUGGGUAACUCCAAACUUCACCAACAGCUUGCUUAGAGCAUUGGGUGGGCAAAUUUGGUAUUUGACAUUCCCAGAAGGAGAAAGGAAGACCUCAGCCAGUUCAAGCUUCUCUGAAGUAAGACUUGUACUAUCCAUAGUUUUGCUGAGCACCUUCAAAGCAAGCUGGACAGCUUCUUCCCUUGUGAUUUCAUCCCUGUAAUCCUGCUUUAACAUGGAUUGUGCAGCCUGGUUGUUUGCACCAAUUGCUGCAGCUUUCCAGCCAGCAUAAUUUCCACUAGGAUCGCUCAUGUAAAGUUGGAAACCAUAAUUUUUGUCCCAUCCUGCAAACAGAAACGAGACACCAAAGGGCCGAAGACCACCAAACUGUGUGUACCCUUGCUUGGUGUCACAAAGGGAUUGAACUAACUGCUCUACAGGCAUUGGCUCUUGGUAUGCAAAGGUGUAGCGUUGUGCUUGGAUCCUUGCAGUGUUGAUUAGGAUGUUGGCAUCAGACAUAAUUCCAGCCACUGCAACAGCCACAUGAUCAUCAAUCUUGUACAUCUUCUCAGUGGAAGUUGACGUUUGCAAUAGCUUGGAUGUAACCUUCUUUUCACCAACCAAGACAACCCCAUCUUUGGAUAAUAUUCCUAUUGCAGACCCAGCAUUUCCAAUGGCUUCCAUAGCAUACUCAACUUGGUACAGACGUCCUUCAGGGGAGAAGAUUGUUGUGCGGCUAUCAUAUCUCCGAGACAUUUUUAUUUAUACUGAAAGAAGAUAAUAAGCAAAAGCAACAAAAAGAACAAAAAUAAGUUCUUAACCUUGCGCCCCUUUUCACUCGAUUAACUAUAUAGGAAAGGCCAGAAAGCAGGGUUGGGGAGUCCAUGGUAAAAGAGUGAAAGACUCACAUGAAGAUCAUUCAAUUGCAAAUAAAUGAAAGCAUGCAACACAUUAGAGAAAGCAGAAAUUGAGCAUGUGUUGAAAAUAAAUAAAUUAGAGCAACUCUUAGAGAACAGCAUAGCCAUUAUAAUCAGCUUGGACGUGAGAACUUGACACGAUUAGAAAACAUCUCAGAAACAACUAGAGCUUCCAGAACCACGAACAAGUCAAACAGUGUGGAAAUUUCCAUAAACUGAAAAGGUAGAAUAUAGGCUUUGCAUGCUGUAAAUUGACAAUAUUUUAAAUUCUUCAAUUCUUUUGAUUGAUUAACCAAAAAAUUUAGGAGAUGCAAUCAUUGUGCCAUUUUCCCAAUUCAGCCCCUUUUCAUGCUCAUCCAUUUUCAAAUAAAACAUGCCUCAUGGAAACAGCAUACAUAUUUUCUGUUCCAAAGAGCCAAAUGCAAACAUAGGAGAACAUGUAUCGCAUACAUAUGCAAGAAAACACAUGCAUGGAGUUUGUAAAGGAGGUGCAUACACUUAAGUUUCUUAAAGAAGAGGCCAUUAGGAAACUACAUUUGCAAACCCUAGAGCUCACAAUAGAAGUUGCAAAGGCAGGCAACUGAAAGUUGUUUAAAUUAGAAACACACAAGGACUGAAUAUAAGAAAAUAAAAUCUUGCAACUGUAAUUUAAGUAAUGCCGUCCCUCUGAUUAAGUCUAACCUUGACCAUUAAAAAAAAACCUAAGAAAGACAAUGAAAAUUCUAACUAAGAAAUUAGUAUGCUUUACUAAAUAGUUACUUAAGCACAGUUCUGUAACAAUAACCCAUAUAUCAAACUAGGUUUUCCUUGUUUACCAUCCUUUAAUUCAUUAUACCUGUCAAGAAUAUCACAAAGGACAUAUAGCAAAUCAUAUUACAAAAACAAUCGAAAAUCAGUCAUUUCCAGCAAAUAAACAACUACAUAGUUCCAUAGUUGCUCUAUUUCAUCUAGCAGUUCAAUCAAGGAUCACUAACAAAGUUGCCAAACUAAAAUCAAAAUCUGUUUCGCCAAACACAACCCAUUCUAUGUCUUUUUAGUACACAAUCAACAAUAUUGUUCUAUCUUUCGCGCUUCCAACAAAACAAUUUGAUCCCUUAAAACUCUACAAACUACCAUGGACACACACAAAACAACACUAACCCAGGUUCCAAUUCCAGAGUUCAGCUUCUAAAAAACACAUCAAACCCAACUAGGUCUAUUUCCACUCCGAAAUUCAAUGCACAUUGUAUAGUUAAUUUGCCAAACUAUAUUAGAAUCUGUUUCUAGGAAACACCCCAUCAUCCCAUUCUCUGUCCUUCCAGUGAGUGCACCAUCAACAAUUCUCUCUCUUUCGGUCUCCCAUAACAAAACAAAUUGAUCCCUGAAAACCCUACAAACUACAAUUAACACCAAAAAAAAAAAAACUAUCCCAGAGUCCAAUUCAAAGUCCAACUUCAAAAAAUCACCUAAGAAAUCAGCAUUACCAACUAAAACCCCUCAACCAAGAACAAAAUCAGAAAAAAAGCAGCACCUUUACUGCUUUACCACCAUAACAACCCAAAAACAAAAACAGAUCUACGUAAACACCUAGAAAACUAACUCAGCACUUGAAAACUAAAACUCAUUUUCAAAUUUCAAUCAAAAACCAUAAUCGCACACAAAAAAGAAGCAACAACAAAAACUAAUACAAAAAGUCCAAAUCUUGAAGACCUAGUUCAAGAAACCAACGAAAGAAGAGACAUUUGGUAUAAAAUCAAGAGGGAGUGCUAAUUACCUGUAAAAUGCAAGUGAUCAGAAGGAAUUUGCUGUGUAGUGUGAUGCAGGAGAUUCUGAAGGGCUGAUGAAAGCUAUGGAUUCCUUGGUGAUCUUUAUGGGUUUCUUACUUUGCUCUACCUUGUUGCUCAAGAAGAGUUAAAACAGCUGAUACUGGGUGGGUUGGGCUGUCAAUGCUGUGAAAUUGGGUUGGGCUUAAUUUUUGGGCUUAAUAUAAUUAAGCCUAUUAGAGUUUUUUUUUCCUAUUUAUCCAUUUUUAGUUUUUUUUUUAAAAAAAAGAUUUGUAAAAGAAAAAUUAGCUCGAACAUGGCCGAAUUAGAAUCAAUUCUUUAUUUGAGUUUCUUAAAGCAUGUUAUUAAAACUAGUGAAUCAUUGAUUGAAUCGUUAGAUCAAUUAUAUUAUAAUAUAAAUAUUUUACUUAAUAUAAAAAAUAAAAUAAAAUAAAGACAGUCAUAUGCUGCAUAAUUUUUAAGAUUCAGGUAUUUAUAGUUUUUUUUUUAAUUGGGUUAUUUAUUGGAUUUGACUGAUUUUACGUAAUAUUAUAAUUAUUCGAUUAUGUAAGUGAGUGUUUAGAAAUUUUUGUAGCUUCUGUUUGUAAAUGUAUUUUAAAAGUAUAUUUUAUUUUAAAAAAUAUUAAAUUAAUAUUAUUUUAGCGUGUUUUAAUAGUUUUAAUGUGUAAAUAUAAAAAAAUUAUUUUAAUAUAUUUUAAAAUAAAAACUACUUUUAAAAAGCACAUCUUACACCACAAGAACAAUUACUCUAUUAAAUUGGAUGAUUAAUUGAUUUUAUAACAUUUAUUUUAGUUACUAGUCAUUUAGAAUUGAUUAUAUUUUUCUAUCAGCUUCAAUUAACUUAUUGUUUCCCAUGCUAGAAAAUUAUGCCAAACAACUUAGUAACAUCCACACGAAAUAGGUAAUUUACGAAGGAAUGUGUUUAUAAUUAUUGAGGUUGGUCCAAAACCCUUACUUGGACCUCAUCACUUUCGGUUUUGCAAAGGUGCUACCAACAACAUGUCCAUUCGUUAUUUUGAGGGAAUUUUUAAAAUCUAGAUUAUAAUUUAUAUUGUGGAUUGGAACUUUCUCAAGUAAAAAAAAAAAUUCAUAGAUUUAACAUUAUUUCCAUGAAGUAAACCCAGCAUGAGGAUUGCUAUGAAAAAAGGUAGGGUCACUGAAUCAACAUACGCAGCUUACCAAGUUAAUUAUUUUUAUUAGAAUAAUCUUAUAAAAUUUAUUUAAUUAUGCUUCAAUCGAGUUUGAUCGAGUUAACAGGUUAUAAAUUAAUCUAAUUAUAUCAAUUAAAAUUCACUAAAUCAAUAUUUUUUUUCAUUUAUAUUUAAAUUCUAAUUUAAAUUAGGCUUUGAAUCAUAUAUAUAUCUAAGAUCAAUAAUCUAUGCUAUCAGAUUAUUUCUUUCAAUUUCCUUACACCACAAGAACAAUUACUCUAUUAAAUUUUAUUAAAUUAAUACAUUUUUAUUUAUAUUUAAAAUCCAAAUUUAAGUUAGGUUUUGGAUUGUAAAUAUCUAAUAUCAACUCUUUUAAAUCUAAGCUAGAUUUAACAACUAUUCUAUCGAAUGAUUUUUUUUAAUUUCCUAAAUUAUUACCCCUUUUAUUCGGACAAAUAAAAAGGAGGUCAGGAGUGUUCUGACUUCUAGCAAACCAUGUUUCUUAUCUAAUAACAUUAUUAUUAUUUUUUUAUUUUUUUUUCCCCUGAUUAAGAGGCGAGGUCUUCAAACCAACUAUUCUCCAUUCCUUCUCGCAUGUCCCAAAUACCUUGGUUAGGCUUAGAACUUAGAAUCCUAAUUAAAAUAUAAUAAUUUAAGCUUAUCUUUAUCAUAUAGUGUUUCUAGAAAUAUAAAAUAAAUAUAUUCGGGAUCUUGUAAUCUUGUAGCCAGGCUGGAUAAGAGUUUGUAUUCUUUUCUAGCCUUUUCCUUUCUAUCUUUUCCCGUGAACCAAGCACUGCCCGUUUACAGUAUAUAUUUGACUUUACUUCACAUCAUACUAAUUUUCUCAAGUAAAAUAUUAUGGUCUUGGUCCACAAUGGAAUAAACAUUUCAAAUCAAGUAUGGAUCGAGAAACCUAUACCAGGAAAAAAAAUGAUUUAAGAGAAAUCAAACAUGUUUUUUUAAAGAGUUUACAAGGGGACAACGAAUCUUUGUUUUUACAGUCAUGUCGUUUUUUAAAUGUUUUUUAAAAUAUUUUUUAAUAAUUUUAAUGCAAUAAUAUUAAAAAUAAAAAAUAUAUUAUUUGGAUAUAUUUUUAAUUUCAAACACUUUAAUAAAAACAUGCAUGAGAGGGAGGGAUAAUUGGAUGGCGCGCGUCACAAGUGAUGGAGAUCAUCACAUUUUGAUGGAAUUAAUUAAACAUCAAGCAAUCAAGAAAGUAUGCCCACAUUUGAUAGGCAACAAGUUGAAGAAAUUAACAUAAGAUAUGCUCUGAAAAGGGAAGGAAAGGAUCAUAAGAAAAUUCUCUAGAACUAUAACAAAACACAAGAUAUCCUCUUGAAUUAGAGGCUUCAUUCCAGCCACUUCAUGAUCCUACAUGCAAUUAUUCUUUACACUUUCAAGCUCAC